CGUGGCUGAGAUUGCAACCAUCGGUCGCCUCAGGCAUCCGAAUUUGGUUCGACUUCUCGGUUAUUGCAGGCGCAAGCAGGAGUUGCUUUUGGUUUAUGACUACAUGCCUAAUGGAAGCCUUGACAAGUUUCUUUACCACCAACCUAAUAGCAGCCUUUAUUGGACACAAAGGUUUAAGAUCAUCAAGGACGUAGCUUCCGCGUUGUUCUGUCUGCACCAGCAAUGGGUGCAAGUCAUCAUUCACAGAGAUAUCAAGCCUGCCAAUGUGCUGAUAGACAGUGACAUGAACGCUCGACUAGGAGAUUUCGGGCUGGCAAAGCAAUGCGACCUUGGAAAUGAUCCUCAAACCUAUCAUGUAGCAGGCAUGCUCGGUUACAUGGCUCCUGAGCUCGCAAGAAUCGGGAAAGCAAACACAAGCACUGAUAUAUAUGCAUUUGGAAUAUUCAUGCUUGAAGUUACAUGGCUCCUAUCUCUUGUAUCUCACCACCCAUGUUCGGACUAUAACACAUACCAUUUAUCUAAUUAAAAAAAAUAACCCAUCAGCCGAAUACAUUACAACUAACCUACCCAAUUUUAACCCAACAAAUAAACCCAAUACAUUAAACCUCUUAAACCAUCUAACCCACCCUCAGCCCAAAUACAUUUACAACCAUCAGCCCAAUACCCAUUAGCCCAACUACCUAAAUCCACUUGAAACCUCAAACCCAAAACAGAAAAUACCUAACCCUAGCAUUCGACGCCGAAUUAGCCUCCCCACUUGCCCACCUGCCCUCUGACACCAGCACCAUUCCCUGCACCACCGGUCAACUCCCAUGCCCAUCCCCUGCAAUCAGUAAGGCAGACAAGACAGAAAUAAUAGGAAAAUAGAGAAAAAAGGGUUAUAAAACCCGAAUCAAGAAUUGUAAAAAAGGUUCGGGAGUUUAAAAAAACGAAAAGAAAUAAGAAUAACAUUCGAUUCCAGAGCAAAAAUAAGCAAUCCAAUCAGCAUUUGAAUACAAGAACAACAUCCAAGCAAUUCGAAUACCAAAGAUUGAAGAAUCAAAAGUGAGAAAAGUCUAAGGUGAUUCUAUAAUUUUAGUUACUGUUUUAGGUUCGUUUUUGCAUACACAUAUAUUAAAAAGACAACAAAUAUACAAAGAUAUAAUAUAAAAAAUAUAACAAAAAAUAAAUAAAUAAAAACUGUUUUAGGUUCGUUUCGGAAUCCUUCCCCUCUCCCUCCUCUCUCUUUUUCUCUCUUCUUCUCUUUCUUUUUUUUUUCUUUUUUCCCCUCACAAAUGAUUUUUUUCUAAAAAUAGGCCUAUUUAUAGCCCUCCGAAACGCCGUCGUUUUGGUGGCUGUACUUAAGCCCCAAAACGACGUCGUUUAAGCCCUUACCCGAUCCGACCCGACCCGUCCGGCCUAGGGUCGGCGUGUUUUUUAACGGAAGGGCUAAUUGCGCAUUUAGCCCUUCUGCUUUUUUAUUAAUUUACAAUCAAGUUUUAAUUUAAUUUAAUUUGGACCUGAAAGUUGUUGCGUGAUUCGAUUUAGUCCCUUUGCUGUUGUGCGUUUUAAAAUAGUUCAGAAAAUUGCAGUUUUGGCCCCCCACUGUUGCACGCGUGUUCAAAUAAGCCCUUUUUCUUGCUUUUUAUUUCGAAUUCGCCCCUAAAUUUUGUUUUACCUUCGAUUUAGUCCUUUUUUGUGUUAGUUUGCUGUUUUAUUUUCAAAUUACUCAUUAUUAUUUUCUGAUAUUUACUAUUAUUAUUAAUUAUAAUCUCUGUAUUAUUAUUAUUAUUAUUGUAUUUAUUAUAUGUAGUAGUGUACAUUUUAUUAUACACAUAAACGAAUAUAUAUUCAUGUAUAGCAUCAUUUUUAUUACUUUACUUUAAUAUUUUUAUUAUACUUAUUUAUUAGCAUUUCAUUACUAUUAUUUUUUACUUAAUACCUAUGUAUAUUAUAGUAUUAUUAAUAGUUUUUGAUAUUAUUGUCUUUUGUUAAUAUAUUCGUAUGUCAUAUACAUUCUUUUAAUAUAUAUAUUAUACUCUAUAUUAUGCAUAUUUUUUUAUAUAUCAUAUCAUUCAUAUAUUUUAUUAUAGUAUGUAUAUAUUUUAAUAACUAUAUCAUGUAGGUAUUCUUAACACUAUUAUGUGCAUACUUUUAAUAUUAUCAUUAUUAUUAUCAUUGUAUAUCUAGUUAUAUUUUUAAAUAUUUCGUUUUUACUAUUAUAAGUAUAUAUAUAUUAUUACUAUUAUUAUAUUCAUUAUCCAUAUUAUUGGUACUAGUAUUGAUGUUCACUCAAUGUUAAUAUACGUAUAUAUAUGUGUACAUAUUUAUGUAGUAUGUUAAUAGUUUUUUUUAUUUAUUAUUAUCAUUUCUAAUAUAUAUAUACCGUAUAUGUUUCUAUAUAUAUUAUGUAUAUAUCAUUAUUUUAUUUAUAUUUAGUUUUAAUCUUAGUACAUAUAUUUUAUUAUACGUAUAUAUAUAUUUAUAUAGUAUCAUUUUCGUAUUAUUUAUUAUUAUACUUAUUUCCACUAUUGCCAUUUAUUAUAUUAUUUUAAUAUUAUGUAUUAUUUGGUGUACAUACAUCUUUUUAUUAUUAUUAUUAUUAGUAUAUAAAUAUAUUUCCUAUGUUAUUAGUAUUCCUAAUAUAUAUUGUAUAUGUUCUUAUCAAUGUUAGUAUGUGUUCUAUUUUGUGUAUAUAUCUUUAACAUAUAGGUAUGUAGUUAUGUAGUAAUAUUAAGAGUUGUCUUUUAGCAUUAUUUUAACAUUUUUAUAUAUUGUGUGUAUGUAUCUUUAAAUAUUGCAUUUUUAUAUAUGUUAUGUAUACACCUCUAAUACCAUAUUAUUUGUAUAUUUUUAUUUUUCAUAUCUUCUUGAAUACUAUUACAUGUAUAUAUAUACAUCUUUUUAAUACCACAUCAUAUAUAUACUAUUAUUUUAUUUAUUUUUAUUCCUAGUAUAUUUAUUAUUAAUAUUAGUAUAUGUAUUUUAUUAUAUGUAUAUAUAUAUACUUUUAUAAAUAGUAUUAUUUAUAUCCUUAUAUUUAUUAUUAUAAAUUUGUGUAGUAUUGUUAAUGUGUAUAAUUUUUAUGUUAUUAGUAUUUAUAAUGUAUCUUGCAUAUGUUCAUUUUAUAUUAUGUAGGUAUAUAUUACGUAUGUAUUUUAGUAUUACUAUGUAUACACUUUUCACUCUUAUCAUUACACAUACUUUAAUAUAUACAUAUAUAUAUAUAGCACUAUUAGUAUUUUUAAUAUUAUGUUUACGUCACUUCAUUUAUUAUUAUUAUAUGUUCACAUAUAUUCAUGAUUUUAUUUCGUGUUUAAUGCUAUUACUAUCAUGUUUAAUACCAUAUGCAUUAUUAUUGUUUUAUACUAUUACUAUUGCAUGUAUAUUGUUAAUGUUCUGUAUACUAUUUAUUUCGUAUAUUCUUAACUUUUUAUUAAUAUUUGUUUGUUCCGAGUUUAGCAUUAGUAGUUCAUGCCAUAGUGUAACAUCAAUUUUAGUUUUCUUUUACUUUUAUUUGUUUUCAUUCAUGUCUUUAAAUUAAUUUCAAUAAAUAAGGCAACGUGCCGAUUUAACAUUAAGUCGUUGAUUUCAUCGCUAUGUUGGGUGAACAUCAAUCGACUCGUGUUAAAGACGGAACACUCUUCUAAAAAACCCGAAAAACUAAAAUUUCUUAUCUUUUCAACCGGAUCACGAUUAAAUCUUACAUUAAACUCAUAUUUUUGGAAAUCAAGACAACGCGUGUUUAUAAGAUACCAAUUUUGGGCGUCGCGAGGGAGCUAAUACCUUCUUCGUGCGUAACUGACUUCCAAACCCUAUUUUUCUCUGGCUUAUGACGUAGACCUAAACUCGGCCUACUUUUGUUUUAAAAAAAUAAAUUUAUUAGGUAUCCGAUCACACCUAUAAAAAAGAUCGGUGGUGACUCCCUCUUUAUUUUAAAAUUAAACUUCAGUUUUUAAGUUUUCACUAAUCGCCACAAUUAGCGACCAAGCUAAAAUUUUUACGUCGCUACAGCUGGCGACUCCACUGGGGAAAGAUUUUUGAGAGUCGUGUCUGAAAUUAAACUCGCAUUGUCAAAAUUUUCAAAAUCCUUUGUUCAAAUUAACAUUUAGUCAUGAUCCUCAAAUCUUUGUUUUCAAAAAGUCAUGCAUUCGCAUUAUGUUGUAAACGUUUUUCUAACUCGCUUUGUCCUUUUUUUGUUUUUCAGCUUUAAGUUUUAUGGUUUUAGUUUUGUAGUUUUUUUUAAAUAAAACGUAAAGGUUUGUGAGUUUCUCCCCACACACCGUGCACCUGCAUUUUGCAUAACAUGAGCUCUCUACCCGAGCUCCGUCCGUUUAAGUGAAAGUAAACGUUAUGCCUUCGUGAGUUAACUCGUCCCUCCGCACAGGCUAGUGAAUACUUUCGGAUUACAUAUGACUUAUGCUUUCGUGAGUUAACUUGUCCCUCCGCAUAGGCAUAAGUGAAUGUAAUCCCUCGAGUUGAACUCGUGAGCCUGUCAUGGGCUAUGACCGAGGCUUCGUACUAAUCUUAGUAGAUGACAGUACGGACAAUUCAAGUACAUGUAUAGAACUGAAAUCACAUAUAGUAAACCGUACGAGCCACCUAAUUAGAGCCAUGCCGAACCUCCGUCCAUUAAUAGUCACCAAAAUAAGUACAUGGGAGAAACGCCUCUUCCCUUUUAUUUCUUUGACAUUUACACUUUCUAUUUUGAUUUUUCGUAAUUCAUGUUUAUUGUACUAACCAAGAUAUUUGUCUGUGUUCUUAUUUUGCAUCAUGCAUUAUAGGCAUCAUAUUAGAAAGGUGUUGACUAGAGAUUGGUUGCCAAAAAAAUGGGUUUCUAAUGGAAGAGUCAAUUAUACAAACAACCGAAAAGAAUGUCGUGGUUCGGGACUGGUCUCUAAAAACUCAGAAAGAAAAAGGGGAUAGUCUAGUGGAGGGAUGUAUUGCCAACCUGCCCGAGCACAUAACUGUAAAUGUUCACCAGAAUAACCUUGAAGAUUUGGUUCGGGUUUGGAAUCAGUGGGACUCAGACACUAGGGGUAUCUUCACUGAAAGAUAUGGGGACAUAGCCAACUUGAUCGGUGUCAAUGUAGAUGAACGAUUGAUCCAAGCCAUGGUCAGAUUUUGAGAUCCGGCUUACCAAUAUUUUACCUUCAAUCGAGAAGAUAUGACUCGGACUAUAGAAGAGUACGUUGCUUUGCUUCGUGUUGAAAAUGUGUAAUUCUAUAAAGUAUAUGUGAAGGAGCCUAAGCCGAUGACCUUUAAGAAAAAAUUAGUGAGAUUGACAGAAAUGACUGACGCAUGGGCUGAAAAAUAGAUAAAGAAGAAGAAUGAAAAUAUUUGCAUUCCAUGGUCUUCCCUACGAGAUUUGGUUUUCAACCAUCCCGACAUGUUGAAAAGGAUAAAUCUAUUCACUUUGGCCAUUUAUAGUUUGAUCAUCUUCUCGAAAGUCCUUGGACACAUAGAAGUUACGGUGGUGGAUUUCUUCAAAAGACUAAAGCAAGGGAUCAACCCUGUCCCAACUAUCUUGGCUGAGACCUUCAGAUCUUUAAAUAAUUGUAGGAAAGUGGGGAAGGGACGAUUUAUUGGAUACGCGUAGUUGCUCAAUGUUUGGAUUUUGAGUCACUUCUUGAAAGUAAAGCGCACACCGUUCCAUAUGUUUUCAAAAACAUUAACCCUGUUGGAAGCUUAUCUCAAGAGAGAAUGGCCAAAGGAUGUUACCGAAGAGCAUUGGGUUUCAGUUUUUCAGAACCUUCGAGCUGAAGAUGUAACCUGGAGAGCACUAUGGAUCCCCCCUUCGGUUCUGUUAUGCAAGGUGGGAAAUCAAGAUUGGGUACCACUACUCGGGCUAUGGGGAGGAAUUGGAUACGCUCCGUUAAUGGUCCAGAGACAAUUUUCUUCAUGACAAUUCAUAUCCGCCACUGGAGGAUUGGCACAGUCCGAGUUCGCUUUUGCAGGUGAAGGGUAUAUGAAGAGGGUCCGAGAUAUUGCAAAGUCUUGGAAGAAAAUUCAUCUGAUGGAAUUGGCUCUAUAUGCUGAUAUCCUCACCCAAGAUUACGACAUAUGGAGGAAGCAACGGGUGAAUAGUCAGCAAAUCUAGUCAACAUACUACACCGUCCAGAAUUCUUUCUCGGAGGAAAUGCCGUCUGAGCUAGAAAUGGCAAGACAAGAAUUUGAACGAGAAAAAGCCAAGAUGUCUUGGGACCUUAGUGCUUUUCAAGAGGAAAACUACCAAUUAAAGAUCGACGUUCAGAUUGAAAGAUCCAAAACCGAGAAAGUGCAAAGAGAGGCUGAAGUCGUAAGAAAUGACUUAAGAGAUCUCCAUCUGGAAAAUAAAAAGUUAAGAGGCACAAUAAAAAAUAGUGGGCUGGGCAAGUCGUCGACAGAAUGGAAAGAAGAAAUAAGCAACAUUAAAGGCAGAAUGGAAUUUUGGAAAGGAAAAGUGAAGAAAUAGGAGGAAAAGACUGCUCGGGCUAUGAUAGAACUAAGGAGGAAGAACGCCGAAUAUGAAACUGUGUCUGCUGAACUUACGAUUAGUCAGUCCGAACACCGAAAGUUAAAAGAGAGAAUACAUGAAUUAGAAGAUAUGCUGCAAAAUCAUCAACAAUAGUUAGAUACUCUCUUGGAGGCUUUGGAAGAAAAGAAUAGUCAAUAUGAUAGAGAUAUUCGUGCUUACGAAGAGAGCCUCCAAGAAAAGGAAAUGCAACUUAGCUAUUUGAUCAAUGAAAUUCAUGGGGUAGCCAUACACGUGGUACAAUUAUCGGAAGAAGCUAAAAUUCUAAUUUGCCAAUUCCCUCCAACUCGAAGAUCAAACAUAUCAGAUUUCUUAGCACGAGUAAAGAAAUAUGGCGAUAUAGCUAGGAAGUUUGUGUAAUGGCUGAAUCGAAAAUGGAAAAAUAUUUUGUAAUGGACUCUUUUGAUAAAUGAAAUGCCUAAAAUAGGGGUCGUCUUGAAAUCAACACUAAAUUCUCACAUAUUCAUGCAUGACUAACAUUCAUUUUACAUUUAUGCAUUCAUUCAUUCAUUCAUUGCAUAUCCCAUAAUCGUUCGCUGAGGUUAAAACAUGCAAUUCGCAGUUGUAAUACCAUAAGACUGGAACCACGUCAUUCGUAUAGAACACGCCGACAAGCUAGAGUAAUGGAGGCCGAAUUCAAUGAAAGGAUUGAAAGGAUAGAAAGAAUUCAAAGAGAAUUACAAGAGUAGUUGGCCAAGUCGCAGCAAGAGACAAGAGACUUAAUGGUGAGAUCUCAAGAAGAAUCACUCGAACAAAGAGACCAAAUGGCUAAGAUGAUAGAAAUGAUGUCAGCUCUAGUAAAAGGAAAGGGACCUAUGAACCCUAAAGUUGUGGAACCACAGUCAAGGGUUAAUCACGAUCAGGAUCCGCCCCAUCCGCCAGGAUUUACUCCACCACACGCCCACGCAACACAAAGAGGGUACACUCAAUGGGAAUCUACAGGCCUAGAGCAACGACCUGCGCCACCUGCUAACCUGGGGCAAGGAAUGUUCGUAUCAAACCCGGGGGCUAGUCCUGCUGAUCCACUCUUCCAGAUUUGGACGAUCCAGCAGAGAUAGCCAGGUUGAAAUCAGAUAAUCACGAUGCAAAUGAGAAAUAUAGAAGCCUAGAGGAAAGACUCAAAGCGAUAGAAGGCACUGAAGUCUUCUCCGCACUAGGUGCUAAAGAACUCAGUUUGGUGCCCGAUCUAAUCCUGCCUCUGAAGUUCAAGGUGCCUGAUUUCGAAAAGUACGGUGGGACAAGAUGCCCAAAAGUGCAUCUCAUCAUGUUCUGCCGGAAGAUGACAGGCUAUGUGAACGAAGAUAAGCUACUCAUACAUUAUUUUCAAGAUAGUCUAGUAGGAUCGGCUCUUCGGUGGUACAACCAGCUUAGUAGGGAAAAGAUUCGAUCCCGGAAGGACUUGGCAUCAGCAUUCUGUGAGUAGUACAAGCAUGUAUCGGAUAUGGUGCCAGACCAGAUGACCUUGCAAAUGAUGGAGAAAAAACCGUCAGAAACUUUUAGACAGUAUGCGCAGAGAUGGAGGGACGUCUCGGCCCAAGUGGAACCCUCACUAACAAAAAUGGAGAUAACCGUUCUCUUUAUCAACACUUUAAAGGCGUCGUUCUAUGACAAGUUGGUAGGAAGUGCCACAAAAGACUUUGUGGAUAUUGUGAUAUCCGGGGAACUUAUUGAAAAUGCCAUAAAGAGUGGAAGGAUGAAGGUUCUGACAGUUCAAGAAGGACAGCACCCGUAAAGAAAAGAGAGCCAGAAACCCAUAUGGUGGGAGCUGGAAGCCAUUACACUCCAAACCCAUAUCCAAACCAACCCCGACCUCGAAAUUAUCCACCUCCGAAUUUCUAUUAUCCCCCUCAAACCCCUUAUUACCAAGCACCACCUCCUUCCUACCCCGUAUACGCCACAAACAACUAAAGACCCGUCACCACAUUCCCACAAAACACUGUACCUGCUCAAAGCCAAUCCAGAAAUGAACCAAGACCCGCAAGGUCCAAUCUUGAGAGACCGCAAUUUACUCCUAUCCCUGUGUCGUAUGGGGAAUUAUACCCAAAACUUUUGGAGAAACAACUAAUAUCUCCCCAUUACAUGGCACCCCUUAAACCUCCAUACCCGAAGUGGUAUGAUUCAAACGUUAGUUGUGCAUACCAUGCUAGGAAUCAGGGGCAUUCCACGGAGAAUUGCCUAGCCUUUAAGAGAAAAGUUCAAGGACUCAUUGAUGCAGGCAUCCUACGAUUCGAUAGUGCCAGUAAUGCAACUGGGAACCCGUUCCCUAACUAUACCGAAGGGAAUAUGAGCGCAGUGGGGAAAGAGGAUGAAUGGCAAGUCAGAAGAUAUGUUUUAGAAAUAAAGACGCAUGUGCAGAAAAUUUGAGAGGUACUAUUUAAGAAAGGAUUACUCUGUCACCCCGAUAGAAUUUUCAGAGAAGAAGGUCAAAGUUUUUACGAUUUCCAUGGAAUUGUAGGACACGAUAUUCAAGCGUGUAAGGAAUUUAAAAGGGUGCUCAAGACCAGAUGGAUAAUAAGGAGAUUAAGGUCCUUAACAAAAAGGUAGAGGCCAACGAAAGAUAAGUAUGCGCCUCUGACAGCCAAUCAUCAGGUCUCCAUUAUAGCACUGAUCAGCCGUUAGUAAUUUAUUACGACGCGAAGAAGGAGCCGGUGAAAACGAAAGUGAUAAUCGAAGUACCAUAUCCUUUCCCUUACAGGGACGACAAUGCGGUACCGUGGAAAUAUGACGUCAACAUUGUCACACCUGAAGUUGAAAAGUCCGAAGCCACAACUGGAGAUGUUGGGGAGGUAGGCCAUUUUACCCGCAGUGGGCGAUGCUAUUCUAAAGAAGUCAAGCUGAAAAGAAGAAUAGUGACUUGAAACAGAAAGAAAAAGCACCAAUGCAUGUGACCGAAGAUGAGCAUGAAACUGUGCCUGAACAAGAAGCUAAAAAGCUUGUAGACGAGGAGGAAGCACAGGAAUUCUUAAAAUUUAUUAAGUACAGUGAGUACAACAUGGUGGAACAAUUGAGUAAGCAGCCAGCACGAAUCUCGGUAUUAUCUCUACUGUUAAAUUCAGAGCCACACCGGAAUGCCUUGUUAAAUGUGUUGAAUCAAGCUUACGUGGCAAACAAUAUAUCCGUUGAGAAGCUUGAUAGAUGGGUGAAUAACCUAAACGUGGAUAAUUUCAUUUCUUUUAGUGAUGAUGAAAUACCACCUAAUGGUAGAGCUCAGUGAAAGCAUUGCAUAUCACAACCCGUUGUAAGGGUUACAUAAUACCGAACGUGCUUAUCGAUAAUGGGUCGACACUCAAUGUCAUGCUUUUGGCCACGCUUUCCAGAAUUCCGAUGGAUCUGUCCUAUUUAAGGCCUUGUCAUUCCACAGUAAGGGCAUUCGACAAGACAAGGCGUGAAGUCAUGGGAAAAAUCGAAAUCCCUCUAGAAGUGGGUCCCUACAUAUAUGAUGUCGAGUUCCAAGUCAUAGACAUUACACCCUCAUAUAACUGCCUUUUGGGAAGACCUUGGAUCCAUUCCGUUGGAGCGGUCCCAUCAUCCCUCCAUCAAAAGGUGAAAUUUAUCAUGGAUGGCUGUUUGGUCACUGUCGAGGGAGAAGAAGACAUUGUAGCAUCUAUUUCUACCGACGCACCAUACAUUGAAGUGAGUAAAGAUGCUAUAGAAUGUUCCACAGCAACUUCAGGGAAACAAGAUCUACAAUCUUCAGCCUACUCCACUACAACUUUAGGGAGCUAGGAUGGUGCUUAAAUCUGCUUCACUGCAGCUUCAGGGAAACAAUAUCUACAAUCUUCAGCCUACUCCACUACAACUUUAGGGAGCUAGGAUGGUGGCUUAAAUCUGCUUCACUGCAACAUCAGGAAGCCUAGAUUCACCGUCUUCGAUCUGUUCCACUGCAAUCUCAGGGAAACAAGAUUUACAAUCUUCAACCUACUCCACUACAACUUUAGGGAGCUAGGAUGGUGGCUUAAAUCUGCUUCACUGCAACAUCAGGAAGCCUAGAUUCGCUGUCUUCGAUCUGCUCUACUGUAAUCUCAGGGAAACAAGAUCUACAAUCUUCAGCCUACUCCGCUACAACUUUAGGGAGCUAGGAUGGUGGCUUAAAUCUACUUCACUGCAACAUCAGGAAGCCUAGAUUCACCGUCUUCAAUCUGCUCCACUACAAUCUCAGAGAAACAAGAUCUACAAUCUUCAGCCUACUCCCCUACAACCUUAGGGAGCUAGGAUGGUGGCUUAAAUCUGCUUCACUGCAACAUCAGGAAGCCUAGAUUCGCCGUCUUCGAUCUGUUCCACUGCAAUAUCAGGGAAACAAGAUCUACAAUCUUCAGCCUACUCCACUACAACAUUAGGGAGCUAGGAUGGUGGUUUAAAUCUACUUCAGUGCAAUAUCAGGAAGCCUAAAUUCCCCAUCUUCGAUCUGCUCCACUAUAAUAUCAGGGAAAUAAGAUCUUCUAUGGUGACUUCAAUCCAUCCCAUUGCAUCUUCAAGGGUGUAGGAUUUUUAUUUCUUUGGUCUAUCACGCUGUUCUUUGGAGAACAUGACCUGUUGAAUCUAUUUCAUGGGCCAAUUUAUGCCAAAUGAUUUAGGAUUUCAUGACUCGAAUGAAUCAGAUGAUCCUAGGUAGAUGUGUAUGAAUGACGUUUGUAUGAAUGCAAAAUGUUAUUUUUAAUGCUUGAUUUGAUAUUACUCGUCGUUCACCGAGGUUUGAUCAUUGACGUAUUAUUCUGUCGUCUUGUUUAGCUGGCAUUCUUAAUAGAAAACUCGAAGAAACAAUCUCAUCUACUCGACAAGCUUGCCCCACUUAAACUUUAUGGAGUUUUUUGCUUAUUCAACCCACUACAACUCAGGGUAAUUAAUUUGAUCUGUUACACCAUUCUCUGGGUGUAAUGACUCGUGGUAUAUGCUCGAUAUUUGUAUGAAUGUAGAGUAUCAUUUUUUUCUCGAGAAUGACCCUCUUUUACACUUAGGUUGACAUUGCUCGUUAUUUGUCGAGGUUGUAUCACCAACGAAAUACCUUGCUUCUUUAUUCAACUGAUAUCUUUGACAGAAAAUUUGAAGAGAUAGUCGCAAUUUAGACUCCUCUUUCUCAAGCAAUUUCAACCCUUAGGCUUGGUGAGUUCUAAAUGAUGGUCCUGUUUCAGGUUCUUAUACUGUUUAGAAGCCUCCAGAGUAAUAUACAUAACUUCUUUUGUGAAAGUUUUAUUAGUCCAUUAAUCAUUAUUUCAAUGCUUGAAAAAGAUCAAAACAAUAGACAAGAAGGAGAUUGAUUUAGAGCGUAGCCCGAAAUAAAUAAAUUAAUCAAAGAUUGCAAAUGCAAUAAGGAGACAAUUAAUUAAACGUGAAUAAGUUAAUCAAAGAUAGUAAUGCAAUAAGAAAGAGGUUUAUUGGGAUGUAUCUUGAAAAGAAUAAGGUAAUCAAAGAUAACAAAUUUAAAAAUGGGUAGAAUGGAAAACUAGGUGCCCCAGAUAUCGCCGCUUGAGCUUCUUUGUACCAACUUCUUUGAGGACCUUUCUAACCUUAAUAUGUGUUUAAGGGAUCCGGAGUACUUUGUCGAUGCCCCAAGACGUAGUAUACUUCGUUAUUGUUAAUUUAGGCAUAGCAAGACUGUUGUAUGCCCCACUUUGAUCCAAAUUUGAGCUGCCCUUUUCGGGUUUUCAACUCAAGUCCCCUUUGGUCUUAAGGCGCCCUUUGUGGGUUUUUGCCUUGGCCUCUCUCUUUCUUUUCUUUUCUUCUUCUUCUCCCUUUUUUUUUAGAUCUUAAAGCGCCAUUUGCGGGUUUUCACCUUGGCCUCUCACUUUCUAGGUGAAAUACUUCUUGUCGAAAUCCGAAUUCACCGAUUUGGGCAAGUCUUUGCCAUCCAUUUCUGCUAAUAUUAAUGCCCCUCCAAAAUAGGCCUUCUUUACUACAUAAGGUCCUUCUCAGUUUGGCAUCCACUUUCCUCUUAAGUUCUUUUGUAUAGGAAGGAUCUUCUUCAAUAUCAAGUUCCCCUAGAGGAAUUCUCUAAGAUGGACCUCUUCAUUAUAAGCUCAUAUCGUUCAUUGGACCAUAACAGAUGGCUUUCAACCUUUUUUCUUCAAAUUCAACUGAUCAUAUCGGGAUUGGAUCCAUUUUCUUUAUCCAACUUCAACUCUAUCAAGACUCAGAGACAAGGCAUCUCCUCUUCAAAAUUGUUUUUAUCCCAUAGACUAAUGAAAUAUGCUGCCCCGGUGAAGGUCUUGGUCAACGUUCGAUAAACAUGGUGACUUCUUAUGCUAAUCUUUGCAAGUCUCGAUCAUCUGCCCCAUGAUUUUUAGUUUGUUGUUGGGUUCCUCUCUCUCUCUCUUUUUUUACCUUUGCCUUUGCCUUUGCCUUAGCAAUAUAGCGCCUAAUCUUUGAACAGACUGCAAACUUUUGACAUUGUUUAGUUAUGUUGGACAUGAUCUUCUCUGGUAUUUUUUAGUACCUCUUUUGGAACUUGAUGAGUGUCGACUUAGUGAUAUUGGCAUAUGAAACAACUUUCACCCUUUUCGCGGAGUAAUCGACGACCCUAAAGACGAAUCAGUAUCGGUUAGAAGUUUUCAAAGAGAUCGGCCCAUAACUUCCAUGCCCCACAUAGAUAAAGUUUACGAAGAAAUGAAAGGGUAUAUGAAUCUUGUCUCCAUAAAUUUAGCAUUUGCGGCAUAAUUGAUGCAAUUCCCUUCUACGUUAGACCAGUAGAAUUCGAAUAUCAUGAUUAGCCUGGUCAUUAUAAAAACAUUAGCAUAUGCUGUUCAAACAUCUUGUAGCAUCCUCAUGUCUUAGUAAGCCAAGCAUAUCUUGAUGCGAUCAUGUGAAAACAUAUUUAACUUCUUGGAAUGACUCAAUGAUGUCUUGUUUUGUCUUUGUGGUAAUGCAGGCUCCAAUAUUUGCCCUUUUCUCUUGUUUUAGGCUUGCCAACCACUGACUCUUUCUAAGGUGGAAUCCCCUUUUUCAAUCUUAUUCUACCGUCCUUAACAAAUCAAGAGAUAGGCUACAUCUCUGUCAUCUUUAAAGUGCUGAGAUUCCUUUAGGCCCAUAUUUCGCUCAAAAGGAGACUCGGAGUUAAUGACAUCGUUGCUCACAUCAUUGAUAUCCGGGGACCUGCUGAAGGCAGAUUCCAAAGAAUAAAUGAUUCUAAGGAUGAUUAUUUAUAUAGAAUGAUCAUGAAUGAAAAUAUUUGAAAGAUUAUCCAAAAUAAAAGAAUUUAAAAAUAAUUGUUUGUACGGUAUGAAAUUGAAAGAAUAAAAAAAUAUUUACUCAAAAUGAUAACAAACAUGCAUUUUAUUGAAAUAAAGAUUUUGGAUAUAAGCCUAUUUCACAAAAGGAUUCUCAUUGCUUCUAGGCUUAAAACAACAAGCGUGUUUUGAAUAUUACUCUAGAUUAGCCCUAAAAAUACAAGAAUUUCCUCCACAGUCCCAUUUUUCAAAACAUUCCCAAACAUGUCAAGGGCAGAUACUUGAAAAAAAAAUUAUUCCCGGGUUCCCUCUUCUGAUACGUCUUUAAUGUUCGGAUUUCCCAAUACCAGGUCUUACACUAGAGUUCUGAGCUCAAUGUGUCAUUGGAUCUCAUACCCCUAUCCAUCAUGGAACUCGUAAUGUCCACCCCUUUAACAGAAAGGUUGGAUAACAGGUUUCCUACUCCAGAGGGAUCAUCGAAUUUCACGAUUCCCAAUUUGAUAAAUCUUUCGAUUAAAAUUUUAAAGGUGAUACAGUUUUCGAUGGAAUACCCCGUGAUUCCCGCAUGAUAUUCAUAUUAGCUACUUACAUUAUACCAUUUAGGGUAUGGAGGCUGUAUUGGUUCUAUGUAAAAAGGGGAUACGACAUGUGCAUCGAACAAAAUAUGGUACAACUCCCUGUACGUGAUUGGGAUGGGCGUGAAUUGGGGUUUUUCUGAGUUCGUUCUUCGAUUGAACCCUUGUCUUGGGGAGACUUGAUGGCUGGUAGUUACCUUCGAAAGGCCCUUGUUAUACCUGCUCGCGUCAUUCUAUUUAUUUUUCUUCUUCUUCGAGGCCUUUAGAGUCCACUAUCCCUUUUCCUUCAUUUUUGCCAGAACAACUGGUUUGGCUCUAUCAUCUUCUGGGUUAAAACCUGAACCCAUGGGGAAGUUCAACAGUGCCAAGUAUUAGUUUGAUAUUGGGGUCCGAUAAUGACGGGUACCCCUUGUAUGUUUGGUUAGGUCAGGACGUUUGUCGGGGUAAAACCUGAGGAAUAGACGAUGUCUUCAAUAUCAUCUUCACUAUUGACCACUGGGCCAUUCCUUUUUUCAAGUUCUCCGGCCAGUAAUUGGGUUAACUGGCCUAUCACAUUUCUUUGGACUUCUAGCAUUUGUUAUCGCAUAUCUCGUUGAAUUCUGAUCAAUUGCUCUUGCAUCUGUAUUUGCCUUUGCUCUAUUCUCUCCAACAAUUGGUCCAUAUCCUUUAUCGAUUCUGAAAUAAUUUCACCUAAUUAGGGCCCUUUAGUAAAAGUUUAAUGCAAACGAUGUAAUACAAUGCAAAUGCAUGGAAUGAAUGCAAAAGAAAGGAAUGCGUUGAUUCUGAAUUCAAUUCCAUUAGAACAACUUUUCUAGAAAACAAAUUCCCUUACAUAAAAUGAAUUACAUAUACAGCCUUUCUCUCAUGUUCCAAGCGAAGACACCUAUCUUCCUCUUCAUAUCCAGAUGUUAUGGUUGAGUCUUGCGAAUUCUCCAAAAGAUGUCUUUAUUAACUCCUUUUUACUUGAUCUAGGCUGCUACUCAUUGAUCACUUAUCCUCGCGAUACUCGUCGGCUCCUUUAAGAAAGUUAAGACGUGGCGACUCUCGAAUAAUCUUUGUCAGCUUGAAUCCUCGGGCAAUGAAACAAAGUUUUGUAUUACUCCAUUACAUAUGCAGUCUUGCCCUCAUAUUCUAGGCGAAGACACCUAUCCUCCUCUUAAUAUCCGGAUGUUAUGGUUGGAUCUUAUGAAUUUUCCAAAAGAUGUCUCUAUUAUUUCCUUUCUGCUCAUUUGGAUUGUGGCCCAUUGCUCACUUAUCCUCGCGCUGCUUGUUAGCUUCUUUAAGACACGACGGCUCUCGAAUAAUCUUUGUUAGCUUGAACCCUCAGGCGAUGAAGUAAAGUCGUGUACUUUUUAUCAACCUUCCUUCAUUGUGUUUACUUGAACCAUAUUUAACAACCGAGUUAUAAUCCACUUUAUCAAGAAAUUCGUUUUCUUAUGACAAACUAUUCUAUUUAGCAAUCGAAUAUGAAUCAACACCUCCUUUCUAUGAUGAUGUAAUGCAAUGCAGUUAUAAACAAAAAAAAAACAAAACACGUUAGUAGAGAAGAAAUAAAUAACAAAUAAAGCACCUAUUCGGGUGACUGCUAGGGGUUCGGAGUGGCUCUACCUAAGGUAAGCUCCUAGGUCCUCUAUAUGUGGUUCGGUUCUAAAGUAAGGGUACCUGAACUAGCAGAUUCCUCGAUCCUUACCCAUUAUAGGCUCAUAUGGGCCGAGUUCAGUUCAGGGGGAUACAUUUCCCUAUGGCUGCACGGAGAUGAAAAUCUCACGAAGACAUAGGUACUGAUGUAUCCCGAAAGCAAUCCACUAGCCCAUGCGGAGGUGAAAACCUCACGAAGGUAUAGUUUCUCACUCCCACUUAAAAGGUGUGACCACAACAGUCAUGCAAUGCAAUGUGCGAGGAUAUAUACAUAAGAAAACCCGAGGCAAUAAAGAAAAUAGAACUAAAACAAUGAAAAUCGUAAGAAAAAUGGAUGAAGUGCAAUGAAGGGAUCGUAGGUUUAAAACAAAUUUUCAAUUUCGACCAAAGACAAAAAUUAAUUAAUUUAUGGCUCGACUCUCAAUUCCCCAGUGGAGUCGCCAAGCUGUCGAAACCAUUUUUUUGAAAACGGGAAUCGACUUUGGUUUUGAAAAUGGAAACGAAAAUUGGGAGUCGCCACCAAUCUUUUUUGUUUAGGUGUGAUCGGAUCACCGAGAAGUUUGGUCAUUUUAAUAAAGCAUUUUGGUUUACUAAAACAAUGAUUUUGGUCUACGAAAUCUGAGAAAUCGGGUUCGGGAGUCGGUUAAGUGUGAGGAAGGGUUAGCACCCUCGUCACGCCCAAAAUUGGUACCUAAUCGAUUAAUUAACGUUUUAAUGUCGAAAGUUGAAAAGACUUUAAAAUAAACUUUAAAAUAUGAUCCCUUUUUAUGAAUGUUUGGAUAACUCAAAGUGGGUAUUAAGAUUCUUUUUGUUUUGAGGAGAUAAAAUAUCACAUCCAGCACGUAGGACACAUCGUUUCAAACCUUCGAUGCCAAAACUAUCUCAUGAUUCCCAAAACUCAUGCAUUGAAAUUUUAAAAAGGAUAUUUGGUUGUUCGGUCAAAUGAUAAGUCGAAACCCAGCACGUAGGGCACGAUUUCUCGAAAUUUCCAAACACGAAAUAUUGCCUUAUUUGCAAAAAAUCUUAUCUCGAGGUAAUAAGAUGUCAUAUCCAGUAAGUUAGGGCACAAUACCUCAAAUCUCAGAGAGUAAGCAUUUUAUUUAAAACUCGUAGCAUUUUAUUUAAAACUCGUAUUGUGAUUUAAAAGGAAUAUGUCGUUAUUUAGGUUAAACGAGAAAAAUCGAAACCCAGUAAGUUAGGGCACGAUUUCUCAAAUUUCCCAAACACGAAAUGUUGCCUUAAUUAGAGAAUUUUCUUUUUAUGAAAUAAUAGCAAAUAUGAAAUUUAAAACGAUGUGUAUUUAUGGUAAUAUGCGAAUGAGAUCAUUAUGUUGAUAAGUAAUGAGAAUAUGAAUAUACUAAUAAGAAAACAACUCAUAAUAAUCACAUAAUUUUUAACUAUUUGAUAUGAACGACUAAAUAAGAAAAUAACUAACAUAAGAUAAUGACAUAAAAAUAAUAAUAACAAUGAUAACAAUGAUGAAAUCUAAAUUAAUAACGAUUAAAAUAAAUAAACACAAAGGCAAAAUAAAAGAAAAUAAGAAGCAAUUGUAAAACAUGAUGAAGGAAAUAAUGUAUGGAAACGCAAAAUAAGGUAACCAAUAUGGAAAAUGUACAUGAAUAACAUAUUAUACAAAUUAUUGAAAAAUACAAACAUGAAAAUCAAAACAUUCCCAAUGAUAAUAAUCUUUACCACAUACACUAUUUAACAUUUCUAAAUAAUGAUUAAAUAAAAAUCUAUCUUAAGAAAAACUUUUAAAAGGUAAUAAGCAAUGUUAAAACAAAUGAACUUGAAAUAGAUAAUGUAAGACAAAGAAUCCAAAAGUAAUUAAAUUAUAUGUAUAUAAACAAAUGAUACAUGCAAAAAUUUGAAAUAAGUCAUAAAAGGAAUAAAUACUACUUAAAAUAUAAAGUUUAACAUAUAAACAAAUUUCAAACAAGUAAGAAAUUUAGAUUAGUGCUAUACAAAACAAUUUAAAACAAAAUUUACAAAUAUAACAUAAAUUAUACACACAAAAAUAAUAAUGUAUGCUCAUAUAGAAAUUUUGAAGCAAAUUAUGUAUAUAUUAGAAAAUUUUAACAUGAAUGAAUAAUAUACAAAGGAAUAUAUGUGUGAGUAACAAUCUAUAUAAGAUAAAACCAAUAAUUACACAAAAUAAUUUGAAACAACGUUUAUUAAUCAAUAAUUAAUCAUGUACAUAAAGGGAAAUACUUAGUAUAAAUAGUACAUAUAUAAAAAUACUGAUGGAUGAGAGUAUAAAAAAACAAAAUAUAUAGUAGAUAAGAUAUUUGACAAGAAUGAAUUAUAUAUAUAAAUGAAUUUAAAAAGAUAAUAUAAAUAUCAUGAAAUUAAUAACGUUCAUAAAAUAAAACCGAUUUUGAUAUAAACUAUAUAUGUAUUAAUUAAUAUAUAAGAGUAAUUAAAUUUAAUAUCAUACAAAAAUUUAAAGCAAUAUGAUAAUAAAUAAAGUCUUAAAAUAAUAACUAUAAUAAAAAUAAUAAUAAUAAUAAUGAUAAUAAUAAUAAUAUAAAUAUAUAUGAAAAAAUAGUAAUAAUAAAAUGAUUUAAAAUAAGUUAUAUGUAUAUAUAUAAAACUCAAAAUGAAUAAUAAUAAUAGUUUUUUAAAAAAACAAAUAAUUAAAUAAAUUGAACAUAUUAAGGACUGAACUGCGAUCAAAAUAGAAUUAAGGGUACAAAAAAUAAAUAAAAAAAACAAAUAAGGACCGAAAUGGGGCGGACUAAAACAACUGGGGAUCUGAUGGAAAAAUAGACCAAAGUUCGGACACGUGUCCAUUUCUAAGAGUUCAGCAUGCCAAUGGACUAAAUCAAAACAUACGAUAAAUAUUUGGGCAAAUUUAAAAAACAAAAGAAAACUAAAUCAGAGCAGCCCAUAAAUCAGAGGGACUGAAGGGAAAAAUAUCCCAAAGAAGUAAAACGCGCGGAUCCCCCUUAGUAGCGGGUCGGGUCACGUGUUAAUAUGCCCCAAACGACGCCGUUUCGACGCUGGGGGCCCUGGUCUCCAAACGGCACCGUUUUGUGCCUGUAUAAAAAACCGUUUUUUUGUUUUAAAAUUAUUAUGUUGCUUCAACAAAAAAAAAAGCAGAAAGGGCUCUCCUUUCUUCUCUGCUAGGGUUUCAAAACCCUAGCUUUUGCGCCACCAUCGCCUAUCCACGCUCCUCCGCCAUGGACGGUGGUUGGAGUUUUACAAAUCAGGGCCUUUAGCCCUUGUUUUAGCCCCGUUUGAAAGCCAGGCGUACUUAGCCCUCGAAUAAAAAAAGAAAGCUCUCCCCUUGUCCUCUUUUGAUUCAGUUUUGAAGACGGAGAGAACUCCGACGACGUAACCGUGAGGUGAUCCAAGUAAAUUUCUUCCUUCUUCUUUUUUGUUUUCGUUUACAUAUCUAAAUAAAAUAUAAAGUAAUCAAAGAAAAAAAGAAAAAAAGAACAAGAAUUUAAAACGAAAGUAAAAAAACCUUUGAAGCUUUUCUCUGUUUUUUUUCUGUUUUCGAUUUCUUUUUAAAAAACAUCUGUAAUACAAUAUUUUUUCUUUUUUUAAAAAAAACCCCUUUACAUUUCUGUUCUUUGGCUAUAUAGCCGAAUCCCCCCUUCUAUUACUGUUCUCUCUACUUUGUAUUAUUUCUGCCUCUGUUCUCUUUUGUUUUGUUUGCUGCUUUGGUUUUGCAAGUGUCAGAGGAGCGAUGGGAUGGUGGCGUGCUGCAAGCAUGGCCAAGAGAGGGGUACGGCGCACAUGGGGCUAGGGAGGCGCGGCGCCAAGGAUGAGCUAGGGUUUUUGCCUAGCUGAAAGUUUGUUUAGGUCUGGGCCUGUUAAUUGGGCUUAGGGUUAAAUCUGUUUUGGGCUUGUAAUUGGGUAAUGGGCUAGGUUUAAUUUGGUUUGGUUUUAUUGGGCCUCGGGCAAAAUUUGGGCCUUACAAUUGUGUCAUAAAAAUAGGUGAUAUUGGCAAUUUAUUAUCCCCAACCCAAUUUUACUAUUUAUUCCAGGCCAUUUGGAUGAUCAUUUUUUAAUUAGGAUCAUUUAUGUAAAUAAUUAAUUUUUGAGGGUCAUUUGAGUAAAAUAACCGUUAGAACUAAGCAACUAGGUAUGCUUUGGAACCAUUCUCUUGGAUAAGACAAUAAAAUUUUCUUUUUAUAGCAGAUUUUUUUUAUUUUGUCAAUUUUUUAAAAUUAAGAUGAUGUCCUACAUCAAUAAAAAAUAUUUCUAUCCUUUUCUGUAUAUUUAAAAGUAUUGAUAUUUUUUAAAAAGUUUUAAUUGGUAUUGUCUAAAUAACGGUAAUAUACAUUAUAAAAGUAUUUUUUCUUCAUUGUGAAUACUCAUAUUUUUCACUAAUAUUUUAAAAAAUACAUACGAUAUUGCCUGACACAAUGACGACACAAAUUUUUUUUUUUAGACAUUGAUGAUUAGGGGGAAAAUACGUGUAGUUUCAUUGGUGUGUCAGUGUAGUUUCAUUGGUGUGUCAAGUUGUACUAACAAAUACUAUAACAAAUGGGUCAUAUUCGUAUUUUUUUUUCAACUCAUUUUUGUAAUUAACUAAUUUUUAAGGAUUAUUUUUAUAAAAAUCUACUUCCAAAGUGAAAUAGUAAUACCAUUACCCAAUAUUGAGCUCGCUUUUCAGUAACUAGAGGCCCAAUAAUUAUUAAAUAACUUUUUUGGAAUAAUAUUUAUUCAAUUUAGUGCUUAUAGAACUAGUGAAAUUGGUUUGGACGAAAUUUAUACAUAAUAUUAAUAUAUUUUGUCCGUGGUUACUCAGUUCAACUUAAAUAUAGAAUUAUAUUUUUAUCUAAAGUUAUUUAUGUUUGUAACUAAUCAAUUCAAGUUGGUUUAGAUUAGUGUGUAUAUAUAUAUUAAAAUGUUUUAAUUUAAAUUAAUAUUUUAAUUUUUUAUUAAAUCUAAAAUAUUAACAAUUUAAUAUAUAUUACUAAUAUUUACAUAGUAUUUAUAUUACUAUAUAUUCGAUUUUAUGUGAUAUAAAUUGUAUAAUAUGUAAAAAUUAAAAUAAAAAAUAUAUUACAAAAAGUAUAAAGCGGGUUGAGCUAAGCUUCGACUUUAUAUAUUAGAGUUCAAGCUUGGUCCAUAUGUUAAAUGUUUCUUAUUUUUUCAAGCUCAUUUUGGGGCCUUAUGCUAUUAUCUAAUCCCUUUCGUAUUUUAACCGAACUUUUAAACUUUAAUUUAAUCUUAUAAUUUUAAGUAAAUGAAUCCUUAUAUUUCUUCGAUUUAAUAAUGUUAAUAGGACGUGACAAGUUAAUUAAGAUACAAGUGAUGAAGUGAAAUAUUUUGUCUAUUUGACCAUUAAAUUUUUAAAUGGAUUUAAGGCCAAUUUUUUUGAGUAUUUUUAAGUUUUUUUUUAAAUAACAAUACUUUAAUUUAGUCUAUAAUUUUAAGGCGAUAUAUAAUUAUUUAAAAUGUUGGUCCAAUUAUUACAUGCGAUAAUUUUUCUACUAAUAAUAUUGAGAUCAAUAUUUUCAGAUUUAGACUAUAAUUAAACCGAUCAAAUCAUCAAUUCUCACCUUAAAAUUGAUUCUUGAUCAAUACCCUUUUCAAUUAUGAGUUGAAUUUGGUUCCACAACGUGACGUUAAACCAAAAUGCAAGUAAUUGGGUGAAAUACUUUGGUCAGAAUUUAAUUAAAAGAAGGUAAUGUUAAUUAGUAAUGUGUACAAUAAUGAAGUGAUUGAGUGUAAAUAGUCUUUAGAUUCAUUUAAGUUUUUAUAUUAUGAUUGACUGGAUAACGGAUUGCUGGGAUAAAGGAGACAUUUUGGCGACUAUUGAUAAGAGGUUGGGGAAGAGAUUUGUGGGACAACAAGCGGAGUUGGUGCUGAAGCCUGGGUUGCUUUGUUCACACCCGGUGACAGCGGCUAGGCCUAGCAUGUCCAGCGUUAUAUCGUAUUUGGACGGUGUUGCUUCAUUGCCUGAUGAUUUCAGCUCUGUUAUCAAAGUUCGAGAAUUCCCAGCAGGAUCAAAUGAAGUGGACGCUCCUAAUGAGUUGACAGGCGAGAGAAACACCGUUCCUUCAUUAACAAUUACAGAAGCAUUUGUUUCUCACGGUAGGUGAAGUGGAAAAAUAUCGGGUUUUUCUUUAAAAAUUAUGAUUGUAAAAUUAAAUAAAAAUUUAAAGCCUUCCGAAUCGAGUAAUAGGGUUUUGUAUAUAUUUUUAAGCAUCAGAAGUAGCAUACUGUGGCUGUUCAUGCAAAUAUCAUUUAGGAAUAUAUUUUGUAACUGAGCAUGUGAUUCUCAAAAUUUUGGAAUUUUUAUUCUUUUUUUAAUUGUUUUAAUUUUUAGAGUUUUUUAUUUUUAUUUUAAUAUUUUUAUAAUGUUUUAUAUUCUAAUAAAAAUAGGAAGGUGGUCACAUGCAUAACAAAUUAAAAAGCUUACUCGAAUAAAAAAGUUUGAUGUAUGUGACCACCUUUCCAUUUUUAUUACAAUAUAAAGCAUCAUUAUCUGAAGUCCUUCAUAUGUUAAUUUCUUAAUUACAUGUACUAUUGGUGUUUAAUGUCAACAAUGACGAAUAUUGUAUAUUAAUCAUUAUUUAAAUAUCAAUUAUUGAUAUUUAAAUAAUGAAUUCAAAUAUAGUGUUAUUUACAUAAUAAUAAUUGAUAGGUAUAUUUGAAUUCUAUCUAGUCUCAUUUAUAUUUGGGAAAGGAAGCUCACUUUAAAAAAUUAUUUUAUGCAUAAUUUUUAUUAUUUUUUAAAUAAAAAGAUUAAAAUAUUCUCGAUAAUUUAUUUAAUUACAAAAUGACAUUUUCAUAAUUUCUUUAGCUGAAUUAGUGCCCGGUUGAUUUGGACACCAACUCAAUCAAGAGCUUAAAUUAUAAGAUAUAGAUAUAUACAAUUGAUGGAGGUAGGUGUGUAUAAUAAAAUUAAAAUGUUUAGAGUUAUCAAGAUAAAACUUUAGUUGAGUGGUAAAUUAAUCUUUAUCUUUGUGAUGCUCGGGUUGAUUGUUUAUAUUAAUUAAAAUGUAUUAUUUUAUUAUUUUAUAAUUUUUAUAAAUAAUAUUAGGGAAAAUUUUUAAAAAUAUUCAUUUUCUUUAAAUUGCUACGACUAUUAGUGAUAAUAUAGGGCAAAAUUAGAUAAUAUAAAUAUUAGUAAUAUUGAAAAUCAUAGCUUUGGAAUGUUAAAUUAAGGAACAGAUUGAAUUAAUUGAAAUCUCAUAGUAAGGACUUAAAUAUAAAAAAAAUAAAAAUUCCAUUAGGAUCUAAAAAACAAUUUAAUUUUUAAAUGCAAUUAAUCCAUGCUUUGUUUAAUCACUACAUUAUAAAACCUUGAAUAAAAAAUUUAGAGUUUUUAGAACAUGCCUUAAAUCUAUAACAAUAAAACUAUAUGCUUUAUUUGUCUUUCUCCGUAUACUCUUCUACCUAUCCAAAUUCUUUUAAAUCAAAUUCUAAACUCUGCGAAUCUAGACUUCUGACUUCUUCCUAACUACAUCGAUACCAGAAACCAUUGGAUGGGGUUGGGACGUCAUUCUUAGCCUUGCCUUGAUCUCUUCUUAAAGCUAAGUUCCCUUUUGCUUGUUGCUUCCUCUCUCUCUAGCAUUGCAGUGGACAAAGUGUAGGGAACAACUAACUGCAAUUUGAUUUAUAUCAGAGGCAACAUAUUAUUGAAAAAUCCCUUAAAAAAUAAAUCACCCAAAAAUCAGCCUACGUUUUGGUAUAAUGACACUCAUUGCAGUUGGCAUGAAGGGGGCAUGAGAGGCUCUUUGAUAGUGUCGCCACUGGGAUGACAGGCCAUUGGUUUCAUCUUCAUCUUUUGGCUUGAAGUUGCUGUUGGGGUUUGGACAGCAGAGGAAGAAAACAGAAGCAAGUAAUCCGGAUAAAGUAAAGUUAAACUUCAAUACUUGAAUAAGCAAUAUGCCAUAUACAUAAGUAAUCCGGAUAACAUAUGUUGGAUUUUGCGUAAAACAAAGAAGAAGAAGAGAAGAAAAGAAAAUGAUGCCAAAAUUUGGACAAGAAGAAAAAUAAAUUUGAUCUCCAAAAAUCUGAUCUUUUUUCAUUAACAGGAGAUGCAUUCAUAUUACAAAGAAAUAUGGCAGUUACCUAAUGUUUAACUGUUCCCAUUAAUACAUGACUUAAGCCUAGCUAGAAUUAGACACAAAAUGUAGCUGACAUAUGAGCCUUUAUAUCACAAUCAAAUCUUUAACAAAUCCUACUAACUUUAAAAGUCAAAUUACAAAGGAACUAAAUCAAGUUACAAAUGAACAAAAUAAACAAAAUGCUGCUACUCCUCUGGUUCAGCUUGAAUGCUGGUUUCCUGUUGCAUUGCAGGCCAAAGUUUAACAGUUGCAACCUUGAGGGUUUUGAAUCGUGGCUUCGAAGCUCAAUGUCGCAACACCCUAUGCUUAGUGUCACAAUCUCCACAACAAACUACUCCAUGUUGAAAUUUGGUGAAGUUCAACAAGCAAUAUGACACACAAGCACUUGUGACACGACCUCCACAACAGUUGAGGUCCUCCUUGAUGUUUAGUCUCAAUCACCUCCCUAUACAAGCCCACUACAGCAAAACUGACUUUUAGCGGCGUUUUUUUAGGCCUUUAGCGGCGUUUUUACAAGCGCCGCAAAAAACACCGCUAUUGCUAACGGUGCUAAAGUUUGCGGCGUCUAUUCUAAAGAUCAUGACUUUUAGCGGCGCUUUUCCCACAAACGCCGCUAAAGGUCAUGACCUUUAGCGGGACUUUUUCUAAAAAUGCCACUAUAUAAUAGACCUUUAGCGACGCUUUUUUGACAAACGUUGCUAAAAAGUAUAAACUUUAAAAAAUAUAUUUUAAUUAAAUAAUAUUUGUUUUCUAUGAUAAAUAUUAUAUUAUGUUUUAUUUUUUAAAUUUGAACUUUAAACUAUACACAAUUUUUAAAAAAUCAUUUAUAUGUAACUCAACAGAAAUUAUGUUCAAAGAUUCGUUGUGUCACUAAACAAAGAAAAAUGAUUUACACAAAUAAAUAAAAGACAAAAGAAAAUGAAGGUUCUAAUGAGCAAACUAUUUUAUAAGCAAUCAGAAAGAAUAGUACAGGAAAUUCUUAGUAUCCUACUUGAAGAAAGCAUCGAAAAAUAUAAAAAGGAUGAGAAUGAGUACAAAGAAGCAUCUUUAAGUUGAACCAUUCUUGAUGUCAGGUUCCUUGCCUGUCUCAAGGAGAAAACACUUGCACACAACAAGGACAUAAUGUCCCUUUCUCCAUUUGACUUAAUCACCUACAUUCUCUCAUACCCUUUCUGCUAAUAGCAAUUGUUCAAGUUCUUCUCUUCUUCUCUCCAUUUCCUGCAUAUAAAUGUCCAUGAGAUUAUGGUAUUUGAUGAGAAAAUUAGUUCACAGCUGUGAUACUUUCACAAUAUUGGCCUGAAAUACCCUACAAAUCAAUACCAUAUUGCAAAAUCUCCAAUAUUCUUAUCAUGUUAAGGUGUUUAUUGAUAAAUUUCUUAAGAGAAAUGUUAACCAAUGCCGUGUAAUUAAGCAUCACUUUUUUCUUGAAUUCAGUUAAAGUAAGCAAUGUAUUAAAUGUUAGAAAAUAUCCUUAAAAUGAACUGUUCAAGACUCCUGAAAGGUUGUGGGUUCAAUAUCUUAACAACAAUCACUUGUAACGCACGAUAAGAAUGGGUUCUUACAGUAUAUCUGUCAACUUAAGAACACUUGAUUAUAAUGUGGUAGGAGAGGUUUGAAUAUAAAAAAAGAAGCAUUCAGAGUAUGACUAGACCUCCAAUUGAUCAAACAAAAGAAUACAUAAAUAAGAAAUCAUCAAGGCAAGAUGUAAACCAAAAGGCCAGCUUUGAACAACUCUCAUAGCUUACCUCCAGAUCUUGAACUGCUUGUUCCCUUGUAAUUUCCUUUUGCUGGCGAGAACAUUUGAGAAAGCCAAUGCAUAAGAUUCCCUGACAAAUUUAUUAUCAGUACAAUCAAGGAGUAAACAUAAACUCAACUCAAAAUCACAGUUCUGAAGCCUUUGCUCAAUUCCACCCCAAACUAUAUUUUACCUCCUGUUGUUUAACGUUAUAUAGAAAUUAUUCUUUACUUCUAGUAUCUAAAAUUACAAGCACAAAAGGCAAUAUCAGGGUCUGAUGAACAGUUAGCUUUGACUAAAAAUACCAGUAAAUCCAAUAAGCCCUAAUUAUAAAUCUAAAGAUUUGAAAUCUAACUUUGGAACAAAUUAUAACACAAAACUAACAACAAAAAAACACAAAAUAGACAAACAAUCACGCAACAAAACUAGAGCAAAUACAAGAAUUUAAAAAAGAAAAAAAAAGAUGAUAAAUAGCAGCAAAGCUAAAAACAAGUAGCAAAAAAAUGAAACAAAUUAAAACAUUAUAUCAGUUAUUCAACGGUAUUAUUCGGAAGGAUGUUCAAAACCAGAAUCCACAAUAGAUCGAAGCAGCUCCAGUUUUAGUAGAAAGUCUCUGAAUCCCGAACUGUGAAUUCCAACAUACCCCCUACACCACAUAAAAAAGCAAUGAAACAAAUUAAAAUAAAAUUGCUUUACGCUAAAACUAGCAGAUUAUAUUAGAACAUUGUUUUCCUUAAAAAUAUUUACAAUAAGUUAAAAAGAAAUAUUUUAAAAUUUGAUUAUGUAUAUAAUUAUAUGUAUUUGCUUUAAUUAUAUGUCUUGAAAUAAAGUUUGUAUGCAUAAAUAACUCCCCAUACACAAACUAUUUCAAUCAGCAUAAAUCAGAUAAUUUGUGGCUUCAACAUGCUGACUUUACCAUAAUUUUGUCUAAAAUUUACAAUCUUUAACAUGGCACAUCACUAAAUUUAAAUAGUUGAUUUCACAAUCAUUAUAUCUACAUUUGGACCUUAAUAAACCUAGAAAUUAUCCAUGCCAAAACACAUUUAAUGUGUCCAAGAAUCAGACAGUAUAAUGCAGCCAUUAAUCAAAUUUGAAUUUGAAUAACAUAAGACAUACUAGACUCUUCUACAAAUGCUGGAAAACUUGUCCUUACCAGGCUGUUUAAACGGCAUAAACAAGGUAAAAUCAUGAGAUUUAAUCCGGCUUUUACUCAUUAAUUUUUUUCAAAGUCGAACCGCAUCUUUCAUGUCCCAAAAAUCAUAAAAUUCAACAUGCAGUAUCAUAAAAUUAGUUUGAGCUCCAACCUUUAAAUUUUCAAAAGAAUAUCACAUCAAAAAUUGGAUAGAAAUAAUAUAAAAUUUCUUAAAACAAAUUCCAUAUGGACAAACUAUAUAGAAUGUCCCUUCAACUAACUAAUGGUUACCUGUAUCACUGCCACACCACCAAAUAAUUUAGCAAUCCUUUUGUUAAGUUUUUCCUUCUCAUAAUCCUGUUCUGCAGCCUGCAUUAAAGUAAUAAUAUAACUAAUUGCAUACUCAAUGUCUGCCACGAAUAUUCAUUGGUAAUUCAUUAUUAAAAGUCAUCAUACGGUUAGGAAAGCUGGUGCAAAGUUUUCGAAGAUUGAAUUUCAAAUGUUACCAUGUUACCAUGCAAUCGGCCCAAAACUAAGCAAUUCAUGUCCCCAAGUUAGAUGGUUGUGGCCAAUACAUGACUAUUUCAGCCCAAAACUCUCUUUCCCUUUUGUCUUUUACAGUUCAUUUUUUUCAUGAAAUAGUUUUUGAUGUCACGAAUUUACGAACUAAAGUUUAAACAACUUUUUUCACUGAUAUCCAAUAUUGACUGUUAAAUUGACUUAGAUUUAAAGUAUGUUCUUUUAUCUAUCAAUGAAUAUUGAUUUACUAUACCAAUCAUUGAAUUAUUACUUGAAGCUUAAUGGCAGAACUUUAAAAAAGAAAAACUUAACAAUCUAGUAACUUAAAUAAAAAAUUUUGUAUAAUUCAGUGAUAAAAUUAUAUAUGUUUUUAAUUUAGUGGUUAAAAUAAAACUCAGUGUUGUAUUUAUAGCAAAAAAUUUAUGAUUAUAUUAUACCAAAUUUAUAUGGAGAUUUUGUGACAAAUAAAUAGUGGAUACUCUUGAUAACAUUAACAUGUAGUUUGGCAAACACCUGAGGAUAUUGUUGUUAAUACAUUUUUCAAAAAAAAUAGAUAUUUCUUAGUGCCGACUUUUAGAUGCUUAUAUUUUGAAAUAUUAAUAAAAUUACAAUUUAAUUUUCAAUAUUCUUUAAUAAUUAUAUACUAGAAUUUUACUGUUAAAAUAAUCAUAAAAACUUGAAUUUAAACGUAUAUUAAAUCUGAUUGUAGAUAGCAAUAGAAAUCAUGUAACAUUAAAUCUGAUUAAUGCGUUAGAUACUGUUCAUCAUUUUCAUAUAAUAAACUGCAAAUUUUGAAGUGCCAAUAAAUAAGUUCAGAUGAAAGCAUAAAAACUUACAAAUACCCUUCCAUUCAAAGGAACCUUUCAAAAGGAAAGGCAACCAAAAUAGAAGGUAAGAUGGUUAUGAGAAAAGGGAAAUUUAAUAAUCAACUAAAUCAAUUGUCCAGAGAAAAAAAAUCCUGAGGUAGUUCAAAAUCAGAGUAUAAUUUCAGGUCAAGUAAUUAUUAAAAAAAUAAUCAAAUUAGUAUAUAAAAUUACAUACCUUCACGUUUGCGUGCUUCCUCUUAUUCUCUCCUCUUUAAACCUCACAUAGAAUAUUUUCUUCCUCUUGAUAUCCCUUUCCUGCUUCCAGGCCUGAAUAAUUUUCUAACAUGCGUGCCAACCUAUUCUUCUCUUUCAAGUCCCCAUCAUGAUGCUGCCUACUCAACUCAACUUCCAGCUACAACAUAGAAAAACAGAAUUACGAAUGAUUAUAUCAAAAAGGUUGACAAUGGCAAAAAUACAAAACAAAACAGAACCUCUCAUAAAGAAAGACUGCGACAUAUAAACGCUGCUCUUCCCUUCAAGAUAUGGAAAUGCAAAUGAAGAUAGAACAUCUGUUGAGGCAGACUUAAGAUAACAAAUCAAAGUCUUUGAUAUGUUUAUAAAACAUGAAAGGUCAUAUGUUACAAGACCUGGAAAGAGAAGCACUCAAAACAAAGUACUUCUUUCAACUGCAAAACAAGGAAUUAAAAUUUUACCUGUUGUUCACGUUCAUGAAGCACCUUCUCUUCUAGCAGUCGUCGUUGAAAAGCGGCUUCAAUCAAAGGUGCUGCUUCCUCUCUCUUAGCUCUUUCCAUAUGGUUCAUUGUUUUCGCAACCUUUUGUAGUCUCUUCUCCUGUUCCUGCCUCUCCUUUAGCUGCUCACUCAUCGCCUGCUCAAGCAAGGUUUGCUUUGUUAAUUUCUCCUGGACACAUGCAUAGUCAGAACUUAAAUAAAAAAUAAAAAUAAAGAACAGCUUAUAGGAGUCGGAAACUUAAUGAAAAUAAAUGGCUGUUCACCCCAUCUAAAAUUGGCUUCCUUUUCCCUCUUUUCAAAUGCUUUUCAGUUUCCUGUAGAAACACCUGUGCUUCUUCAAACUCCUGCUCCUCUAUUUCCUUACAGAUUCUUUCAGCUCGCUGUUGCUCAAAUACAGCAGCAAGCCUCUUUUUCAAGUGCCUAUAAAAUUCCUACCAAGGAUGACAAUCUAGAAAGAACUAUUGAUAUGAACUCAUGAGAGCAAGUUUUGAUUAGGCUAGGGUUCAAGAGUCUUCACAUUUAUCUAUUUUAACUAUAACAUUUAAGCUUUUAUAGUUUAACUCAGGGACAAUACCAUUUCAAGUAUUUAUCAUCACACUUAUUCAAACUCAACAUCUUUAUUAAAAGGCAGACUCAACAUACCAAACAGUUUAACCUCAAAUUUGCAUUGGUUCAGAUGUCUUUACUCACAUCUUUAUUGACAGGUUUUAUGGAGACUAAUUGUUCUGCUUCAAAGGACAAAUAGAAAGUACUCAAUUUAUCACGUAGACUACAUUACUUCAAAGGACCCAGAAUUGAAUACAAAUAGAAUCGCAUGAAAUUCAAAGAAAACAUACAGUAGAACCUUGGGGGGAACAAAUAAGCAAUAGAACAGACACAUAUGUACCAUUGUUGGAGACUAAUUGUUCUACUCCAAAGGUCUUGCACUGGGAAAGUGGGCGGCGGCCGCAAGUGCAGGUUUUGGAGUGGACCUAGAAGAUGCUGAUUUUGCUGAAAUGUUGGAGAGCAUCGACUGACACUUCUCCUGCUGCUGUUUAAAUCUAUCUAACUUCUCUUGUAAUGCCAUCACUCCAGACCUUAACCUUCACAACUCUCAAAUCCCAGAGACACAAAAGAAAGAAAAAUCAAAGCUGAAAAUCAGAAAAGCUUGUCAAUAGAACUACCCAAAAUCGCUAAAUCUUAAGAAUAUUUCUUUACUUUUCCCAGCUUUUGAGAUUUUCUAUCCAACUUUAAUUUCGAGUUAAAACACUUCAAAUCGCUGAAUCUUAAGAAAAUAACCUUGGUAGUUGGUAAGGGAUUUCAACGAGCUUUCGGCUUCAAUUUCCGUUUAGAUGACUGUCCCUUUGAUAAAAGGUUGAGGAGAGAAUGAGAGUCCUGUUAAAUAAUAAGCGAAAACGCAGAAGAAGAGGGAGUAACGAGCGGGUAACAAAAAAAUAGGAUUUUAUCUGUUUGCGGCGUUUCCACUAAAAACGCCAGUAUAGCUUAACUUUUCACAUUUAAAUUUUUGUGGCCUUUUGUCUAAAAACGUCACUAUUGCUUAAUUUUAAUUUUUUUUUUAUUUUUAACAUUUUUUUCUAUUCUUUUUCUUUCAAAAUUUUUAACAUAUUUUUGUGGCGUUUUGUCUAAAAACGCCACUAUUGCUUAAUUUUAAUUUUUUUUAUUUUUAACAUAUUUUUUUCUAUUCUUUUUCUUUCAAAAUUUUUAACAUAUUUUUGUGGUGUUUUGUCUAAAAAGUCACUAUUGCUUAAUUUUAAUUUUUUUUAUUUUUAACAAAAAAUUAGGGAUUUUGAUUUUCCCUUUUUUGCUGUAGUGGUUUAAUGUGUAAUUGUAGACGUGAAAUUCUAAUUGUGGUUUAAAUGUAUAGUUGAAACUUUAAUUUUGAUUUAAUCAUACACAUUUAAAAAAAUAAAUACAUCAAUAUAUUUUUAUAUUGAAUAAAUAUAAAUAUUUAUGUAUCCAUGCAAUUUAUAAAUAUAAAAUGAUGUUAUAUCAAUAAUUGUGUAAAAAAACGAAAAAACGUGAAGACACAAAUAUAUAUUUUAAAAAGAAAAUGAGUUACAAUUAAAAAACAUGGAGACACAAAUGAGUGCAGAGAAUUUUCGUUCGUAUAAAUAAAUAUAUAUUUUAAUUAAUCAGUAUAGAUAAAUAUUAAAAUAGUAUAAACAAAAAACUAUUAAUAAAAUUUAAAGGUAAACUUAUCAUUUAAAACGUUUUCCACAAAUCCCUUCAAUCCAUUAAACAAUAUAACACUUAUUAAUAUAUAAAAAAUAUUUUUUUAUCAAAAUCAAGAUAUCUAUUAUCGAUAAUAAUAAUUAAUUAUAGGGUUUAGGAUUUAAUUAUUGAAUAUGAUUCACUUGAUUAACAUACUAUAUAUAUACCCAUGGCCAUUAAACCUUAAACCAUAAAACCCUAAAUCAUAGACCUUAAACCUUAAAUAUUAAACCGUAAACCAAAAAAUAAAUUUAAUCAAUAUUAAGUAUUGCUUCCAUUAUUUAUUAUGAACAUAAGCUUUUACAUUAAUAUAUAUGUAUAUACACAUCAACAUCCAUGUGAUGUUUUUAGGGGUUUAGGGUUUUAAAAGUUAUAAUUUAGGGUUUAGGGUUUUUAAGGUUUAGAGGUUUAGUGUUUUAGGGGUUAUAGAUUAGUGUUUAUGAUUUUUUUGGGGUUUAAAGGGUUAUAUGACUUUUAGCGGCGUUUUACCAAAAGCGCCGCUAGUGCUCCGACUUUUAGCGGCGUUUUACCAAAAGCGCUGCUAUUGCUCUGUUUUUAGCGGCGAUUUUAGUAAAAUGCCGCUAUUGCUCUGUGUUUUACAAUUUUUGCGGCGUUUUAUCAUAAAACGCCGCUAAAGCCCUAUUUUCCUAUAGUGAAGUUUAAAUUAAUUAUUAGACCUCUAAUGACACAGUUUUAUCAAUUUGGGUUUCAAAUGUGAUAAAAGCUAGCAUUGAAACUAAAACUAAAAUUGAUAAAAAAAACAUAAAAAUACUUUUAAACUAUUUAAGAACAAGCUUGUUAAAUAUACGCGAGAACCUAAUUUAACAUUUCAAACUACGAUAGAUCAUGCUUCGCCACCCUACAAUUAUAUACAAGGAUUGUCAUCGUUUUAUAGGGUGGGGGUAUACCUACUUUCUGGUCGAACCUCAAUGGGUCCUUGUCGAACUCCAACAUCCUGAGAGGCAACAACUUACAGAUCAGUUGCAAGAGAUGGAUGGGAUAUGGCAAGUGAGGAUUGGAAUAGGAUCAGGAAAUGCAAAGGUCUUCAAUGAAUAAGACAUUUUCUUUGAAUUAAUUCAUUUUAAGGGACGUUUGUUAGCGAAUGAGGAGAGAGCUUGAUGACAUGUGACAACUGACACUAGUUACUCAAGAUGUGAGCAGUUUGAGGCAACCAUACAAGUUUUGAGGGAUUUUUCUUUUGCUAAGAAUGUUUGGAAUAAUCUUGUUCCAAAUGAUCUUGGCAGGUUUUUGCAUAUUAAUUAUGGAUUAACUUGUUUGGAAUUUAAAGAAUAUUGGGCAGAUUGAUGUUGAAGGCGUAGACUGAUCGACUUUGUUUUCUAUUAUUUGUUGAUGUCUUUGGAAGUGUCGUAAUGCUUUUGUGUUUAAAGAUGCAAGUAACAGCAAUGGGGAAGUUGUAAUGUCUAGUCUAUCCUGGGCUAAAAGUUCAACUCACAUGGGGUCUUCUAAUAUUUUUGUUACAAUGAUCUCCAGAGCUGCAAAGCAAUGUUGACAUCCCAAGGAAGGUUGGGUUAAGCUUAAUUCGAAUGAGACAACCGACAUUAAUAUUGGUGUCACGACGAUUGAAGGGGUUCUAAGGGAUGUGAAUUCAAAUUGGAGUUUACCUCGUACCAUGCCUCAUGAUUUGUUGAAAAUGUGUCCGUGCUUUUAUUGCUGUCAAUUAUAAUUAUAGUAGUAAUUAUUAUUAUUUUUUCAGGUUGAAAAUCAAAUAUAUUUGUGGAAUACUUCUCUAUGAGCUCCUUAGAAUCGAAAAAAUCGUUCUUGCGAAUGCAUUUUCACUGCAGCUCAGUCAACAAAAGACAGGUUCUACUGUACCCUUAUAAAAUUUCUCUCUUUGUAAGAUCUAAAUGUUGGGUUUGAUGAUUAUGAAAUCAAGGCUGCUCAUUACCUAACUGAUUGGUUAUCUAAAUGUCUAUUGUAUCUAUAUAUAUAUUUUGUGUGUGUAAUGAUGUCUUGUUUGAUCAUACUUGUGUUGCUUUUCCUCCUGAACCUUGCAUCUUCAGAUAUCAAUCAGGGUCAGUUCAGUUUCAAAGGUUACUUGCAUCUUCAGUAGAUUCAAGUGGGUUCUUUAAACUAAUUUUACAACCCAUACAAAAGGUCACAUCUUCUACAAGAAUCCAAUCCAAUUCAAGAACUCCACGGAUGGUAGUGUUUUCUCUUUUUCCACCACUUUUAUUUUUGCAAUUGUACCGGAAUUCCCAACUUUGAGUUAAUGCAUUGAUUUUCUCAGCCAAUUUGAAGCAGUUAAUGGCACUAAUCUCAUCACAACCCACUAAAUUGCAAACUUUUGAUGGACUUGCAACUACUUCAAGUCAAGAACAACCAUCUAUAUUCACAGCUGCUAUACUUGUUGGUAGCUCAGGCAACGAUUUAAGCAUCUUGCAAUCUGACAAUUUAAGCAAUUUGAGCCUGGAAAGUUUGAGUAAGAGCCAAAGGAAUGGUGAUGAAAUUCUUACCAUUAAGAUCAAGACGUAUCAAAGAGGAUAUACCAGAAAUAUCACCAUGAAUAUCUGCUUCACUAAGAGUGCACAUGUUGCAAUUUGACAAUAUAAGAUAUUCAAGCUUGGAUAGUCGAGUAAGAAUGCAGGUAUGCUGAUGAAAUUGUUAUCACUAAGAUCAAGAUGCCUCAGAGGAUAGAUCAGAAAUAUAACUAUGAGUAUCUGCUUUACCAAGAGUGCACAUGUUGCAAUUUGAUAAUGCAAGCAAUUUAAGCUUUGAGAGUCGAGUAAGAGAUGCAGGUAUGCUUAUGAAAUUGUUACCACUAAGAUCGAGAUGACUCAAAGAGGAUAGAUCAGAAAUAUCACUAUGAUUAUCUGCUUCACCAAGAGUGCAUAUGUUGCAAUUUGACAAUAUAAGAUUUCCAAGCUUUUAGAGUCGAGUAAGAGAUGCAGGUAUGCUGAUGAAAUUGUUACCACUAAGAUCAGGAUGCCACAAAGAGGAUAGACCAGAAAUAUGACGUGGAAUAUCUCUGUUAAGCGCCUGGGCGUAGGAUCUAGUCACAGGUCUAGACAAGAAAGAAUUCUUGCUUCGACCUAUGGUUACUCAAAAGGCAGAUUCGUCAUUGACUGAACCCCCUUCCCCAAACUAACGUUUGUGAUGAAAAUAAACUUCUUGGUUUAUUUUAUAUUGGCAGCCUUUUUAUAGGCUGUUGAUUACAAAGGGAAAGUCCUAAUCUAAUUCCUAAUUUAAAGUCCAAAUAGAAUUUUUAAUUUAAAGUCCUAAUAGAAUUCUUAAUUUAAAGUUUAUAAAAAACCUAGUAAAAUUAAAACUCCUAAAGAAAUUAAAUAAAUGUAAAACUCUAAUUCCUAUUCCUUCUUUGAUAUUAUUUUCUAAUGAAAACAUCUAUAUCAUUACUUCCCUUCUCGGAGUUGAGCUUGUCCUCAAGCUCAAAUUCAGGAUAAGCUACUCGAAAACUAUCAAUUGGUUCCCAAAUGGCAUCUUUUUGGGGACAUCCUCCCCAUUGCACUAAUAGUUCCCGUUGACCUCAAUUAAGCCUGGUAUUAAUAAUAGCUUGUGGAGUAGGUAAGGCCUUGCCAUCAUAUACUAAGGGCAAGUCUCCUACCGCAUCUAGUUGAGGUCCUUUGUAUUCUUUGAGGAAAGAAACAUCGAAUACAUCAUGUAUUCUGCUACCUGUAGGUAAUUCAAGCUGAUAGGCCACUGUUCUUAUUUUGUUCAAGACCUUAAAAGGACCAAAAUAUUUUGGCAACAACUUGUGAUGUUUCUGUUUAGUUAUCGUCAAUUGUCGAUAUUGUUGAAGCCAUAACCAAACCCAAUCCUCGACUUUAAAAUUCAACUCUCUGUGCCCCAAAUCAUAAGUGUUUUUCAUUCGUUGCUGAGCUUGCAAGAGUCUAUCCCGAGAAUUUUGUAAAAGUGCAUCCCUAUCUUGUAGAGCUUUAUCCACAGCUUCAAUCCUUGUAGAACCAGCUGAAUAUGAGAGAAAUCGAGGUGGAUCCCUACCGUAUACUAAUUGGAAAGGGGUGGCUAGGGAAGUGUGAUAUGGGGUGUUGUAGCAAUACUUAGCUCAUGGAACCCAAUCGACCCACUAUCGUGGACUAUCAUUAGAGAGGCAUCGUAGGUACAAUUCUAUUGUUCGGUUAACUACCUCCAUCUGACCAUCAGAUUGGGGAUGGUAUGCUGAAGAAAAAGCGAGCUUAGAACCACUUUGACGAAAUAAUUCCUUCCAAAACAGGCUGAGGAAAACUUUAUCACGGUUAGAAACUAUGGAUUCUGGCAAGCCAUGAAGUCGGAAUACCUCUGCAAAGAAGACGGUAGCAACAGAUAUAGCAGUAAACUGAUGGGACAAGGGUAAAAAAUGAGCGUACUUCGAGAGUCCGUCCACAACCACUAUAAGUACCGAUUUCCCUUUUACUUUGGGUAGACCCUCUACGAAAUCCAUAGAGAUAUCAGCCCAAACGUGUUGUGGUAUUGGAAGAGGUUGAAGUAAACCUGCAGGUUGUAAAUUUUGCCAUUUGUGGCAUUGGCAUACUAAACAAUGUUGCACAAAUUCUAAGGUUUCAAGCUUCACUCCUUUCCAAAAAAAAUCUUGACGAAGAUGAUGCAAUGUUUUCAAUCCCCCUUCAUGUGCCAUAGCAUCUAUAGAGGAAAUAAUAGUGGGAAUAAUUGGUGAGGUAGGUAAAAGGUACAACCUCCAUUUGAAGAAAAUCAACCCAUCUUGUAAUACCCACUCGGACCCUAAUUUUCCUUGUAGAAUUUGUUGUUGGAGUUAUGAUAAUUCUGGGGAAGCUUCUAUUUCUUGUCUGAUGGCUUUAAGAAUUUCAACUCGAGGGAAUGAAACAUUCAUGAGGUGUGGUAAGUCUUCGUAUUUUCUAAUAAAGCAUUUGCAGCUCUAUUCAACUUCCCUGCUUUAUACUCCACUCGGAAAUCAAACCCCAUUAACUUGUUGAUCCAAUGCUGUUGUGGGGAUGUUGUAAGUCGUUGGUCUAACAAGUACUUAAGACUGAAGUGUUCAGUAUGGAUGAGGAAGUGCCUUCCCCAAAGAUAGGGCUGCCAAUGAGUCACUACCUUUGCCAAACCAAUUAAUUCAUGUUCGUAGGCCGCCAACUUAAGGUGUCGAUUUGCAAUCUUGCAACUGAAAAUGCAAUAGGGUGUCCCUUUUGUUGUAAUACGGUUCCAAAUCUGCUAUCUGAAGUAUCACAUUCUACCAUAAAUUCCUCCUCAAAGUUGGGUAAUUGAAAGACUAGGGCUACUGAAAGAAAUGUUUUUAAUUGGGUGAAAGCAACAUCAGCUUCCAUAGUCCAGUUGAAGCAUUUUUCUUUAGAAGAGAUGUUAAGGGUGUAGCCACUUGUCCAUAAUUUUUAAUGAAUUUUCUGUAAUAUCCUGCCAGCCCAAGAAAGCCUCGUAGACCCUUGGUAGUUUUAAGAGUCGGCCAAUAGGUGACAUCUUUAAUUCUAGUGUGAUCAACCUCAACUCCUUUACCAUGGAUGACAUGACCGAGGUAGGUUACCUGAGACUCUCCAAAGAAACACUUGGAUUUCUUUAAGAACAACAUGUUAUCCCUCAAGAGUUCAAAAACUAAUCUUACAUGAUGUAUAUGUUCAGUCCAUGUUUUGCUAUAAACUAAUAUGUCAUCAAAGAAGACUAAAACAAACUUACGCAAAUAAGGGCGAAAAAUGUCAUUCAUCAAACUCUGAAAUAUGGAAAGGGCAUUGGUAAACCCAAAUGGCAUAAUAAGAAAUUCAAAGUGUCCAUGGUGGGUUCGGAAGGCUGCCUUUUCCACAUCUAUAGUUGCCAUUCUAAUUUGAAAAUAUCCCGACCGUAAAUCCAAUUUUGUAAAAUAUUUUGCCCCAUGAAGUUCGUCCAACAAUUCAUCAACUACAGGAAUCGGAUAUUUUUCUUUAAUAGAGCAAGCAUUAAGCUCUCGAUAAUCAAUGCAAAAACGCCAUGACCCGUCAUGUUUCUUUACCAAGAGUACUGGAGAAGAGAAUGGUGAUCUACUGGGUCGAAUGAUUCCUUGUUGUAACAUUUGAUCACACUGCUUUUCAAUUUCAUCCUUUUGAAAAUGUGGAUAUCGAUAAGGCCUAACUACAAUAGGUCUCGUUCCUGGUUUAAGAGUUAUUCGAUGGUUACAUUUGCGGUUAGGAGGUAACCCAGACGGUUCUGGGUGCUGCCCUUACCAUAGUAUCUUCUUUUUGUUUACUACAAAUUGCAUAGUUAAGGAGCUGAAAUCCCAUAAUAUUGGACCAAGGGUACAUAACCAUUUAACCCCCCAAAUCAUAUCAAACCCUUCUAAUGGUAUUGUAUAAAAAUCGGCUUGAAAAUUGUCAUUGGCCACAACGAACUGUACUAAUUUACAAAUGCCUAUGCUAGGAACCCGUUCUCUAUUUGCCACAUAUACUUGCAACCCAGAUUUCUUUUGUUUUUUCAGUCCCAAUCUUGGCAUUAGACCUUCACGUAGAAAGUUAUGUGUACUGCCCGAAUCAACAAGAACUAACACUGUUUUUCUUGACACCUUUGCUGUUAGUUGCAUAGUAGAUGAAUUGCAAGUUCUUCCAAUGGCAUGUAAAGAAAUUUCAAGAUCAUCUACCUCAUCAUCUUGCUCAUAUUCAAUAUCUAGUACUUCUAUCCAAAAUAGCCUUUUACAUCUGUGUCCCAUAGAGUAAGACUCGUCACAAUUAUAACACAAUCCCUUAGCCCUUCUUUCUGUCAUUUCUGCUCGUGUCAAUCACUUGAUAAAUGGUGCAGAAGAACCUAUUUUGUUGUUAUUCCCCAUUGGUUUCGUUGUUUGUCCUCCUCCCUUUUCAAAGCUCUUAGUUGUUGGAAUAAUUCAAGUGCUACCAGCAUUUUGGGAAGCUGACCAGUUUAGAUUGGUUUGAGAUAACAUCUUGGAAGAGACUUUUUGUUUACGUUCCAAAGCUCGAGCUAUAUUCAUUGCAACUCCAAGGUUUUCUGGUUGUUGCAUUUCAAUAUCAAUUCUUAGUUCCUCUACUAAUCCAGCAGUAAAAAGGUUUACUUGUUGCCGAGGUUUAAGAUCAGUAGUCCUAGCAAGUAGUGAUUGAAAUUGGUAUUGAUAUUCUUCUACCGUCCCAGUUUGUCUCAGGUUUACAAGUUCCCUCAAGGGGUUAUUACUCAUAGGUGGUCCAGACCUGACAUGACAACACUCUCUGAAGCAUUCCCAAUCCAGAUUUGCCUCCUCUUCUUCGAUUUGAUCAAACCACAUUUGUGCCUCUCCUAAAAGAUGGAAUGAAGCUAGGCCAACUUUGUCUUCUUCGUUGGUCCGUUGAUUGCCAAAAAAAAUUUCGCAUCUUUUUAACCAUCCUAAAAGAUCUCCAACACCACCAUAAGUGGGAAAUUCCAUCUUAGAGUAUCAUGGCACCAUGCCCCAAUCGUGUUGCGAAUCUGAAUUUCUUUUCUUGCCUCCACUGCUGCCCUAUUCUUUAUUAUUCUUUUCUGAAUCCCCUUUCGUUGUCUUUUGGACCGAAAGAGAAAACAUCGCCAUCUGCUCCUUUAAUGCUUGUUGCGUUGUAGCCAUUUGUUCCAUGAAUGCCUCCAGCUUGGCUGUCAAAGUUUUUUCAUCACCCAUGACAGCUGACUCUGAUACCAAGUUGUUAAGCGCUUUGGCAUAGGAUCUAGUCACAGGUCUAGACGAGAAAGAAUUCUUGCUUCGACCUCUGGUUACUCAAAAGGCAAAUUCGUCCUUGACUGAACCCCAUUCCCCAAACUAACGUUUGUGAUGAAAAUAAACUGCUUGCUUUAUUUUAUAUUGGCAGCCUUUUUAUAGGUUGUUAAUUACAAAGGGAAAGUCCUAAUCUAAUUCCUAAUUUAAAGUCCAAAUAGAAUUCUUAAUUUAAAGUCCUAAUAGAAUUCUUAACUUAAAGUUUAUAAAAAACCUAGUAAAGUUAAAACUCCAAAAGAAAUUAAAUAAAUGUAAAACUCUAAUUCCUAUUCCUUCUCUGAUAUUGUUUUCCAAUGAAAACAUCUAUAUCAAUCUCAUUCACAAAGAUUGUAGUCCCUUAGUUUUAGCUCUCUUAAAGAACUCAAACCUGACAACAAAGGCAACAUCCGAGCCAUGGGAUUUGUCCUCCCUUGGAUUACCCUGAAAAGAGAAGGCAAAUUUGGUAGUAACUUAUAUGAUGGUCCCUUGUGCCCAUUGAAAGAAAGAACUUUAAGAUUUUUAAAUUGAAAAAUGAAGGAUGGUGGUUCUGUUAUAGUUGUUUCACUCAAGUUGAGCUCUUCCAAAAUCUUUGUUUGCUGCAAAUUCUCCGAUAAAUUUUUCACUCUAUAACAACCGAAAAGAUCAAGAGUUUUUAGACGUUCCAUUUUCCCAUCAGUCUCCGGAAACCUUACAAGACUUGAGCAACCCGAAAAAAUUAAUGUUUCACGAGAUUCCAUUCCAAUUUUGGUUGAAAGACUCUUGAGACUUUUGUAAUCUCUUAAAUUCAAAAAUUUAAGGUUACUAAGCACUCUAAUUGAUGGAUGAAGAUCCAAUAAUUUAGUACAACCUUUUAAAAAUCAGAACUUCAAGAUUUGAUGCUUGUGUGUAGUCUAGGGAAUUGAUCCGGUUUUGGACCCAUUAUUAUUUUUAUUUUUUGAAAUAUGAAUGGCUGGAUUAUAUUAAUAAAACAAAUUCCAAAUCAUUUAGAGCCCAGACAAAACAGAAAAUAAAAGAAAGCACAGACAAAGCAGAAACAAAAAGACACCCGACAAUGCAACAAACAAACAUUAAAUAAAAGCAGGAUAAUCCAAACACCCAGGCAGACUUUCCUUUUCCCUAAACAUCUGAGAAAGCGAAACCCUUCAGAUGCCUUCUUUGUUUCGUUGAUAACCAUCAAAAUGUCUGCUCUAGAUCUUUCCGAUGCAACUGGAAGAAACCCUUCAGGUCUGGCUAAACUCUGCAUUUCAUCACUUCAAAACACCAAUCUUCCGUCAAAACUGAGAAACCCAGUAGUCAAUCUAUUCUCCGGUCUGUUUGCCCCCAGUAAAAUCCCAUUUUAUCUUCUUUCUAAGGAGUGGACCUUCGACCUGCUGGACAAAGUGAGCCCAACUGUUGACGGUCCUCUUCCGCUGCCACUUUCGCGUAUGAAGGAACCGCACCAACAAGAUAAGUUUCUUCAUCUCUCUUUAAUCCCACUGUAGCCAAUAGAUGUGCAACUCCGUUUGCUUGUUUUGGCACAUGUUUAAAGAAACAGAUUUGAUACCCCUCACAGAUUGUUCUAAUAUUUGAGAUAUAGGCUCCUAUCACUGACCUUUCAAAUCCCUUUGUUUGCAGCUUCCGAAUCACAGAUAAUGAGUCUCCUUCGAUCUCCACCCUCGAGAAUCCCACAUGCAAUCCCAUCUCAGCCGCAUUUGAGGUUCAUUAUUUUUAACUUAUACAAGGGCUGUUGAAGACCAUCAUAAAUUAGAAACAAAUGAGAAAACAUAAUAAACUUAAAUAAGGCUAUUGUGAAAGAUGAUCCAAUUAAGACGAACCUUGAAAGAGUUCACUAAUCAUAUCACGUCAACCGUUUAAUCAGGCAUUUUGCAUUAAAAAAAAUCUAUAAUUUGACUCAAAAUAAAAUCUUAUAAAUGCUAAGAACAUUUUUUUGUCAUUAUACCUUAAAUUACUAUUUAAAUUUAUAUUUUGAAAACAAAAAAUUCAAAAAAACCCCAUUAAAAUAGUAUAAUUUACAUUACAUUACAAGUAAAAAAUAACAGAUUAUAUAAUAACAUAAUCUAUUUUUUGAAAUCGUAAUUUUCUAAAUUCAUCCAGACCUAUAAAUGCGAAGUGUUGACUUCUAUUUCAACUUGACUUUUGUGGAUUGCUUACUUGCAUUAUCCUUUGAGCCAUGCUUCUAUCGGUCUACGGGGCAAACAUAAAACACCGAGAUUAUUGUUUUUGCAUUGACAUCAUUUAUAUCACUGGUAUAUUAACUUAUCUCAAAUUGAGAAAGUUUUGUUGAUAUUACAGAAAACACAACCACUAACAAGAAUAGAAAAAAGAAAUUAGACAAGAACAAAAACUAAAUCUAUUGAAUUUAAAAAAAAUAGAUUGAUUAAGUCUCACACACGAAAAAGAUUUUUCAAUUAAUUAAAAGAGCAUACUUUAUUUUCAUAUUUGAAUAAGUGUUAAAAAUAAAUGUUUAAACAUAAAUACUUUAUAAACAAUAUAAACUAAAGAGUUGGAAUACUAUUAUUUGUACUUCAAGCCAUGAAAUUUAAACGGUAGGAAUUAAACCUAUUUAAGUACUAUUAAGGACUUAUAUUUAAUUUUCUAAAUAAAUAAAAAUAAUUUUGACUGAUUAAAUUGAACACAUAAAUUAGAUUUACUUCAGUAUUAAGUAUUAAGUUGAUUAGAUUUACUUCAACCUACAAUAAAAUAUAGAUGUAAGUGAAUAUAUAUAUAUAAUAAAAUUAAAAUUAAAAAAAAAGAAAUGAAUUGAGUGACUAAAAUUUAUAAAAAAGUAAUGAAUUCACUAUUCAUGUCAUGUCAACACUAUUAACAGUUCAAUAAGCAUUUUGCAUUAAAAAAUCUAUAAUUUGACUCAAAAUAAAAUAUUAAGAGCUAAAUUGCUUUAAAAAAAAUAAGGGUUAAAUUGUCAAAUUUUAUAAACACUAAGAACUUUUUUGUCAUUAUGCCUAAUUUAAAAGGUUUUAUUUACAUUACAAUUAAAUUACUAUUUGAAUUUACAUUAUACAGGCAACAAAUUCAAAAAGUUGAUUUAAAAUACUAUAAUUUACAUGUAAAAAAACAACUAAUUAUGUAAUAACAUAAUCUAUUUCUCUAAAUUCAUCCGACCCUAUACUUGCUAAAGUGUCCACUUUCAUUUCAACUUGAAGACUUUUGUUGGUCCCUCACUUGCAUCAUCCUUUUAGCAAACUUUCAUAUUUCUACUAGCCUAGGGGACAAACAUAAAACACCAAGGUUAUUUUUGUUGCAUUGAAAUCAUCUAUAUCACUGGGGAGAAGGGAUUUUAUAGAACUGUGAUUCCAUGUCAUCCUUAUUACCUUCUAAUAGGAGAAUAACAAAAUAGAUUUUUCCUCUUGAUUUUCAGCUUUUUUUUCCUGAAAAAUUCAAAUUCAACUAAAACUAUUAAAAUUUUGAUUUGUCAUUCUCCAAUUGCAAAGGUAAAAAGAUAACGUGAAAUCACAGUUUCAUAUAAUCGUUUCUCUAUCACUGGUAUAUUAACUUACCUCAAAUCAAGAAAAUUUUAUUAAUAUCACAAAAAACACAACAGUUGAAAAUCUUGCUCAUGUCAAUAAAAAAUCAUAUCUUUAUUUCCCUAAACCCUAAUAUUAGACAAGAACAAAAAAUAAAUUUAUUGAAUUUUAAAAUAUAUAUAUAUUGGAUAUGAAUGUCUCUUACACGAAAAAGAUUUUCUAGCGUACUUUAUAUUCAUAUUUGAGUAAGUCUUAAAAAUAAAUCUCUAAACAUAAAUACUUUACAAAAAAAAAACAUAAACUUAAGAGUUGGAAUAAUAUUAUUUGUACUACAAACCAUGAAAUUUCAAUGAUACUUUUAUUAGGAGUAAUUAAACCUAUUUAAGUACUAGAAAGGACUUAUUUUUAAUCUUCAAAACAUAUAAAAACAAUUUUGACUGAUUAAAUUGAAGAGAUAAGUCGGUCUCAAAUAAAAAUGAAAUAGUUUUUAACUCGGUCCAAAUUAUGAUCUAAUAUUUAUUAAAGGAUUUCACCUUAUUGUUACCUGCUUUGUCACGGAAACUAUCCAUUUUUCUUUACAUUUUUAUCUCAAAUUGAUUAUAUUUAUUUCAACCUCCAAAUAAAAUAUAAAUGUAAGUGUAUAUAUAAUGAAAAUAAAAUUUUAAUAAAAAUGAAACCAAUCAAAAUUUACACAUUUCAGUUAUGUAAAAAGGAAUGAAUUAAGUGACCAAAAUUUUAAAUGAUAUAUAUAUAAACUAUCUUAUCAACAUUUAUGAUAUGUACAGAAUAUGACCUCCUGUUCAAUAUGAGUAAAAAAUUUAAAAUUUUUUGGUUUAUAAGAAGGGUUAUAAAUAAGUUUAGAAUGAUUACAUUAAAUAAAAGAUGUGUAAAAUAAAAAUUAAUAGGACAAGAUUGAUUAAGUAGUUUACCACAGUUAAUGCUUCUUCCCUGAUUGGCCCAUUAUAAAAUUGAAAAAUUUUUGCAUCAGUUUUGGUUGCAGCCCUUCUUCCUCUGCUUCCUCGGAGAUAUUACGUUUUUGUUGGUGGAUGUGUUCAAAAUUUGGUGAAGAUAGAGUGGAUGUGUUCAAAAUUUGGUGAAGAUAUUACCUUAAGGCUAUGACCAUUGAAAAACACAUGAAGCCCAUCACGUUUAUGAUUUAAGCAAUCUGUUGUCCUUAUAUUAUUGGUUUCACAGCCACCAUAUUUAUCCUCCAAGGAAAAUGGAUAUAAUUUAUCACGCGACCAAUAACGAAGAAAAAUGUGAUCUUUCAUUAUGGGCUUGUUGAAUCGUUUACCCACCAACCAGCCUCUCCUCUCAAUCUGUCGAGGAUUUCUACCAUACAUUAACGCUCCACAGUCGAUAAAGCCCACAUCCCUUGAAGCAUCAUUAUUGACAAAAAUGCAGCAGCAAGCAACUCCAAUCCAUUCACUAUCUUCUUGAAGGUUGAUAGGUAAGAGAAUCUUAAUAAAGAAGACACUUUUUUGUUGGCUAAACCAUUCUGGGAUUUCACUUCCUGGCAUGAUAAUAUCAAACAUUUUUCUUGAAUUUGCAAAUGCCUGCAAAAUAAAACACAAGUCGUUUGGUAACUAAAACCACAAGUUCUCAAGUGUAAGAUUUUGUAAGGGAGAAAAAGAGAGAUUAAUUGACCUUAAGAUGUUUUCUCAGCAGUGUUAAUGCAUUGAUAUUCUCAGCCAAUUUGAAGCAGUUAAAGGCUUUAAUAGCAGCCGAGUCCACUAAAUUGCAUACUUUUGAUGGACUUGCAACUACUUCCAAGUGAAGAACAACCCUCUAGCCACACAUCUUCUAUACUUGUUGGUAGCUCAGGCAACGAGUUAAGCGUCAUGCAAUUUGAUAAUGCAAGCAAUUUAAGCCUGGAAAGUUGAGUCAGAGCCAAAGGAAUGGUGAUGAAAUUGUUACCCCCAACAAAAAGAUAUCUCAAACAGGAUAGACAAGAAAUAUAACUAUGAAUAUCUGCUUCACCAAGAGUGCACAUGUUGCAAUUUGACAAUUUGAGAGAAUCAAGCUUUGAAAGUCCAGUAAGAGAUGCAGGUAUGUUGAUGAAAUUGUUACCACUAAGAUCAAGGAAUUCCAAAGAGGAUAAACCAGAAAUAUCAUCAGGAAUAUCUCCUUCACAAAGAUUGCAGUCCCUUAGCUUCAAUUCUCUUAAAGAACUCAAACUUGACAGCAAAGGCAACAUCCGAGGCAUAGAAUUUGUCCUUUCUUUCUGGAUUACCUUUAAAAGAGAAGCCUAAUUUAUUCGUAACUUAGAUGAUGGUCCUUUGCACCCAUUGUAAGACAGAAUUUUAAGAUUUUUCAAUUGAAAAAUGAAGGAUGGUGGCUCUGUUAUGGCUGUUCCACUCAAGUCAAGCUCUUCCAAAAACUCUACUUGCUGCAAAUUCUCUGGCAAAUUUUCAACUCUAGAACAACCACAAAGAUCAAGUGUUUUUAGACAUUCCAUUUUCCCGUCAAUCUCCGGAAACCUAACAAGAUUUGAGCAACCCGAAAGAAUUAAUGUUUCAAGAGAUUCCAUUCUAAUUUUAAUCGGAAAACUCUUGAGACUUGUGCAGCCUCUUAAAUUCAAAAGUUUAAGGCUCUUAAGCACUCCGGUUGAUGGAUGGACAUCUAUUAAUCUGGUACAACAACCUUCCAUUAUCAAAACUUUAAGUUUUUGUGCUGUUGUGAAGUCUGGUGUCCUGAUCAGGUUUCGGGACCCUUUGAGGUUGAUCAUUUUCAACUUAUACAAAGGCUGUUGAAGACAACAAUAAAUUACAGAGAAAUUAGAAAAUAUAAUAACGCUCAUUUUUGUAUUUUUUUACCUUAAUCAAAGUUUAAUCAUUUAUAUUAAAAUAAGUUAAAACACAAGGAUAAGAUGAGUUAAUUCUUACUAUGUUUCCUUUACAUAGUUGCUCAAUGUGACUAUAUGUUAAAAGAAGUGUGACAAGGUUGUCCGGUUGGAAGCUUGAAGACAAGUAUCUUAAAGGAUAUCCUGUCCAAUCUAAAAGUCGUAGUUCAUUAGAAAGAUAUUUGAGAUUGUCACAAUUUGAUUGGCAAAGCACUUUGAGCAAUCUCAAUUUUUUCAUCUUCGAGAAGAUAUCCACACUCAAAUUGAGCAUCUUGCUCGAUUCCCUAAUAACCAUGAGCAAAAUAAAAAUAAACUUCAAAAUAUACAAAAACAUUCGAUAUCUAAAAGCUAUGUUGCAUCAAUAUUGUUUUUUUAAGUACAUGUACCCCAUACUUAAAUCUAAUAUAUAUCCGAAUAGAGUAUUGAGAUAGGAUUGAACAUAUUAAACAAUACUCUAUCUAACACUUACAUUCAUCUUUUAAUUACCUAAACCUAAAAAAAUUAGAACUAAUAUUUUAAUUUAUGUUUGGUGCAAUAAUAUGUAAUUCUAUACAUUAUUGGUGAACCAAAUGAUCGCAUAACUUGGAUUUAUUUUUGAAAACUUUUAAUGACAUGAUAUAACCUAGUUGAUUGAUAUAUUGUCAUUACAUAAAAUAUAAACCAUCAAUAUUAGUAAACACAAUGACAUACAUCUCUUUAUAAUUUCCUGUGAAAGAGUAUUGUGUUUCUAUAUAAAAUAUAAUAAAUAUAUCAUCAAAACAUUAAGUAUUAAGAUUGUGCUUGGUUAGGUGAAAAGUGGAGGAAUAUGAGGAUGAAAUGGAAAAGUAAUAGUGUCAAGAGAAAUAUAUUUUCCAUUCAAUUUCCAUCUUUUCUACCAAACACAUCUAUGGCAAAAAAAUUUAUGUUUUCCAUCCUUUCAGUUUUUUUAUCCUAAUUUCUUUCCACUCUACCAAGAAAAGCCAAAAAAGGUUUUGUCAUUUUUAUUGGAUAUUUUUCAAAAAAUAAUAAAAAUAUUAAUAGUACAUAUUGAUAAAUUUAUGUAUGUAUUCUUACCUUUUAUUGUCGAUGAUCAUGCCUUCAAUCACUUUGGUUGCCUAAAAAGAAUCAAGAAUAGACAAUAAGAAGACAAAAUAAAUGGUCUAAAUUGUACAAAAAAAACUUUUGAAAAAUUACAUACGUGCUCAACAUUAUCACAAUCUUUUGGUCAAAAUAUAGUAAAUAAAAUAUUUUAAACAAAGUAAAACAUUUACUAAUGAGAGUAAUUCAAUAAAAUUAGACACUUGUAUUACAAAUCCUUAUUAAUAUUUAUAAUCAACAAAUGAAAAUUAUCUUAAAGUUACUCAAUGUUACUUAAGGGUUGAUACGUAAAUCGAUUAGAUUAAGCUUUGGAUUUACAUCAUAUAUUGAUAGAAAUAAAAUUUUGUAUGUAAUUUUUGUUGAAUGAUUUACCGUGUUUUUUACUAGAACAUGAUGGACAUCGCUUUCCUUCCACAAUCUACAACGUUUUCCAGGUUUAUCAACACAUUUUUCUUCAACAAUUUUUCUUCCCAUUUCUUGCAAUAAGGCAUGCAUCCUCAAAUAUUGGUUGUCAUCGCUGACUUUUAUAAGAGAUUUCUUAAUGAGAACAUCGAUUCCAAUAUUCGAAAAAAACUCACAACCAUCUAAUACUUUCAUUACCAAAUCUUUCUUCUCCCCGUUGAAAAAGCAUACUAUAUCUAGAAAUAUAUUCUUUUCCCUUUCUUCCAGUCCAUCAAAGUUGAUUCUUAGUGUGUCAAGAAUUUCUUUGUUAGAAUCUUGUUUAAGUCUUUCAAUUGCACUUCUCCAUUGAGCUAAAUCUCUACCGUACAAAAAAGAACCCAAGAUUUCAAGAGCUAAGGGGAGACCACCAGCGUAACGUACAACAUGUUUAGAGAGCUCAAUAAAAUCAUCUUUUAGUACUGUAUCACUAUCAAAAGCUUUCAAAUUGAAAAGCCUAUGUGCAUCGUUUGGAUUCAAUGUUGUAGGUUUAUACACAUCAUCGAUUCGAUAAGAUCGGAGCAAUUAUUCAUCUCUUGUUGUUACAAUGAUCCUACUCCCUAAAUUGAACCAAUUACGUCUUCCAACCAAGCAUUUCAAGUGUUGUACGCUAUCAACAUCAUCAAGAACAACAAGAACUUUUUUGCUAGACAAUCUACAGCUAAUUUUGGCAUUCCCUUCAUGAACAUUGAAAAAGUUGAGGCAUUCAUCUGGCAUGAUUUGAGAAAGAAGUUGUUUCUGUAAAGAAACAAGUCCAUGUUUGUUUGAAACUUCUCGAAUAUCAGCAAAAAAACAUUUACCUUCAAAAUGAGAUGAUAUUUGACUGCAAACAACCUUUGCAGGAGUUGUUUUACCGAUGCCACCUAUUCCGCAAAUUCCAAUGAUGCGGACAUCGUCUUCCCCAAUGUUUAUUUUCGAAUACAACUCCUCCAAACGUAAACUAAUUCCAAUACUCACCAUGAUCAUGAUCAAUUGGAUAUAUCUGAUCUAAUUUUGCUAAUAUCUUCUUAUCAAUGUCUCUGAUAAACUCUGGUUCAUGCCUACAAUGAAAUAAAAAAUCGUUGCUAUCUUUCAAAUGAUCUUUUUCAUUUUUAAUUCAACGAAUCAAGAAAUAUAAUAUAGCUGGAAGCAAACAAAAAGCAAGAAUAAGACAGUAAGAUAUAUUAUAACAUCAAAAUACAGAAGUUGCUCGUUAGAAUUCUUAGUUAAACACGAAAUCAUAAAAAAAUAACAUGCAAUAAAAUAAAAAACAAUCUUUUAGUCAUUAAAACUAGGAAAUAUGGAAGAAAAGAAAGAAAUACCUAUUAUUUAAAUGCCAUCCCGAGAUGUUAGCCACUUCAGUCGAAGCAUUUCGCCACUUUUGGAUCUUGUCUUUAUCUUUCUUGUAUCUUUCUUCGUGUUUGGCGAAGGCUUCUUCAACUUUUCCCUUCUUUUUUCUUAAAUCGGAUGGAUCCACGUCAUAGAAAAUUGGAAAUACUUCAUGACCCUUGUCAUUUUUCUGUUUAACAAUCUCCGCAAGCUCCUCCAAGCACCAACCUGAAAAGGCAUAGGUCUCCGAAAAAACGAUUACCGAGCACCAUGAUUGCUGAAUUGCUUUGAAGAGUUCCGGUGCGAUCUCUUCACCGGCCUCCAACUUUGGAUCGUCUCUAAAAGUGACAAUCCCACUUCUAUUUAGAGCAUCGUAGAGAUGAUCCGUAAAGUUCUUGCGGGUAUCUUCACCUCUAAAACUCAAGAAAACAUCGUAUUUCUUUCUAGAAAUGGAUGAGGAAGUCGAAAGUAACGACAACAUGAGGAUAUAUGAAAAGAAAAAUAUAUCUCAAUCUGGUUUUGAAAUUCAGAAAAAUAUAGAUGGGCCAAUGCACCAGAAAGAAACUAGAAACAUUAAGUAUAUGAGAAUGAAAAAGGAGAAAAACAGAUGAAGUUUCGAGGGAAAAACAAAGGAUUUUUGUAAGAAAUUUCUGUUUUACUUUUCGAAAUGAAUCUACCAUGAAAGGGAGUCGGUGUGGAAAUUCGGGGUUAUAGCUGUUGUUUCCGGGAAGAUUCCAUGAAGGUGAGAGUUGACAAAACGGAGCCUUCAAUGGGUUGGAUGGUUUGUGUUUUACUUUUUUUAUUUUUACAUUAUCAUAUCCACCUUAUAGUCAGCAGCUUCUAAUAUAAGAUAUGUGAUUUUAGAGAACUUUAAUAUUUAAUUAAUUUUUUUAAAUAUUACACUCUUAAUUAUAGUAAUUAUUAUAAGAUUUUUUAUUUAAAUUAUUGAAUAUAAGUAAAGAAUCUUAAUUUAAUAAUUUAAAUAUUAUAAUAAAUAUAUAUUGAAUCGAAUUGGAAAGCGCAUGUUCCAUUAAUGAAUUAUGCUCGGUUGUUACUUCAGAAUGGCUGAUAAAUAGGGGGCAUAGACUGUGGUCUUUACAGAAUUUAUUUGGGGAUAUCAACUGUGGUACUAGGCAGAUGGCUCAAUUUCAGGUUGCAGUUACUCAUCGACAAAGUAAUGGUACGGAAGAUGCUGUAUAUUGAGAUCUUCUUUUUUUAAUUUCUCAUGGUGAAUUGGAUAGAUGUUUUCUUGUACUUGUUGUGUACUGGUUUUUGUAUCUAGAUGUCAGUUGUGAUAUUGUUGUACUCAUGUUGCUCUUGAAAGAGUUGGUGGUUCCAACGUCUUUCUUGAAGUAUUUCUUCGAUUGAGCAAAAAAAAAAAUUUUUUUUAAAAGAUUAUAAUAGAUAUUUUUAAAAAUGAUAAUUAAAAUAUUUUUAACAUAUUUAACAUACAAUAUAAUUUUCCUUUAUAUAACUAAUGUAAAAUAAUAUUAUUUUUAAAUAUAAAUUUAGUAAUAUGAAACAAUAAAAAAUAUUUUCAGUCAGUUAAAAAUCAUCAACUUAAAUAUAAAUUUAGUAAUAUGUGGAUGUACUUGUUAUGAGCACGAGGAAGGAGAAAAACACACGAAACAACAAUCAACUUUUAUAAGAAAUUUGUGUAUACUUUCCCACCUUUUACUUUUCCAAAUGAAUCUAAGUUGACGAUAAUACCUAUUAAAGGGUGUAGGUGUGGAAAUUCCGGGCUAUAGAUGUUUCCUGGAAGACUACAAGACGGUGAGAGUUGGCAAAAUGUAGCCUUUUAUAGACCAAAUUGGGUUGGGUUUAGUCUGAGCCCAAUUAAAAUUUUAGACCCGUUUAUUAAAUUUAGGCUCAGUUUCAUCUAAAAAAUAAAUUUAAAUUUUUUCAUUCUCAAUUCAGAUAAAAAUAAUAAAAUUCGAGCUUGGCUUGUCUAUAUUAGAUUUUUAUAUUAUUUUUACAUGAAUUUUUUAAAAAUAAUAUAAUACAUUAAAAAUACUAAAAAUAUUAAAAUAAAUAUUUUCUAACAAAAUAAAAAUAAAUUAAAAAAUAUGUAUACUUAAAUAUUAAAUAUUAAUGUUAUUUAAGAACGAAAAAAAAAUUUAUUUGAACAAAGAACACUGUUAUUUAAGUUACAAAUAUGUAUUAUAUUAAUCUUAUCCUAAUAACGGUGUUAUAAUAGCAUGCUAUUGUAACGUUUUUAAGUAACAAAUACAAACAAUAUUUUUUUGUUUUUUAACCUUGUGAAGUUCUUAAUAACACUGCUAUUUAUUUAAUAACAUGCUAUAAUAAUAAUGUAAUAAUAUAUUAAUCCUAUUUGAAUCGGAUUUAAUAUAUUAGUAACACUAAAUUUUAAAAUAUAUAUAUGUUUAAAUAACCGUGUUAUUGUAACACUAAGAUAAGUACAACUUAACAAGUAAAUAACUUUAAAGUAGCAACAAAAUUAACAAUAAAAUAAGAGUUAUACAAUAUUCAAACAAUAAAAUAAGAGUUAUAUAAUAUUCAACCAAUAACAACAUAAUAGUAAAAUGGUAGCAAAAUAGUGAGAAAACAACUAAAAAAUAGCAACAAACCAGUAAAAAAUAAUAUUUUUUUCCAAAUUCUGGUCGGGCCGAGCUUAGGCCAAAAAAGCCUUACCUGAGGCCCGACCAAUUUUUUAAACGAGCAUUAUCUUUUUGUCCAAACCCAAUUUUCGGGUCUAUAUUUUUGUCCAAACUCUUCCACUUUUCGGGCAGACCUUUGGGUUGAGACGAGUAGUCCAACCCAUGGACAGGCCUAUCUACAAUUAUUAUUAAGUAAUAAGUAAAGUGUUGGAUGGUUUGUAUUUUACUUUUUUUUUUUUUUUGCAUUAUCAUAUCUACUUUAUGAUUACUAGCUUCUAAUGUCACAUAAGUUGGUCACAAAUGAAAAUGAAAUAGUUUUAACUCAGCCAAAAUUAUGACCUAAUUCUCAUUAAAGGAUUUCGUCUUAUUAUUACAUACUUCGUCACAAAAGUUAUCCAUUUUUUCCACAUUUUUGUCUCAAGUUGAUUAUAUUUACUUCAACCUUCAAAUUGUUAUCAAAAUGUAAAAAGGAAUGAAUUAAGUGACUAAAAUUUUAAAUGGUAUAACAAAAAAACUAUAUUAUCAACAUUUGAGAUAAGUAUAGAAUAUGAGCUCAUGUUCAAUAUGGAUACAAAUAAAAAUUUUAAUUUUUUUUUUGGUAGAUAAGAAGAUUAUGUCUCAUAGGCAAAUUGUUAAAGAUGACCAGCAACGCAACAACAAGGAUGUUUUGGUGCUUAAUCAUGCAGCUGUUUUUUUUUUUCAAACUAGUUUAGUUUAUUUGUAAUCAAUCUUGUUGGUGUAGAAAGACUAGUUAGUUUAUUUGUUUAUGUUUAGGUGAUGAUUUAGCUUAUAAGUCAACUUGUUUAUGUGUUCAAGUUAUGUUUUGUGAGUUUCAAUGUCAUUGGUGGGAGUUGUUAUGUAUUAGGCAAUUGUUUGUAACAAAAGUGAACAAUUGCCUUAAUGAAAAUCAUAUUAGCUACGAGUUUUUGCUAAUCAUCUUUCAUUCUUCUUCAAUUUUCUUUUCUUCUAUAUUUUUCUAUUUUGGUAGCAAAAACUCGACAAAUGUUAUCAAGAGUCUGUCAUCUUUGAGGGCCUUUGUUCUUUGAUGUUUGUUCCUUAUUGUUUGUUUGGAAAGAAAGAAACAUUCAUUGUUGUUUGUUUGAAAAGAAAGAAACAUAAGUUGUUUUUGUUACUAUAAAAAAAUUGAGUUUUUCACCUCUACCACCACCUAUUUUUGCAAGUGAAAACUACCACAUAUGGGUAGUGAAAAUGAAAACUUAUUUACAGGCUCAUGAUUUGUGGAGUGUGGUUGAGGCUGAUGCAGAAUCACCUCCAUUGAGAGCUAAUCCUACCAUAGCUUAAAUUAGACAAUAUAGUGAUGACUGUGCUAAGAAAUACAAGGCAAUGUCCUGCCUACAAAAUGGAGUAUCAGAUGUGAUCUUCACCAGAAUAUGACAUGUGACUUUCCAAAGCAGGCUUGAGAAAAGCUAAAGGAAGAGUUUUAGGGGUUUGAUAAAACAAGGCAACACUAGUUGAUAAAUUUGAUGAGAGACUUUGAAAAUUUAAAGAUGAAAGAGUCAUAAUCGAUCAAGCAAUAUUCUGAUAGGAUAAUGGCCACAGUCAACAAUAUCAGAUUGCUUGGAGAUGACUUCAGUGAUAGAAGAAUUGUUCAGAAAGUUAUCACAACUCUUCCAGAAAAGUAUGAGUCAAAGAUCUCUUCAUUGGAGGACUCGAGAGAUUUAUCAAUUAUCUCAUUGUCAAAGUUAAUAAAUUCUCUUUAUGUAUAAGAGUAAAGAAGGGCUAACAGAUUGGAGCUUUUCAGGCCGGAAGCAAGGAUGGCUCAACAUCAAAUUGUAAGGGAAAGAAACCUUAGUCAGAAAAGAAAGAGAAGCUAAAGAGAGAAGGUGGAAAGAAAAUGUUCCCACCAUGCACUCACUACAAGAAGUCCACACAUUUAGAAAGAUAUUAUUGGUAUAGGCCUGACAUCUAGUGUAAAAGUUGCAACCAACUAGGCCAUAUGGAGUAAGUUUGUAAAAAUAAGGAAAACCCAUAAUAAUAGCAGUAGAAUCAAGUUCAAGCUUAAGCUACUGAUGACAACCAAGUUCAAGAUGAUCAUGUUUUCACUACAUCCUAUUUUGCAACCUCCAGUAGGGUAAAAAAGGAUUGGCUAAUUGAUAGUGGCUGCAUACAUCAUAUGACAUUAGAUGAAAGAAUAUUCAAGGAGUUAAACAUCAGUUUUGUUUCAAAAGUUAGAAUUUGGAAUAGAAAUUUCAUUAAAGUCGAAGAGAGAGGAGAGGUCGUGGUCAACACUCACUAAGGUAUCAAAACAAUCUCAGAUGUCCUUUUUGAACCUGAAAUUGAUAAAAAUUUAUUUAGUAUUGGUCAGCUUAUAGUGAAAGGUUAUUCUCUCAUUUUCAAAAAUAAAGUCUAUGUAAGGUUAUUCUCUCAUUUUCAAAAAUAAAGUCUAUGUGAUUGUGGACUCAUUUGGUUAGGAGCUAGUAACAGUGGACAUGGUUGAUAGAUGUUUUAUUCUAGAUGUAAAUUAGUUAACAACGAAAGUUUAUGCUAGUCUAAUUGAUGAAUCAUGUUUAUGGCACAAAAUAUUAGGGCAUGUUAAUUACAGAUCACUUAGUUUGUUGCACAAGUUGGAUCUAGUUGAAAAUAUGUCUAAGGUUGAUGUUAAAGAUGAAGUUUGUGAGGUCUAGAGCUUGGGAAGCAAGCCAGAUUUAUCAUUUUUAGUCAACACAACUUGGAGAGCUCAUAAUAAGCUUCAACUGGUCCAUAAUGUGGACCCAUGAAGACUUCCUCUCUAAGUGACAAUAGGUAAUUUGUUUUAUUUAUUGAUGACUGCAUAAGGUUUUGUUGGGUAAAAUUUUUGAAGCAAAAAUAAGAGGUAGCUUAUUUCUUUUGCAAGUUUAAAUGCUUAAAUGAAAAUCGGGCAAACUAUAAGCUUAAGGUCUUAAGAUCAAACAAUGGCACUGAGCACUUGUCAGAAAAGUUUCAGAAGCUUUGCGUAGAGGCAGGAAUUUAGCAUCAACUGACUACAAUUUAUACACCUAAGCAGAAUGGUGUUUGUGAAAUAAAGAAUCGAAUAGUGUUGGAUAUGGCUAGGUGUUUGUUAUUUAAAAGCAAAUUGCCAAACACUUUUUGGGUUGAGCCAGUGAAUACCUCAGUGUAUUUGCUUAAUAGGUUACCAACUAAUGCAGUGAAAGGAAAGACACCUUUUAAAGCUUCGUUUGGACACAAACCAUCUAUUUCACAUUUGAAAGUGUUUGAUUGCAUCUAUUAUGCACUUUUACUAGCUAAAAAGAAAAGCAAGUUAGAGAGAAAGUCAAUGCUUGGAUUUUUUGUUGGCUACAAUAGCACAAAGAAAGAGUACAGGGUUUUUGAUCCUUCCACCAAUAAGAUUUUUGUGAGUAGGGAUAUGAAGUUUAAUGAAAAUAGUGGAUGGAAAUGGUAUGGCACAGAUGCAACUUUGCUUGAACAAGAUAAAAAAGAAAGUGGUCUACAGCUAGUUGAAAAUGAAAUUCAUUUUGAUGUAGGGUUUGAUGACAUACCUAUUAGGGGUACAAGGCCAAUCACUAACAUUUAUCAAAUGUGUGAUCUGGCCAUUUUGGAGCCUUAAAUUUUUUAUGAAGCUUCCAAAGAAGCUUGUUGGAAAGAAGCAAUGCAAGCAGAAAUGGACAUGAUACACAAGAAUGAUAGAUGGGAACUGGUUGAUAGGCCAGUCCAGAAAAGAAUCAUUGGCGUAAAAUGAGCAUUCAAGACCAAGUAUAAUGAAAAUAGGUCACGGAAUAAGUGCAAAGCAAGUUUAGCAGUGAAGGGACACAUCUAACACAUGGAGUCCAUUUUUUAGAAACAUUUGCACUAGUUGCAAGGUUAGACACUAUAAGGCUCCUAUUUGCUUUAGCAACUCAAAAAAUGUGGAAUAUAUACCAGUUGGAUGUAAAAUCUACCUUUUUGAAUGGUUUUUCUCAAGGAGGAGAUUUUUGUUGAACGACUAGAAGGGUUCAAAGUGAAUGGUAAAGAAUCCAAAGUUUGCAAGCUUAAGAAAGCCUUGUAUGGCCUAAAACAAGCUCCAAGGGCAUGAUAGAAUUGAUGCUUAUCUGCCACAGCUUGGGUUUUAAAAAAGUGUCGAAACCAUUUUUAAAAUCGAGUUUUAGGAAAAUGGGAAUCGACUUUAAAAAUGAAAACGGGAGUCACCACUAAUCUUUUUAGGUGUGAUUGGAUCACCUUAUAAAAUGUUUUGUUUUAAAACAUUAAUUUUGGUCUACGAAAGUCGAGAAAACGGAUUCGGGAGUCGGUUACGUACGAGUAAGGGUUAGCACCCUCGUAACGCCCAAAAAUUGGUACCUAAUUGAUUAUCAAGUGUCUUUAAUGUCGGAAAUUAAAAAAUUUUAAGAUGUAGUCCUCUUUAAAAUAUUUUAAUUUUGAAAAUUUGGGUUCACCCGUAUCAAAGUAUUGACACUAAGUUAACCUUUUUUGGAAAUUCUUAUCUCGAAACAACAAAACGCUAUAUCCAAUAAGUUAGGACAUAUUGCUUUAAAAUUCCAAGAUAGUGGCUUGCAUUUAGAAAACCUUUAAAAAAACUUAGAAGGGUACUUGAUUAUUCAAACUCAACGAGAAAAGUGGCAACCCAAUAAGUUAGGGCACUACUUUCUCGAAAUUUCCAAACACCAAGCAUUGCCUUUAUAUUUUUUUGAAAACUUUGGAGUCUCAUUUUUAAAAAAAAAUGUUGCAUAAGGAAUCACAUUAUCACUAUAGAAUAGAAUAUUGCAAUAAUAAGCGAAUAAAACAUGCAUUUUAACGAUACAAUAGCAAUAAUACAAAAAUCAUAUACUAGAUGCAUACAUUUUAGAAUUACAUAACAUCAUAUAUACAAAGAUACAUAUAACCUAUAUUGAAGAUGGAUAAGCAAAACAUACAAACAUACAUAGUAAUAAUUAAGAAAUGAUACAUGAUACACAAUUUAAAAGAAAUAUAAUAUCGAUGUACAUGUUCACAAAAUAUAACAUCAAGUAAUAAAUAUAAAAAAACACUUAACACACAUCAUACAUAAUAUAAAAACUACAUAAAAGAAUUAAUAUAUAUAAAAUAUAAUAUAAGGUGAAUAAUUGUUAACAAAAUAUACAUAUAAUACAAAUAAAAAUAUGACAUUUAAUAAUAAUUUUAAAAUAGUAUUUAAUUAUACAAUAUGUAAUAUAUAAUAACAGAAUUUAAAAAUAUAUUGUUUUAAAAAAAUAAUGUAUAAGAAUUUAUAUUUAUAAUAAAAUAAUUUUAGUGUAAGUUUAGCAUAAUAUAAAAUAAGUAAUUAAUGAUGAAAUAUACAUGUUAUACAAAUUAUAAUAUUAUAAUAUCCUCAAAAUAUGUAAUAAUAGAAUAUAAAUAAAGUAAUUAUUAAUAUAUAAAUAAAGAUAAGUAUAUAAUACAAGUUAAAUCCUUUAAUGAUAAUAACAUAUAGAUAAAAAAUAUAUAAUAGUAUAAAAAAAUGACAUAAUAAUAUAAAAUAAUAUAUAAUAUGUAUGUAAAAAUAAGGUAUAGUAUAUAUACAAAUAUUUAAUAUAUAAUAUAAGUAAAAAUAUAAUAACCAUAUAUAAAUAAUAAUGUAAAAUAAUAAUAAUAUAAAAUAACAUAUUGUUAAAAUGUAAGAUAAUAUAAAGAUAAAGAUAUUUAAAAAUUAAGUGGUAAAAAUAUAGUAUAGAUAUAGGAAAAUAAUAUACGAUAAAAAUAUAAGUAGUAUUUUUAAUAAUAAUAUAUGUAUAGCUUUUAAAAAUAAAUAAGUUAUAUAUAAAAUAAAAUAACAAAAUUUAAAAAUAGUAAAAACAAGGGUUAAAGUUGAAUUUAAAUAGACUUAUAAGGCUAAUUUGCAAAAUAGUAUAAGUUCUGGGCUUGAUUUGCAAGAAUUAAGACGACAAAGGACUCACUGGGCAAUUUGCCCUAAUCCUAAGCGACGUUGUUUCCAGAAUGCAAUAACUGUUGGGACUAAAUUAAAACUAAAACAAAAUAAUAGGGCCAAAUCAUAAAUAAAAUAAAGCGUAAUUAUAAACUAAAAAGGGUGGAAGGACCGAUUGGGUAAUUAACCCAAUUCUAAAAAAUACGCGGAUCAUCCCCGGGUAAUCGGGUCAACGCGCGGAUCCUGAGGCCUUUAAAUGACGUCGUUUUUAGGCUUAUUAACUUAAGCUAAAAUGGUGCCGUUCUGUUAAUGCUAUAUAAGCCAAUUUUUAGUUUUUGAAUCAUUUGAAAUCUGUUUUAAAAAAAAAAGAAAAAACUCUUUGAAGGAGAGUUGGGGAGGGGUAUUCGGAGGGUCACCGGACCUCCAUCUAGGGGUCUACAUGCGCUCACGCGCCCCCGUUGCCUCCACCGCACAUGGUGGUCAGAGGUUUAAAUACCUUUGUUCCCUCAAGCAAAACCCAGGUAACCUCUUUGUCUUUUUAACAUCCACAGUUUUUUACUAAAACAGUUCAUAUAUAUAUUCAAAAAUAAAACACGAGACACAUGAUUAAAUCACCUUUUCUAAAAACUGUUGGUAUUUCCUUGAACGAAUCUAUGUAAGUAGAUUUCUAUUCUGUAAAAAAGUCCCUUUACACUGUUCUGAUUCGGGCUUUUAUAGCCACUGUUGCUAUUACAUUUUUGGAAAGAAACCUUUUCUUCCAUGUUUAUUUUGUUUGCUGUUGCGUUUCUUUCCUUCUUUUAUAGGUAUCAUCAAGGAAUCCGGCAAUGACAGUGCUGGUGUGGAUUCUUGGUGUUGGUGAGGCGCUGAUUACGGAGGCAGAGCCUUGAGUGAUGGCCUCGAUUGGAGAGCUGGACAGACGCUCCCCGAACCUUCUAGAACCUGUUGCGGUGCGAGGGGAAAGAGCUAGGGUUGAAAACCCUAGCUGAUAAUUUUGGGUUUUUGGGCCUCUGUUGUUUGGGUCUAGUUUAGGUCUGGGCUUCGGGUGCAUUUGGGUUAAGGUUGUAAUUGUAAUGGGUCUAGGGUGUAAACGGGUUAAGGGAUAGUUUUAGGCCUGCUAGGUAGUAAUCGGUCUAUUUGGGUAUAACGGGCCUGAAGUAUUUGGGCCAAAAGGGUUUGAGCUAAAGGAUAUUGGGUUAGUUUAGGGUCUGUUGGGCUGGUUAUUUUAUUUGGUUUUGUAACCUGGACUGUUUUUUGAAUGGACUUAAAUAAAUAUUUAUUUAUUAUUUUGCUUUUGGGUUUUAAAACCCAGUCAAAUUUGGGCUACUACAGUUGCCCCUCUUUGCUCAUUGCUGUGUAACAGGAAUUGAGCAAAGACUCAGAAAGACCAAAUUUGACCGGUCUUAUCAUGGUCUUCAAUCUGCUUCUCGUAAACUUAUGACUGUCAUGUUGGUAUCUUCGAUCUGCUCUCCGCCAAACACAGAGACGCCAAAUUUGCUUCUUCGAUUGUUCCUUGUAAGCACCAGGGUACCAAACCAUCUUGGAUCUGCUUCAGCAUAAACAUCUGAAGGUGAGAUCUGCUAUGUAUCUGCUCUUCCUCAAAGUGAAGAACCAGACUUUGAUUCAUUCUCUGACAAUACAGAGAUGCCAAAUCAUCUUAGAUUUGCUUCAGCGUAAACACGUGAAAGCCAAAUCAGCUAUGUUUUCGAUUUGUUCCUUGUAAGCACAAGGAUGCCAAACCAUCUUGGAUCUACUUCAGUAUAAACAUCUGAAGGUUGGAUCUGCUAUGUGUCUGCCCUCCGUCGAAGUGGAGAUUCCAGACUUCGAUUUGUUCUCUGACAAUACAGAGAUGCCAAAUCAUCUUAAAUUUGUUUCAACGUAAGCACGUGAAAGCCAAAUCAGCUAUGGCUUCGAUUUGCUCCUUGUAAGCACAAGGAUGCCAAACCAUCUUGGAUCUACUUCAGUAUAAACAUCUGAAGGUUGGAUCUGCUAUGUGUCUGCCCUCCGUCGAAGUGGAGAUGCCAGACUUCGAUUUGUUCUCUGACAAUACAGAGAUGCCAAAUCAUCUUAGAUUUGCUUCAACGUAAACACGUGAAAGCCAAAUCAGCUAUGUUUUCGAUCUGCUCUCCGCCAAUACAGAGAUGCCAAAUCCGGUAUCUUUGAUCUGCUCUCUGACAAUACAAAGAUGCCAAAUCUGCUAUCUUCAACUCGUUCCCUAUAAACACAGGGAUGCCAUGCUGAAAUCUUCGAUCUGCUUCGCUGUAAGCACAUGAGUGUCAGAUCUGUUAUCUUCGAUCUGUUCCCUAUAAACAUAGGGAUGCCAAAUCUGCUAUCUUCAUCUUGUUCCCUAUAAACACAUGGAUGCCAUGCUGAAAUCCUCGAUCUACUUUGCUGUAAGCACAGGAGUGUCAGAUUUGUUAUCUUCGAUCUGUUCCCUAUAAACAUAGGGAUGCCAAAUCUGCUAUCUUCAACUUGUUCCCUAUAAACACAGGGAUGCCAUGCUGAAAUCUUUGAUCUACUUCGCUGUAAACACAGGAAUGUCAGAUCUGCUAUCUUCGAUCUGUUCCCUAUAAACAUAAGGAUGCCAAAUCUGCAAUCUUCAACUUGUUCCCUAUAAACACAGGGAUUCCAUGCCGAAAUCUUCGAUCUUCUUCGCUGUAAGCACAGGAAUGUCAGAUCUGCUAUCUUCGAUCUGUUCCCUAUAAACACAGGGAUGCCAAAUCUUGUUUCUUUGAUCUACAUUGUCCCAUAAAAGACAUAACCUGUAGAAUGCGUAUGAGUUCAUGCCUAAUAAUUAGGAUGCUAUGAUCGAAGUGAGUCAAAUUCUCCUAAUUAGACAUGUUAUAAUGCAAAAUGUUAUGAAAAUGAUUCCUAUUUUGGAUGUCAUCACUCAUUCCUUCAUCGAAGUUUAUCCUUACUUCUCUCGAAGUCUCAUUCCAACUCAACUUGUGGGUUUGUACCAUUCUUCAAAUGCUAUGACCUGCUGAAAAUGUCUGUAAGAUGAUCCUCUCCUAAGAUCGAAUCGUUUGAUUUGUUCAAUCAUCAUUUAGACUGAAGAAGAAAUUUCAGUUUCCCGGAGUACAUCCGACCCUCACAUAUGGGAAUUCCUUAAACAAUUGUCUUGUUUCAGUUUCUUUUAUUAUCUAGAAAUUUCCAGAGUAAUAUGCAAAACUUCAUUUGUGAAGAUAUUUUAGUUCAUCUAUCAUUAUUUCAAUGCAACAUGCUUUAUGAAUAAUAGGAGACAAAUAAAUUGAUCCUGAGGAUAAUUAGAUUUGGACAAAUUAUUGGAAGGAAUAUAAAAAGAUUAACUUGAGAACAUAUCUUUGCGAAGAAAAAGAAUCCAAAGAUAGUAAAUAGGACAGAAAUCAGAUGCCCCAGAUAUCGCCGCUUGAGCGUCUAUACACCAGCUCCAUGAAGGCUUUCUUAAGUUCAACAUGUGUUUAAAAGAUCCAAAGUAAUUCGUUGAUGCCUCGAUAUACUUCACUUCUCUUCGAAUCCGGUAUAGCAAAGUCACUGCAUUACUUUCCAAAUUUGAGCUGCCCUUUCGGGUUUUCAACUGAAAACCCCUUUUGUCUCAAGGCGCCCUUUGCGGGUUUUCACCUUGGCCUCUCCAUUUUUUCUUUUUUCUCUUUUUUAUUUUUAUUUUAUUUUAUUUUUUUCUCUUUUUCUUUUCUUUUUUUCCUUUCUUUUUCUUGAAAUAGAAGUCCCAAAGUACCCUUUGCAGGUUUUCACCUUGGCUUCCCUUCUCCUUCAGAUAAAGUACUCCUUGACCGAGUCCGAAUUCACUGGAUCAGAUAAAUUCUUCCUAUCCAUUUCUUGUCAAAAUCAGUGCACCUCUAGAGAAAGCCCUCUUUGCAACAUAUGGCCCUUCCCAAUUCGGCAUCCUUUUGCAUGGGAAGGAUCUCUUUCAGCACAAGGUUUCCUUUAUGAAAUUCUUUUGGACGAACCUUCUUUGUCAUAAGUCUGUGUCAUCCAUUCUUGGUACAUUUUCUUAGGAUGAAUACUUUCAAGUUAAGUUUACUAGAGGUAUUCAAUUCUUGACUCCAUCAAAUCUUGGAGGAAAAAUCUUGAUUCAUAAACCCAUGAGAAAGGGAUUGCCCUAGCAGCAGUCCUAGCUGUUGUUUGUCAAACCCUACAAAAAGAUGGUUCAAUGAUUCUCAGCAGACCUUGUUGACUUUAUCCUUCAACCUGGAAAGCUGAGGUACAGAGAUUACUCCCUGAGCAUACAUCCCACCAUGACUCAAUGAUGUUUCUGAAACAUCCCUAAUCUUCAUAAAUUGCCCCCAACUGUGAAGCUGCCAAAUGAGCGUAGCAAAUAGGAGCCAUAAAAAAUAUGGCUGUGGUGCUCCUUUGAUACAUAUAGGAUAGAGAAUGAACAAAAUCUUGCAGAUCAUCAGCCGAAAACCUAGCCUGGUCUAAGAGAACAUGAUAGUGGGUCUGCCUCGUGAUUCCAAUCAUUCCAGCAUGGGUACCAAGGUAAAAAUCAUUAUUCUUUGGAUGGCAUACUUUGUUGUCAAUGACAGUACCAUGUAGCACAUUGUCAAGAGAUCCCUGCUGAAAAAAACUUGGUAUGAUAGUUUUUCGUACAACAAUAACCACAAUCUUUAGGGUUCCACUUCUCGUCAAGGAACUUGCAAGCCUCAAUAACUUGAUCAAAACUUGAUUUAAUUGAGACUCGCUAACUCCAUCCCUAAAAAUAAUGAUUUGAUCAGGUUUCCUCUUCCGUGAACUUGUAUAGAAGUCUAAGAGAGCUUCCUUCAUGAUACUGUUAUCCACUUUGUCAGAAACUGGUUUUGAACAAAGAAUCUAUCAUUUUAAUCUUCAGAGAUUGUGUACGGCCUGAUGCCCUAUAGCUGGAAAUCAAUGGCCACCGCUUGGAGCUAACCAUCGCAACUAUUGACGGCACAUCAGACUGCUCAGGAAAGCCAAACAAUGUACCCAUUCCAAGGAUGAUGGUUGGAACCUUUGAAACAACUGGAAUUGAAGGUGUUUUCCCCAGCGUAAGCAUAGAGAGUAGGCUGUAGUUUCUUAUGCCAAUUUUUACCAGUCUCGGUCAUCUUCUAUAAUUUGUUUUCUUUUUCUUUUUCUUUUCUUUUGGCAACUUUUGUUGUCCUGUGGUAUGGCGCAUUAUCUUUGAAAAGACUGCAAACUUUUGGCAUUGUGCAGUUAUAUAUAAUCUUUUUUUUUGAAAUGGAUGAAUUUUGACUUUGUAAUAUUGGCCUAUGAAGCUAUCUCCCCCUCUUAAUGGAGUAGUUGACGUCCACAAAGAUGAGUCAUUGUCAACUUGAAACUUUUGACGAGCUCGGGCCCAUAACAUACAUGCCCCAUAAGUCUUGACUCCUUUAAAUUUGGCAUUCAUUGUACAACUGAUGCGAUCCCUUUCCAUGGUGGACCAACAGUGCCUCAAAACCUCAUGUUUAUCCUGGCAAUUGCAAAUCCUCCUGCAUGCGUUUUUGGACCACAUUUUUGAAUUCCCAUAAUAGUCUCAACAAGGUCUUGUUUUGUCUCCUCAGCUAAUUCCAAUUUCGCAAUCUUUCCUUCCUCUAAGGCUAUAUUUCCUACCACCACCUCAUGGGGUAAAAAAAACCAUUUUCAACAAAUUCAGAAACAAGUCACAAUUUCUGUCACCUUCAAAGUACUGAGAUUCCUCUAAACACAUAUCGCACUCAAAAGGAACUCUGAAUCUGUAGUAUCAUUCCGUGUCAUUGAUAUCUAGGGAUCUAUGAUAGGCACACAAAAGAAUAUACAAGGAACAAAUGAAUUCAAGAAUGACUAUUUACAUGAAAUGAAAAUUUAUAAAGAAUGUCAAAGGUCAAAAGAAUCAGAAUGAAAGAAUAUUUACUCGGAUAAAUAAUAAAAGUAUGUUUUAUUGAAAAUAAAAAUGUCUGGACAUGAGCCCACUUCUCAAAAAAAAUCUCAUUACUCCUAGGAUUUAGAGCAACAAGAGUGUUUUGAAUAUUACUCCGUAAAAUUCCUAAAGAUUACAGGAAGUUCUUCUGCAGUCCAAUUGUUUAAAGAACUUCCCGGUUCGUAAGGGCGAAUGCCCUCAAGGUUUCUUUGUUCAGUCCAUUUCUCAUGUAUGACAUUGAUGGGAUGAUUUUCAUUUCCAAACACCCCCUUCUCCGGGUAAGCUAUCCCUCCUGACACAAAAGUCAGGGAUAUGUAAGGGAACGUCGUUAAUUCCCAUUCAACUUCUUUUUCACUCAGCCGUGACCCUCUUCUCUCUCUCUCUUUUUCUUUCUCUUUUUAAUAACUUUAACUAAUUAGGGUCUUUUUAUAAUUUUGAAUGCAAAUGAUGCAAUGAAAUGCUAUAAGAUGCAAAUGCAUGAAUGCAAAAGGUAUCGAUCUCGAUUCAAUCUCAUUUAGAAAACUUUAUUUAGAAAAAAAAAUAUCUUUACAUAUAAAUGGAUUACAAAUACGCUUUCGCCCUAAUGCCCAAAAUUUUAAAAUAAACUCUUAGCCACGAUCUAAUUGUAUCUCAUAUUGGUGCUCAAUAUGUCAGCCUAUACCACCAAUGUCUGUAAAUAAUCAGCUACCUCCUGAGUUUGAGCUACGACCUCACUUGUGGGGUAAUCCGUGCAGCUAGGGAUACCUCCUCCAAUACCUGUGAAAUUGUUCUGAUUAUCCUGAGAGAGAAAAUUGUGAACAAGCAGGCAUCAUUGUUCUGCAGUAUGCUGCCUUAAAAUGAUAUCCUAUAUCCUCAAUGCUUCUUGAGAGUUUUCAGAUUUCUGCUUCCGCAGAGCAUUGCUUGUAUGGGUAUCCUCAUAGCAUAGCUAAUCUCUAAAGGUAUUUGUAUGAUACGGUCUUUUUUAAUCGCUUUCUUUCACGCUUACUUGAGCUAUCCAGGCCAUCGGGCUUGCAAGUACUCAAGCUUGUUGUUUGGUAGCGGUCCUAUAGUAAACGAGCUUUUUACCAUCAUAGGCAAAAUUCUUUCCAUCCAACUCAUUUUGUAGGUCUCAUGCACUCUAUCAAUCACUUUCCUUCCAAUACCCAUACCAUCCACAUGGCAACCGUCUUCAUAUGAAAGAGAAACGCUAUAAUGGUAGAAAUGUCCAUCAAUACUCCCACACUUAUUUUGAAUUGCUCAUUUAUCCUCCUGUCAAGCAAAUACUGCAAGUCCCCUUAAUUAUUGUAGAACAACUGCUUGGCUUCAUUACUCCAUUGAUCCCAUAUUUCUUUUAACUCCUAGAGAUUAUUUUGAUCCACGCUGAUGCGAGGGUAACCCCAUAAUUCUGAUGUGUAUCCUUCAGUGUUUCCUUUGACCAUUUAUGGACGUUAACGUUGCCCUCCAUUCUAUCAAGAAGUCCGUUCUCCAUAAUAAAACUUUUUAACUUAGAAACUGACCGUGAAUCGAUACCUUUUAAAUGCAAAAUGACAUGCACAAAAGAAAGAAAAUAGUCAGUAUCAUAUGAUAUUAAUAAACAUAAAGAUAACCUAAGUAUAAUUCUAUCUAUAUUGAGCUCUUACGAUUUUUCUAUAUGUGGUUUGUUUCUAAAGUUUGAGGUACCCGAACCAGCAGAUUCCUCGACCCUCACCCAUUAUAGGCUCAUUUGAAUCGAGUUCAGUUCAGAGGAAUACAUUUCCCUAUGGCUACACGGAGAUGAAAAUCUCACGAAACCAUAGGUACGGAUGUAUCCCGAAAGUGAUCCACUAUCCUGCACAGAAGCGAAAACCUCAUGAAGGCAUAGCUUCUCACUCCCACUUAAGGGUGUGACCACAACGGUCAUGCAAAUGCAAUGCGUAUCAGAAUAUAGCAACACAUGCAAUAAUACAAACACAUGUAAUGCAAAGAGGAUUAAAUUUUAAAAUUUUUAAUUUUCGAUAUUAAGACAAGAGAUAAUCAAUUACACGGCUUGACUCUCUUAUUAGUCCCCAGCGGAGUCGCCAAGCUGUCUAAACCAUUUUUAAAAUCGAGUUUUGGGAAAAUGGGAAUCGACUUUAAAAACGAAAACGGGAGUCGCCACCAAUCUUUUUAGGUGUGAUUGGAUCACCUUAUAAAAUGUUUUGUUUUAAAACAUUAAUUUUGGUCUACGAAAGUCGAGAAAACGGAUUCGGGAGUCGGUUACAUACGAGUAAGGGUUAGCACCCUCGUAACGCCCAAAAAUUGGUACCUAAUUGAUUAUCAAGUGUCCUUAAUGUCGGAAAUUAAAAAAUUUUAAGAUGUAGUCCUCUUUAAAAUAUUUUAAUUUUGAAAAUUGGGGUUCACCCGUAUCAAAGUAUUGACACUAAGUUAACCUUUUUUGGAAAUUCUUAUCUCGAAACAACAAAACGCUAUAUCCAAUAAGUUAGGACAUAUUGCUUUAAAAUUCCAAGAUAGUGGCUUGCAUUUAGAAAACCUUUAAAAAAACUUAGAAGGGUACUUGAUUAUUCGAACUCAACGAGAAAAGUGGCAACCAAUAAGUUAGGGCACUACUUUCUCGAAAUUUCCAAACACCAAGCAUUGCCUUUAUAUUUUUUUGAAAGCUUUGGAGUCUCAUUUUUUUUAAAAAAAUGUUGCAUAAGGAAUCACAUUAUCACUAUAGAAUAGAAUAUUGCAAUAAUAAGCGAAUAAAACAUGCAUUUUAACGAUACAAUAGCAAUAAUACAAAAAUCAUAUACUAGAUGCAUACAUGUUUAGAAUUACAUAACAUCAUAUAUACAAAGAUACAUAUAACCUAUAUUGAAUAUGGAUAAGCAAAACAUACAAACAUACAUAGUAAUAAUUAAGAAAUGAUACAUGAUACACAAUUUAAAAGAAAUAUAAUAUCGAUGUACAUGUUCACAAAAUAUAACAUCAAAUAAUAAAUAUAAAAUAACAUUUAACACACAUGAUACAUAAUAUAAAAAAUACAUAAAAGAAUUAAUAUAUAUAAAAUAUAAUAUAAGGUGAAUAAUUGUUAACAAAAUAUACAUAAAAUACAAAUAAAAAUAUGAUAUUUAAUAAUAAUUUUAAAAUAGUAUUUAAUUAUAAAAUAUGUAAUAUAUAAUAACAGAAUUUAAAAAUAUAUUGUUUUAGAAAAAUAAUGUAUAAGAAUUUAUAUUUAUAAUAAAAUAAUUUUAAUGUAAGUUUAGCAUAAUAUAAAAUAAGUAAUUAAUGAUGAAAUAUACAUGUUAUACAAAUUAUAAUAUUAUAAUAUCCUCAAAAUAUGUAAUAAUAGAAUAUGAAUAAAGUAAUUAUUAAUAUAUAAAUAAAGAUAAGUAUAUAAUACAAGUUAAAACCUUUAAUGAUAAUAACAUAUAGAUAAAAAAAAUAUAUAAUAGUAUAAAAAAAUGACAUAAUAAUAUAAAAUAAUAUAUAAUAUGUAUGUAAAAAUAAGGUAUAGUAUAUAUACAAAUAUUUAAUAUAUAAUAUAAGUAAAAAUAUAAUAACCAUAUAUAAAUAAUAAUGUAAAAUAAUAAUAAUAUAAAAUAACAUAUUGUUAAAAUGUAAGAUAAUAUAAAGAUAAAGAUAUUUAAAAAUUAAGUGGUAAAAAUAUAGUAUAGAUAUAUAGGAAAAUAAUAUGCGAUAAAAAUAUAAGUAGUAUUUUUAAUAAUAAUAUAUGUAUAGUUUUUAAAAAUAAAUAAGUUAUAUAUAAAAUAAAAUAACAAAAUUUAAAAAUAGUAAAAACAAGGGUUAAAUUUGAAUUUAAAUAGACUUAUAAGGCUAAUUUGCAAAAUAGUAUAAGUUCUGGGCUUGAUUUGCAAGAAUUAAGACGACAAAGGACUCACUGGGCAAUUUGCCCUAAUCCUAAGCGACGUUGUUUCCAGAAUGUAAAAACUGUUGGGAUUAAAUUAAAACUAAAACAAAAUAAUAGGGCCAAAUCAUAAAUAAAAUAAAGUGUAAUUAUAAACUAAAAAGGGUGGAAGGACCGAUUGGGUAAUUAACCCAAUUCUAAAAAAUGCGCGGAUCCUCCCCAGGUAAUCGAGUCAACGCGCGGAUCCUGAGGCCUUUAAACGACGUCGUUUUUAGGCUUAUUAACUUAAGCCAAAAUGGUGCCGUUCAUUUAAGGCUAUAUAAGCCAAUUUUUAGUUUUUGAAUCAUUUGAAAUAUGUUCUGAAAAAAAAAAGAGAAAAAGCUCUCUGAAAGAGAGUUGGGGAGGGGUAUUCGGAGGGUCACCGGACCUCCAUCCAGGGGUCUACACGCGCUCACGCGCCCCCGUUGCCUCCACCGUACAUUGUGGUCAGAGGUUUAAAUACCUUCGUUCCCUCAAGCAAAACCCAGGUAACCUCUUUGUCUUUUUAACAUUCAUAGUUUUUUACUAAAACAGUUCAUAUAUAUAUUAAAAAAUAAAACACGAGACACACGAUUAAAUCACCUUUUCUAGAAACUGUUGGUAUUUCCUUGAACGAAUCUGUGUAAGUAUAUUUCUAUUCUGUAAAAAAGGUCCCUUUACACUGUUUCGAUUCGGGCUUUUAGAGCCACUGUUGCUAUUACAUUUUUGGAAAGAAACCUUUUCUUCCAUAUUUGUUUUGUUUGCUGCUGUGUUUCUUUCCUUCUUUUGCAGGUAUCAUCAAGGAAUCCGGCAAUGACUGUGCUGGUGUGGAUUAUCGGUGUUGGUGAGGCGCUGAUUAUGGAGGCAGAACCUUGAGUGAUGGCCUCGAUUGGGGAGCUGGACAGACGCUCCCCCAACCUUCCAGAACCUGUUGCGGCACGAGGGGAAAGAGCUAGGGUUGAAAACCCUAGCUGAUAAUUUUGGGUUUUUGGGCCUCUGUUGUUUGGGUCUAGUUUAGGUCUGGGCUUCGGGUGUAUUUGGGUUAAGGUUGUAAUUGUAAUGGGUUAAGGGUGUAAACGGGUUAAGGGAUAGUUUUAGGCCUGCUAGGUAGUAACCGGUCUGUUUGGUAUAACGGGCCUGAAGUAUUUGGGCCAAAAGGGUUUAAGCUAAAGGGUAUUGGGUUAGUUUAGGGUCUGUUGGGCUGGUUAUUUUAUUUGGUUUGUAACCUGGACUAUUUUUUGAAUGGACUUAAAUAAAUAUUUAUUUAUUUAUUAUUUUGCUUUUGGGUUUUAAAACCCGGUCAAAUUUGGGCUACUACAAAGAGCAUCAAUGAGUCUACUCUUUAUGUAAAGAAAUAUGAGAAUAAGACCUUGUUGAUUGUGUCAUUGUAUGUAGAUGAUUUGAGAUGUCUAAUUUAGGGGAGAUGACUUACUUUCUUGGCAUAGAAGUAAUCUAGACUCAGCAUGCCUUUUAUAAGUCAACAAGCAUAUUUGCUUUGAAGAUUUUGAAUAAUUUCUUCAUCGGAAACUGCAAACCUGCUAGCAUUCCGGUGGCACUAAGUGAGAAGCUUUCUAGCAAAUGUGACUAUGAAAAAGUGGACGAGAAACGGAAUAGAAGACUUGUAGGUUGUCUGCUUUAUUUGAAAGCAUCAAGGUCUGAUAUUAUGUUUGCAGUCAAUCUUCUAUCAAGAUUUAUGCGCUGCUGUAAUGUUUCUUAUUCAAAGCAGCUAAGAGGGUCAUAAGAUAUGUCAAGGGAACUCUCAAUUAUGGGGUGAAAUUUGUGAAGACUGAAGAGCUCAAGUCGGUUGGAUAUUCAAAUUAUGAUUGGGCGGGCUUGGUUGAUGAUAUGAAGAGCACAUCAGGGCAUUUUUCACUCUAGGCUCAGGAGUUUUUUGUUGGAGCUCAAAGAAGCAAUAAGUGAUGACACAAUCAACAAUAGAAGCAGAGUACAUUGCAACUACUGUAGUUGUUAAUGAAGCCAUUUGGUUGCGAAAGCUUUUGUUUGAUUUGAAUUUAAGUCAAGGGGAAGCAACAGAUAUCAAUGUUGAUAAUCAGUUUGCUAUUGCAAUUGCAAAGAAUCCAGUGUUUUAUGGCAAAACAAUGCACUUUAAGAUUAGAUAUCAUUUUGUAAGGGAAGCUAAGCAAUCGAAGGAGGUCAACCUGAUUCAUUGCAGUUUAAAAGACCAAUUUGCUAACAUUUUAACCAAGCCUCUUGGGACUACUAUGUUUGAGAGUUUGAGAAGAAGUAUUGGUGUCUGCUGCAUAAAAGCCCAAGGAGGAGGGCUGAAGAUGGCCAACAAUACAAUAACAAGGAUGUUUUGGUGCUUAAUCAUGCAAUUGUUUUUGUUUUAUCUUUCAAAGUAGUCCAAUUUAUUUUGUAAUUAGUCUUGUUGAUGUACAAAGACUGGUUAGCUUAUUUGUUUAUGUUUAAAUGAUGAUUUAGCUCAUAAGUCAGCUUGUUUAUGUGUGCAAGUUAUGUUUUGUGAAUUUUAAUGUCAUUAGUGGGAGUUGUUAUGUAUUAGGUAAUUGUUUGUACCAAAAGUGACCAAUGCCUGGAUGAAAAUCAUAUCAGCUAAGAGUUUUUUCUGAUCAUCUUUCGUUCUUCUUCAGUUUUCUUUUCUUUCAUAUUUUUCUGUUUUAGUAGCAAAAACUCAACACAAAUAACUUUAAAAUAAAGAUGUAAACAUGCAUAAAAAACAUUACUAAGACGAGGUUGGUUAAGUAGUUUACACAGUUAAUGCUUCUUCCCCGAUUAGCCCAUUAUAAAAUUAAAAACUUUUUACAUCCGUUUUGGUUGCGGCCCUUCUUCCUCUGCUUCCUCGUAGAUAUUUCGUUUUCGUUUUAGGAGAGAAGUGCUACCAAUAAAUCCAUUGUUUUGAGCAGAGUGUUGGUGGAUGUGUUCAAAAUUUGGAGAAGAUGGAGUGCUAUGGCACUGCAACUCUUUUAUUUCUUACAAAUCUUUCUUAUACACUAUUCUAGCACCACACUUCUUCACCUUAACACUACUUCCAAUGAAAGACACCUCAAUCUCAUCACAUAUUCGAUCUGAGCUAUUUGUUGUCCAUAAAUUAUUGGUUUCACAGUCACCAUAUUUAUCCUCCGAAAAUGGAUCGAAUCUAUCACGUGACCAAUAAUAAAGAAAAAGGUGAUCUUUCAUUAUGGGCUGGCUAAAUCGUUUACCCACCACCCAUUCUAUCCAAUCAAUCUGUCGAGGAUUUUUACCACAAAAAAUAGAUCCAUUACAAUAGAUAAAUAUUCCACACUUGGUAUCCUGGUUGUCAUCCCUUGAAGCAUCAUUAUUAACAAAAAUGCAGCAACAAGCAACUCCAAUCCAUUCACUAUCUUCCCGAAGGGGUAUCUUAAUUGAAGAGUUAUUUUCUUGUUGACUAAACCAUUCUGGGAUUUCACUUCCGGGCAUAAUAAUCUUAAACCUUUUUCUUGAAUUUGCAAAUGCCUGCAAAAUAAAACACAAGUUGUUUGGUAACUAAAACCAUAAAUUCUCAAGUAUGAGAUUUGUAAGAGAGAAAAGAGAGAUUAAUCAACCUUAAGAAGUUUUUUCAGCAGUGUUAAUGCAUUCAUAUUCUCAGCCAAUUUGAAGCAGUUAAUGGCUUUAGUGCCAACCGAAUCCAAUAAAUUGAAUACUUUUGAUAGACUUGCAACUACUUCAAGUGAAGAACAACCAUCUAUCCACACAUCCUCUAUACUUGUUGGUAGCUCAGGCAACGAUUUAAGCAUCUUGCAAUCUGAAAAUCUAAUAGAAUAAAGCUUGGAAAGUCGAAUAAUAGAUGCAGGUAUGCUGAUGAAGUUGUUACCCCUAAGAAGAAGAUAUCUCAAAGAGGAUAGACCAGAAAUAUCACUUGGAAUAUCUCCUUCACCGAUAGUGCAGAUGUUGCAAUUUGACAAUUGAAGGAACUCGAGCUUUGAGAGUCAAGUAAGAGAUGCGGGUAUUCUGAUGAAAUUGUUAUCACUAAGAUCAAGACGUAUCAAAGAGGAUAGACCAGAAAUAUCACGUGGAAUAUCUCCUUCACAAAGAUUGCAAUCCCUUAGAUUUAGCUCUCUUAAUGAACUCAAAACUAGCAGCAAAGGCAACAUCCGAGGCAUGGGAUUCGUUCUUCUUCCUAGGAUUACCUUGAAAAGAGAAUACAAAUUUGGUCGUAACUUUUCUGGAUGCAAAUUCUCCGAUAAAUUUUCAACUUUACAACAACCGGAAAGAUCAAGAGUUUUUAGACGUUCCAUUUUCCCAUCAAUCUCCGGAAAUCUUACAAGACUUGAGCAACCCAAAAGAAUUAAUGUUUCAAGAGAUUCCAUUCCAAUUUUAGUCGGAAGACUCCUAAGACUUUUGCAAUAUCUUAAAUUCAAAAGUUUAAGACUCUUAAGCACUCCGAUUGAUGGAUGAACAUUCACUAAUUUGGUGCAACCUUCCAAAAUCAAAACUUCAAGAUUUGAUGCGGUUGUGAAGUCUGAUGUCUCGAUUAGGUUUUGGGACCCUUUGAGGUUCAUCAUUUUCAACUUAUACAAGGGCUGUUAAAGACAAUAAUAAAUUAGAGAAAUAAUGCUCAUUUUUUUUUCUUUACCUUAACCAAAGUUUAAUAAUUUAUAUUAAAAAAGCUAAAACACAAGGGUAAGAUGAGUUAAUUCUUACUCUAUUUCCCUUCCAUAGUUGUUUAAUGUGACUAUCUGGUAAAAGAAGUGCGAUAAGGUUGUCCGGUUGGAAGCUUGAAGGCAACGAUUUUAAAGGGCAUCCUUUCCAUUCUAAAAGCCGUAGCUCAUUAGAAAGAAAUUUGAGAUCAUCACAAUUUAAUAAGCAAAGCACUUUGAGUAAUCUCAAUUUUUUCAUCUUUGAGAAGGCAUAGACACUUAAGUUGAGCAUUUUACUCGAUUCCCUAAUAACCAUGUUUAAAUCAAAAAAAAGCUUUAGGAUAUACAAAAACAUUCAAAACCUAAAAGCUAUGUUGCAUAGACAUUGUUUUUUUCUUUUCAGUACCUAUAUCCAACACUUAUAUCUAAUGCAUAUCAAUAUCUGCAUAUUAAGAUACAAUCCUUUAAAAACUCUUUAAACGCAAGAAAAAAGCUUUUUUUUUAAAUUGAACAUACCCAUAUUAAAGACUUGUUGUAUAUAACAGUGAUAUCAAACAUCAAAUUACCUAAUCCUGACAAAAUUAUUGAAUAAAUAUUUUGAUUUAUAUUUAGUCCACAAGCAAUGCAUAAUUCUAUACAAGUUAAUGACACAUAAUUAAAAAUGAAACCCAUUUUCAUUAAAAAAAACUUUUGAUGAUAUGUAAUAAUCUAAUUCAUUGAUAUACACUAGUGCAUUAAAUAUAUACCAUUAAUUUUCUAAAAACACAUAAAUUUCUCAAUUCUUUUGAAAGAGUAAUAUGUUGCUAGAUAAAUUUCAUAAUUAAACAUUAAAAUAUUAAGUUUUAAAAAAGAUAAAAUAAUUAUUUACAGUACAAAAAGAUAUGUUUAUGAGUAUUUUCUUACCUUUUAUUAUUGAUGAUUAUACCUUCAAUUACUUCUGUAGCCUAAAAAAUUCAAGAACAAAAAAUAAGAAAACAAAAUAAAUGGUGCAUAAUGUAAGAUAAAAUUUUUGAAAAUUUACAUUUUUAUUUAGCUUUAUUAUCUCAAAAUAUAAUAAAUAAAGCAUUUUAAACAAAAAAAAAACAGCUUCUAAGGAAGCUAAUGCAAUGCAAUGCAAUGCAAUUAAAUAUUUAUUUCUACAAAUUCUUUGGUAUUUGUAAACAUCAAACAUAACUUAUUUCAAAAGUACUAAAUAUCACUUUUUAAGGCUAGUUGUAUCUACCAAUUAGACUAAGCUUUGAAUUUAUAUCAUAUAUUGAUUAGAUAUUCUAUAUAUAUAUAUAUUAGGUAAUUUUUGUUGAAUGACUUACAGUGUUUUUUGUUAAGAUAUGAUGAACGUCUGUUUCCUCCCACAAUCUGCAACGUUUUCCAGGUUCACCAACACAUUUCUCUCUAACAAUUUGUCUUCCCAAUUCUUGCAACAACUCAUGCAUCCACAAAUAUUGAUUAUCAACUUUUAUGAGAGAUUUUUUAAUGAGAACAUCAAUUCCAAUAUCUGGAAAAAACUCACAACCAUCCAAUACUUUGAUUACAAAAUCUUUCUUCUCCCCAUUGAAGAAGCAUGCUAUAUCUAAAAAUAUAUUCUUCUCCUUUUCUUCUAGUCCAUCAAAACUGAUUCGAAGUUUAUCGAGAAUUUCUUUAUUAGAAUCUCUUUUAAGUCUUUCAAUUGUACUUCUCCAUUGUGUCACAUCUCUACCACACAAAAAAGAACCCAAAACUUCAAUAGCUAAAGGAAGCCCACCAGCAUAAUUUACAACAUGUUCAGAAAGCUCAAUGAAAUCAUCUUUCAACACUGUAUAACUAUGGAAAGCUUUCAAAUUGAAAAGUUGAAGCGCAUCUUUGGUAUUUAAUGUUGUAGGCAUAUACACAUCAUCAACUUGGCAAGAUCGAAGCAAAUGUUCAUCUCUUGUUGUUAUAAUGAUUCUACUCCCUAAUCCGAACCAAUCAUGCCUUCCAACCAAGCAUUUUACGUGUUGUAUGUUAUCAACAUUAUCAAGAACAAUAAGAACGUUUUUGUGAGACAACCUAUGGCUAAUUAUGACAUUUCCUUCAUGAACAUCGAAAAAAUUGAAGCAUUCUUCAAGGAAGAUCUGUGAAAGAAGUUGUUUCUGUAAAGAAACUAGUCCACAUUUUUCUGAAACUUCUCGAAUAUCAGUAAGAAAGCUUUUACCUUCAAAAUAAGGUGACAUUUGAGUGUAAGCAGCUCUUGCGAGUGUCUUUUUACCGAUACUACCCAUUCCACAAAUUCCUAUAAUGCGGACAUCAUCUUCCCUAAUGUUUAUUUUCAAAUAUAAAUCCUUCAAGCGUACACUAAUUCCAACCAAGUCGCUAUAAGUAACUGGAUAUGUCUGACAAAGUGUUGUUGAUAUCUUCUUAAUAAUGUCUUUAAUAAAUUUUGAUUCAUGCCUACAAAGAAAAUAAAUAAAUUUUAAUUUUUUGAAUAAAUUUUUUUUGGUAUCUUUCAUAGUGACGGUGCCUAGUAGAGACCUAGGGGACAUGGUUCCCCUAAAAUGGUAAAUGUUCAACUUAGACCUUUAUAAUUUAUUAAAUUUUAAAUUAAUAAUGGUAAAAUUGAACUUUGGUCCUCCCAAAAAUGGAAAAAAAAUGAAUUUAACCUUUAAAAAUUAUAAAGAUAUAGACUACUAAAAAUGAUGAAAUUACUUUUUUAUUAUCAUAAAAAUAUACAAUUUAAUUCCAGUCCCCUAGAAAAACUUUUCUAGCUCCUCCACUGUUUCAGAUGCACUUUCUUUUUCAAUGGAUCAUGAAACAUAAUAUAGUUUGGAAGAAAACAACAACCAUGAAUAAGAAAGAAAGACCCAUUGUGGAACCAGAAUACAAAAUUUGCUCUUCUAUUGAAAUAUGACAUUUUUCAAUUAAACACAUAGGAUUAGGAAAUGUUAAGUAUGACUCCUAUUUCAGUCAAAUCUGAGAAAUAAUCUUCUAGUUAAACUCUAUUUAUUUGUUUCAAUCAAACAUUGAUUAGUUUAGAUUAUUUUAUUAUUAUUUGACCUAUGAAUUUAGCCUAUAAAUAGACUCUUUUACAACCUUAGAAAAUACACUCAUUAGAUAUUAGAACUCAUAACACAUUUAGAGAAUUUUGUGUUUACGUUUUGAGGGUUCUUUGUUUUUGGGGUUUAGUUUUUAUCUCCAUCUUUUGUACUCUUCGUUCUUUUGUCAUUAUAGUAAAAUUAUCUUUGCUCGUGGUUUUUUAUCCUUUUUGGAGAGGUUUUUCUACGUUAAAUUUGUGUGUUCAAUUAUCAAUUUAUUCUGCUAUUUUUUUUACUUGUUGCUUAAUCGGGUUAAUCCCAACAUGUGUUAUUAGAAAUAGUUCAAUUUUCAUAGAUCAACCCAUCUAGAUAUGGCAGCAACAAGGUUUGAAAUUGAGAAGUUCGAUGGUGAGACAAAUUUUAAUCUGUGGCAAGUUCGGAUGAUGGCAAUUCUAAUUCAAACCGGCUUGCAAAAGGUUGUUACCAGGAAAAAGCCUGAGAAUCUAAAUCAAACAUAAUGGGAAGAGCUUGAUGAAAAGGCCUUGUCUGCAAUCCAGUUGUGCCUUGCGAAUAUGGUAUUGCAGGAGGUAUUUAUGGAGAAAACCUCAUCCAUAUUGUAGAAAAGGUUAGAAACUCUUUAUGCGACUAAGUCUCUGGCUAACCAUUUACUGUUGAAACAAUGUUUAUUUACGUUUCGCAUGCACGAAGGUGAGCUUCUUAGAGAUCACAUUAGUCAAUUCAUUACUAUUUUAAAUGAUUUAAAGAAUGUUGAGGUUCAUAUUGAUGAUGAUGAUCAGACUAUACUAUUAUUGUGCUUUUUACCCCUUUCAUACAAGUCUUUCAGGGAGACCCUGAUUUAUGGCAUAGACAAACUCUCAUUCGAAGAUGUGAAGGGCCAUUUGUUGAAUAGAGACAAACUCGACAAUGAGUUUGGUUUGGAUAGCAAGGCCGAUAAGCAAGCUUCCGUUUUGAUAGCAUCAAAGAAACGAGAUAAAAGGUAUCGCUAUUGUAAAAUGUUAGGUCACGUCAAAGCAGAUUGUUAUAAACUGUAAAAUAAAAGAGUUUUCGAGAGUAAUGAGGAAGAUGUAGCUGGUGCUAAUUUGGCUGAUGAAAGCAAUGAUGAUUUCUUGUUAGUGUCAACAAGUGAUAACUCUAAGCUCAUGUCCGAGUGGAUCCCAGAUUCGGGAUGUUCUUUCCACAUGUGUCCCAAUAGAAAAUGGUUCUCCACAUAUACUUCAGUUGAAGGUGGAGUUGUGCGCAUAGGAAACAAUUCAUCUAGUAAGGUAAUUGGUAUUGGUACUGUUAAAAUUAGGAUACACGAUGGGACAAUUAAGACACUCUCAGUUGUCAGGUAUGUACCUGAUUUACGAAAGAACCUCAUCUCCUUAAGUAUUUUAGACUUGAAAGGAUACAAAAUCAACAUCGAGUCGAGAGAUAUUAAAGUAUCUCGUGGAGCUCUCGUUUUGUUAAAAGGUAAAAGAACCGAUAGUCUUUAUAUUCUAGAAGGUUCUACAGUGACCGGUGAAAUCGGACGUCCCUCAUCCAUUACGGAGUUGAAGUCAACUCGUUUGGAGCGGAGGCAACUUAGUCAUAGGAGGGAAAAAGAUAUGACCGUUUCGUUGAAGAGAGGUUCUCUUUUGGAUGCAGGUUUUGAAAAGUUAGGGCACUGUGUUCAUGAAAAUCAAACCCGGGUUAGUUUUGAUUUGGCAGUGUACAAGUCGAAGGCUAGAAGUCUUCCAGUUUCUAAGCACAGAUUCGACUUAGUUAAUUCCUUAUAUAGUUCAAGAUAGGCUCGUAGCGGGCUUUGGUAAAGAUGGGGUUGUGGAAAUAUGAGUCAAGGUGGAGAUUUGUUAAGUAUGACUCAUAUUUCAGUCAAAUUUGAGAAAUAAUCUUCUAGUUAAACUUUGUUUAAUUAUUUCAAUCAAACAUUGAUUAGUUUAAAUUAUUUAUUAUUAUUUGACCUAUGAAUUUAGCCUAUAAAUAGACUCUUUUACAACCUUAAAAAAUACACUCAUUAGAUAUUAGAACUCAUAAAACCUUAGAAAAUACACUUAUUAGAUAUUAGAACUCAUAACACAUUUAGAGAAUUUUGUGUUUAUGUUUUGAGGGUUCUUUGUUUUUGGGGUAUAGGUUUUAUUUUCAUCUUUUGUACUCUUCGUUUUUUUGUCAUUAUAGUAAAAUUAUCUUUGCCAGUGAUUUUUUAUCCUCUUUGGAAGGGUUUUUCCACGUUAAAUUUGUGUGUUCAAUUUAUCAAUUUAUUCCGCUAUUUUUUUUCUUGUUACUUAAUCAGAUCAAUUCUAACACGAAAAAAAGUUAUAUAUAUCCGAAAAACUAGAAAAUAGAGAAGAAAAGAAAGAGUUACCCGUUAUUUAAAUGCCAUCCCUUUAUUCCAGCCACUUGAAUUAAAGCAUUUCGCCACCUUUGGAUCUUCUCACUAUCUUCUUUGUAUCUCUCUUCAUGUCUGGCAAAGGCUUCUUCCACUUUCUCUUUUUGUUUUCUUAAAUUAGAUGGAUCAACAUCAUAAAAAAUUGGAAACACUUUAUGGCCGUCGUUGUUAUGUCGUUUAACAAUCUCAGCAAGCUCCUCCAAGCACCAACUUGAAAAGGCAUAAGUUUGUGAAAAAACGAUUAUCGAGCACCAUGAUUCCUGAAUUGCUUUAAAGAGUUCUGGCGCGAUCUCUUCACCGGCCUCCAGCUUUGGAUCAUCCCUGAAAGUAACGAUCCCACUCCUACUUAGAGCAUCAUAGAGAUGAUCGGUAAAGUUGUUGCGGGUAUCUUCACCUCUAAAACUCAAGAAAACAUCAUAUUUCUUUCUAGAAAUGGAGGAAGAAGUUGAAGGUAAUGACGACAUGACGAUGUACGAGAAAGAUGAUAUAUAUAUGUGUGUGUGGAUGUAGUGUUGAAAAUCAGAAAACUGAUCGCUCAAUACGCCAGAAAGAAACUAGAAUGAAUAACUAUAUAUGAGCAUGGAGGAGGAUAAAAACAGAUGCAAUUUUCCAAAUGAAUGCGCGUAGGUGUGGAAAUUGGAGUGAUGCAUGUGAAUCCAAGAAGGUGGGAGUGCCUACAAUAUUAUUCAAGUAAAGUGUUGGACGAUUUUUGUUGUACUUACUUUCACAUAAACCUGCCUAAGAAGAUAGAAUGAGAGGGCCCAACGUUGCUUGUUAGGAUUCUAUUCAUGCAUUAAUACAAAUUACAAAGACUUUGACUUACACAAUUUAUUGUUGGACGCUCCUGUCCUUUUCUCAUCACAAAAGAGACUAAAUACAAAGUAUAUGCUUGAAGAAAAGUAUUUUUAUCAAAUUAUAUUUAUUUAUUUCUUAUUUUUUUCAUAAAUUUUCGUUAAUAAUAUGGUUAUGAAAUUAAAUAUUAUUCUUUAAGAAUUCAUGUUUGAAUAGAAGAAAAUGUAAAAACCAAUGUAUACUCAACGCAUGAAAACACCAAUGUAGGUUCAUCCAACCAAAUCAUGUGACGAAUUUUCAAAUAAGAUGUUGGAAAAAGUGGUCAUUCUUUUAAUUCGUGUUUCCUAUAUGGGUUAAUAGAAAGCAACUGGGAGCAACCGUGAAGAAUUAGUCAAACAUGUUUCAAUCAACCAAGGUCAAACAUGUUUCAGUCUCCUUUUUCUGGAUGUGAAAACCUAAGUCUUGCGUUUUUUAAUUUUAAUUUUUUUUUAAAAAUAUUUUUAUAUUUUUUGAAAAUAAAUUAUCACUUUUUCAAAAAUUUUAAGAAUAUUUGUAUAAUUAUUUUUUAAAAAGGUUUGAAUUUUUUUUAUUUUUAUUGAUGUUGCUAGGGGUGUGCAAAUUUCAGAUAAAACCGAAUUAAUUCGGUUAACCGACCGAAUUCGGUUAAUCGGUUGAUUAACCGACUAAAUUCGGUUAAUCGGUUGAUUAACCGAAUUAAUUCGGUCGGGGUCAGUUAAUAAUUUUUUAGAAGUUCGGUUAACAGUUAAUUCGGUUCGAAAUGGGUUAGUUAACCGAAUUAACCAAAUUUAGUAAAUACUAUUAUAAUAUAUAAGUAUUCGGUCUAUUCAGUUCGGUUAAUUUUUUGGAAAUAUAAAUUAAUUGGUUGGUUAAGUCAGUUAAUUUUUUAUAUGCUUUAUACUUAUAUUUAUUUUAACCAAAAAUAAAAAAUAUAUAAAUUUCGGUUAAUUAAGUUAACCGACUGAAUUAACAGAAAAAGUUCGGUUUAGUUAGCGGUUAAGGAUUUAAAAGGGUCGAUUAAUUUGGUUAAUGGUAGUUCGGGUCGAUUAACCGGUCGGUUAACCGAUUGAACACCCCUAAAUGUUGCAACAGUUCCAUGUCAGCAACUAUCGUUGAUAUAGAGCACCACAUCAGCGCUAUAAUGGUCAACAUUAGUCAAAGGAUCUAUUUGACCAGCUUUGUUAGUUCAAGGGCUUAAUUGAGUGCAAAAAGUUCACAAUGGCUUAAUUGAUUUUUGCACCCAAUUGAGCCCUUUAACUAACAAAACUAGUCAAAUAGCCCCUUUGACUGAUGUUGCUCUUUUGUAUUUAAUAGCAACGCUUAUAUGGCUGUUAACAGAUGUUAUGUAUGCAAAAACAAUAAAAAAUUCAAAUCAUAAAAAAUAUUUUAAAUAUAAGUACACAAUGAACUUGGACACGCAUGUGUCUAGAUUCUUUCUACAAUCAUAAAAAAUUCUAAAAAAUAUUAAAUUCGUUAAAAAGUAUAAUAAUGAUUAGAACUUAAUUAAAAUCAAUAAAUUGAAAAAUGAGAAGCAAUAAUUAACAAAUAAAUUGUUAAUCUGGAUUUUAUGAUAUAAGUUGUUUAUGCUUGUUUUCUUUUUUAAAAUAAAAAACAAUAAACUAUUUUUUAAAAAGUUUUAUGAAUCUUAAUUAAUUUCUAUUUUUUUUAUAAUUUUUUAAAACAAUUCUAAUUGUUUAUGUUUUUAAAAUUCUAGAACAUGUAUGAACAAAUGGGUGUUCAGAUUCAAAUGAAUCUGGACAACCAUUUGUUUAGAUUCAUUGUGUGUUUAUUUUAAAAAUAAUUUUAUUUAUUUUUAAAUUUUUUUUGUUGAUAUGGCACUAUCACAUAAUCAAUCAGCAAUGAAGUGGCACUUCCAUGUCAGCAAUCAAUGAUGGCAUUGCACUACCACAUCAGCAAAUGGUGUUGAUGUGGCAUCUAUUAACGACGACAUCAGCAUUGCUGUUAAAUACUAAUGGUUAACCUCAGUCAAAGGGUCUAUUUAACCAAUUUUGAUAGUUCAGAGGCUCAAUUGGGUAAAAAAAGUUCAGGGGGGCUUAAUUGAUUUUUUAAAAAAAUACAAUGGCUUAUAAUACCAUUAAGACUAAAAAUUUAGUAAUCAUUUAUUUCUUUUAGAAUUUUAUAAUUAUCUUUGCUCUAUUUUAAUAAAGAAAUGUAAUUAAAUCUUAUUAUAUUUUAAAAAAUAUAUAAAUUUAAUUUUAUUAACGUUAUUAAUAUAUGUAUUUAUUUAAAAAGAUAUUUUAAGUUUAACAAUUUACUACAAUGUAUGUUUAAUAUUAGAACAUAAAAGGCUAAUUUAAUUAAGUAAAUAUUUUAAAAUAAAGAGAUUAUUUGAUAGUUUGAUGAGUUACUCAUUCAAUAUAUAAUACUUACUAAAUUUAGGGUUUUUAAAAGAAGCCUUAGAAUCUAUAAUAAUAAAAUUAUAUGGUUAACUGUAGAUGUGCUCAUUGGUCAGGUUAGGUCGGGUCCAUCCAAAAUUUUAGAGCCGUUUGUUAGGCCCCAGCUCAGGGCCAACUCGAAAAAUGAGCCUAAAAUUUUGUUCAAUCCCGACCUAGAUAAAAAUGUUAAAACACAGGCCUGACCUAUAUUAAUUUUUUAUAUAAAUUUUUAAAUAUAUAUAAUACAUAAAAAUACUAAAAAAUUAAAAUAAAUAUUUCCCAACAAAUUGAAAAUAAAUUUAAAAAAUAUAUAUUUAUAGUUAAAUAACACUAAGAUAGGUGCAACUUAACAAGCAAAUAUCUCUAAAAUAGUAACAAAAUUAACAAUAAAAUAAGAGUUAUACAAUAACAACAAAAUAAUAGGAACAUAUUAGUGAAAUGGUAAGAAAAUAGUGAAAAAAAAAACAAGAUAAUAGGAAUAUACAAAGUUCUCCUGAAAUUCUCGCAAAACUCUCUCUUAAUUGUGUUGUUGAACCUUGUCUCUCUAAGGAUGCUAAAAGUCCUAUUUAUAGGCUAGAAUUCAUGGCUAAUCAAAUUAGAAAUUCUCUAGAGUUAUUAGAGUUUGAUUGGGAAAAGAUAAUAGAGUUUAACUAGGAGAAGAAACUUGGUUUAGUAGGGAACACGUUGUCACACCGUGAUGUCGCUCAUCGGCUCGUCAGGAUGUCAGCUCUCCCUCAUCAUGACGCCUUCUCUAUUUUAGACUAAAUGUGAGGCACACUCUACAAAUCUCCACCUUGACUCGUAUUUCUAAAAACUCCUUCUUUGUCGAGCCCUGUUAUGGGCCUAAAUUAAUCUUUGCCGGAUACUUAACAAGUCUAGGUAGUGCUUGAACUCCUGAACAAAGUGAUACUAAAUGUCUAUGUGAUUUGUUCUUUCAUGAUGCAUCUGAUCCUUAGUGAGAUGUAUGACACUUUAACUAUCACGAUAUACAAUAGUCUUUUCACUUUUAUCAACCAACUCCCAAAGUAGAUCUCUCAACUAAAUGAUCUCUUUCACAACCUCUAUGAUAGCUAUAUAUUCUGCCUCUAUAGUUGAUAAUGUCAUAGUCAUUUGUAGAGUGGAUUUCUAGCUAAUUGUACAAUUGCAAAAAGCGAACAGAUAACCUAUGAGAAAUCUACUUUUGUCUAAGUCUCCUGCAUAGUUCGAGUCUACAUAGUCUACUAGACCUUUUGAACAUUUUCCAAAUUCCAAAAAAGUAUUAGAUGUCCCCCUCAAAUAUCUAAGAAUCCACUUAACAACUUGUAAGUGUAAUUUGUCAAGUUUGGCCAUGUAUCUACUUACUGCUAACAACAUAUGAAAUAUUGGGACAAAUACAAACCAUUACAUACAUUAAACUUCCAACUGCACGGGAAUAAGGAACCAAGGACAUAUACCUUUCUUCGUCUUCUAUUUUUGGUAAGUCUAAAGUCGAAAGUCUAAACUAUGCAGCUAAGAGUGUACUAACUAGUUUAGAAUCUUGCAUUCUAAACCACUCGAGAAUUCUUUUGAUGUAUUUCUGUUGUGAUGGAAGUAGCUUCUCGGAGUGUCUAUCUCUCAAAAUUUUCAUCCCUAAAAUUUUCUUGGUUGCACCAGGAUCCUUCAUUUCAAACUUAGAGUUAAGCAUGGUUUUAACUCGGUUUAUUUCUGAUGGAUCCUUGGUUGCAAUUAACAUAUCGUCAACAUAAAAUAGCAAAUAAAUAAAUUAUCCAUCAUCUAAACAUUGUAGAUACAUACAACUGUCAUACUUACUCUGAAUGAAACCAAUUCUUAACAUGAAGGACUUGAACUUCUUAUACCAUUACCGAGGAGACUGCUUCAGACCGUAUAAUAAUUUUUAAAAAGGCAAGCAUGGUCUUCCUUGCCUUCAAUCCUAAAGCCUUUCGGUUGCUAUAUGUAAAUGUCCUCCUUUAUGUCGCCAUGAAAGAAUGCAAUUUUCACAUCUAAUUGUUCUAAUUCAAGAUUGUGUAAUGCAACAAGAGCUAACAAUGCUCGAAUGGAUGUAUGCUUAACAACUGGAGAGAAAACAUCAUGAAAAUUAACUCCCUCCACUUGACUAUAACCCUUUGCGACCAACCUCGCGUUAUAUCUCAUGUCAUCUUGACAUAAUCCUUUCUUCUUUUUGAACAUCCUUUUACAACCAAUUAUUUUCUUUUUAGUGGGUGGUUUAAUGACUUUCCAAGUCUCGUUCUUAUUAAGGGACUCUAUCCCUUCUUCCAUAACAAUAAGACAUUUGUUGGAAUCAGAAGUUCGAACUACCAUUAUCCGUAUAACCAUUUUACAGACUUUCCAAUCUACUCUUCUAGUCAGGUCUUCCACUACUUGAAGAUCCCAAAGACUUCAUUAUUAUGCUUCAGGAAAUAUACAUAAACUUUCCUAAAGUGGUCGUCAAUAAAAGUUAGAAGAUAUUUGCUACCACCUUUAGAGAUGACUGGAGCCGAACCCCAUAAAUUGGAUUGAAUGUAGUCAAGGGUCCCUUUUGUCCUGUGUACUACUGAAUCGAAGCUGACUUGAGUUUGCUUCCCAUAAAUUCAAUGCUCACAAAAAUCUAACUUUCCAACUGCGGUGCUUGUGAGAAGACCUUUUUCACUCAAAAUGAUCAUACAUUUUUCGCUUAUAUGAUCGAGUUGCGUGUGACAUAACUGAGUUGAAUUAUAAUCCAUAAAGAGGAAAUUUUGUCAUGUUAUUGUGACAUCAUGGGAGUCCUUGUCGUGCCAUGGUGAUGAUUUCACCUUUAUUUCUGUAAUUGUUAUUGAACCAGUCACCGUUAAACCUUACAAAAUGUAUAAGCUAUCGAUCUUGCAACCAUUCGAAUCUAGAAUACCCAAAGGGACAAGAUUCUUAUUUAAAUCAGGCAUGUGCCUGAUAUCUAAUAAUGUUCUGAAUAUCCCGUCAUGCAUCCUAAUCUGAAUGGUACCAAUGUCGGUUAUUUUGUAAGGUGAGUUAUUUCCUACAAGCACAAUUCCACCUUCAACCAAACUAUAUGUGGAGAAUCAGUCCCUAUUGUGACACAUAUGGUAGGAACACCCUGAAUCCGAAAUCCACUCAUAUGUGAACUUAGACCUUUCGAUCGUUGACACUAACAAAAAAUCAUCACCUUUAACCUUGGCUACACUAGCUCUGCCUUUUACUUCACUUUCUUGUCAUUUUCAUCGGCUCUCUUAUUUUUAUUCUGAAGUUUAUAGCAUUCUACUUUGAUGUGACCCAUCUUUUUGCAGUAGCCACAUUGUUUGUUGUGGUUUCUUAAUUUCAAUCUUGCCCUAGAUCCUUUUUGACCCAAAUCCUUAGACUGUUGCCUUCCUCUAGCAACCAAAACUGAGGUUUUUCCAUUUGACUUGAUCUUUGAAUCUAACUUGUUGUCAAUUUAUCCUUACUCAAUAGGUUUCCCUUCACGUCCUCAAACGAGUCUCUCUCUAUCAUAAAUUAGGGUUUCCUUGAAAUAUUUGUAUGAAUGGGGCAAAGAAAAAGGCAAUAACAUUGUUUGAUCUUAAUAAUCUAUGUUGUCCUCAACAUUCUUCAGGUCAUUCAGGAGAGUAACAAAUUUACUAAUGUGAGCCUUAAUAGACUCGCCUUCGGCCAUACAGAACGUGUAUAAUCACUAUUUUAAAACCAAGCAAUUUGCGAGAGAUAUUGUCUUAUAAAGUGCUUCUAAUUUUCUCCAUACAGUUGUUGUCGUUUUCUUUGUAAGUAGCUUCUGCGACAUGUUGUUCGUGAGGCACAACUGAAUUGUUGACAAUGUUUGCUCAUCAAGCUCCUCUCAUUCUACCUGAUUCGCAUCUGCGGGCUUCUUCCUUUUAAUGGCCUUUUUUAAAUCAUUCUGAACUAGAAUUGUCGUCAUAUGAACUUGUCACAAACUAAAAUUUGUGAUCCCAUCGAACUUCUCAAUAUUGUACCUCAUCAUCAACUCUGAAUGGGCUGAAUGUGAAAACCAUACCAAACUUUGAUACCAGUUUAUUGGGUUAAACUCGAAUUAUGCAACGAAUAAGAACGAAAAACAAGAAAAUUGGGCACCCAAAUAUUUACGUGGAAGAAAUCCACCCAAUAGGAUAAAAAAUCACAAGCAAAGAAAAUUUCUCUAAAAUAAAAAAAUCGAAAAGGAGUACAAGAUGGAGAAAUAAAAUCAAACUCGAAUCCAAAAUAAAAAGUUCUCUUGAAAUUCCCGUAAAACUCUCUUCAUUGUGUUGUUGAACCUUGUCUCUCCAGGGGGUGCUAAAAGCCCUAUUAUAAGCUAAAAUUUGUGGCUAAUAUGAUUAGAAUAUCCUUAAGAGUUAUUAGAGCUUGACUGGGAAAAGAUAGCAGAGUUUAACUAGGAAAAGAAACCCGAUUUAGUAGGGAACACGUCAACAUAUCGUGACAUCGCUUAACGGCUCAUUGUGAUAUCGCUUAUCGCGUCGUUGAGACGAUGAGUUCUUUUCAUCAAGAUGUCGUGUGUUGCCGUCGGUAUGUUAGCUCUUUCUCGUCACGAUGUCGUAUCUUUUUUGGACUAAAUUAACGUGAGGCACACUGUACAAUUUGCACGUUAUUAUAACUUUGAAACUAAAAGCAAAUACAUUAUAAUUUGAUCGCCAUAUUUGGACUCCACUAACAAUAUUUUAUGGUCGGCAGGGCAUUAUAAUGAUUUAAUUGACAAUUAUAAUUCUUGCUUUAGUCAAGACUAAAUCUUGGUGGCUUUUUUAAUCAAAGAAAAAAUUUUGAGAAAUCCAAUUGAUGUAGUUUAGCCUAAGAACUACAAGCAACGAUACACCCAAAAACUCGAAUAUCACAAUAGAAUCGAAAAGCUCCCUAAUAAAACUCUCAAAACCCAUGGGUCACCAAAUUUUCAAUUAAAACAUCAAAUUUCUUCCAACUUUGAACCAAGUCAUGGAGCACAAGUCUUAUUAAAACCCAAUAAUUGACAACAUAAAAGAGAAAACACUCCCAUUCAAAAGAAAAAAAAGGUAAGAGCUAAACAAAUCUAUUCUUGACAUUUUUGAGCUCCUAGGUAAAACAAUAAAAUAGAGUUUUAGAUUCCUUAAAAGUUGGUAAAAAAAAAUUUGGGCCCUUAAAAGCUAAAAGAAAAUAUUUUGGAACCCCUUAAAAGUUGAUAAUUUUUUUUACCUUUAAAAGUUUUAAAAAAAUUUGUUCUCCUUAAAAACUGGAAAAUAAUAUUUUAAACCCCUUUUAUCCUUGGGUCUUGAGCGGCCGCUCCUCCACACGACCCCAGGACCAAUCCUAAAGCUAAACCAAAAUGUUUACAACCAAUGAAUCUAAAACCAAUCAAAAUAAGCACCAUAAAACCUACUACUCGGAAACUGAGCACCAAGACAUACAAAUAGAUGCAGGAGCAUAACAAAUGUCACCACCAUGCACCCCAUAAUUCUUUUGAGUCACUAUAGUUGAAAAUAAAAAUUGAUGAUCAUAACUCUCUUUUUCCUCGUUCCUUGAAUUUCACCACUACAUACCUUCAAUUAAUACCCAACUUGGACUGAAAAAUUCAGCACUCAAUGUUCAUAUUGUUCAUACGAAGAGGUAAAAAACGGCAUCUUUUCGACAACUCAAAUCUGGACCCCUAAUCAUAAACCAUCUUACACGUCACUCUCGAAACCAAACAGCACUUUCUCAUAAAGACAAUGCCAAAAAAAAAAUGCUGAAAACAUCAAAAUGACACCACUCAAUCUUCUCAUACCACUAAUAUCACCAAGCAAUUCUCAUCUCGCCCUUAGUGUUCCAAUAUUUUCAUACAACAACCUAAGAGAAGAACAACAUAAUUUACAAAACAUAACAGCUUCACCCUGAAAACAAAACCCAAUAUCCCCAUCCUAAGUACUCAACAAAAGAUAACUAAUAUCCCCCAUUUUGACUCCAAAAAUAGACCAUUGAGGAUGAAAAUUCUCAAGAAAACAAAAAACUAAAGACCAAUUUCAUUAAUAAUCUAGUUCAAAAAUUGGCGAACUGUGAGUCUUAUGGUACAAACAAAUUAUGAAUAAGCUGACCUUUUUUUGUUAAUAACUCUCGAACUGCUCCUUUAUUAAGUUACAUAGUUAUGCAAUUGACUUUGACCUUCUAAAAUUACAAAUAUAAUUAUCAGCACCAAAGACAAAUGGUUCAAAUGUAGAAGGUAUGCAUACACACAUAUAAUGGAAUUUUAUAUCUAAAACAAAUAUAUUUAAAUAAGUCAUUAUACUUUUGUCACAUCGAAAAUAAGCCCUUCUACUUAAACUCAUUUUCAAUUUCAAUAAAACAUACAUAUAUAUAUCUUGGAAGUCUUUCUGAAAUGUGUUGUAGUUCUUUAUUUAUGAUGGACUAAGAUUUGAUAACUGCCGAUCUGCAAAUAUAUUGCAUUAAGGGGUAGUUCUACAAGCAUUUCAUCAGUUAGGGCAUUUAAUCCUAAGGUCAGAAUACGUAAGGGAACCAUUUACAAUAUGCUCAUCAGUCAACUGCAUCUUUACAAACUUUGGGUUUUCAAAAGUGCAAUCUCGUUAAACAAAUCUGAUUUGUCAUUCUCCUAUUAAAAAAUUAUAAAGAUGACAUGAAAUCACAGUUUCAUACAAUCCCUUCUCUAACUCAAAGACCUAAUUGUUAGCCAAAGGAAACUUUGGAUUGUAAUUCGAAUAUAACCUCUCCUUUUGAGACAUACCAAGAAACACACAUCCAUCAAGUCAAAAAAAAUAUGCUUACAAGACAACCCAAACAAAACGAAGCCAAAGAGAUCAUAAGAGCAAACGAUCUCCAUCAAACUUUCCACAUCCAUAAGACAUCUCCUUGAUACAAUUAUAAUUAAAGGUAGAAUCACCAAUGAAAUCACUUCAACUUGAAAAAUGUCUGCUGAACAACUCACCUUGCAACAACCCAAGAAACCAAUCCAAUAAAACACCUUCAAAACUUGAACAAAAUUUGGCAGAUCAGAACACCAAAACCCAAAAAUCACUGUAUUCGAAUCCUAAAGCAACUAAAAGAAAUCGGUAAAUUAGCUCCCUCAAAAAGAACGUAUCCGACCUCCUAUUGUUGAAAAGUGGCCAACCAUGCUAUUGUUAUGUUUUUGCUAAAGUGCAUGCAGGCUAUUUGCAUGUUGCAGCUUUUGUGCAUGCUGCAUUAACAAGUUUAUUGUUUAGUUACGUUGUAAUUAAACUUAGUUGAAAAUGAACAAGCUGAUGAAAGUUUGAAGUGUUUAGGUAGUUGAAUGACUAGUUUAGGUGGCUUGUUUACGUGCACAAGCAAUGUUUUACAAGUUACUAGGCUACUUAGUGGUAGUAGGCAGUAUUUAGUGAUGUAUUUGGUUAUAAAUGUAUUGUUUUUUCUGGUUGAAUGAAUGAGAAAAAUGAGCUAUCAGCCAUAAGCUCCCUUGCUGCACGAUUGUGAGCAAGUAAAAAUAUUUCUUGCAUCUUGCUGUCUUGUUCUAUUCUCUGUUUUCUUCCUCUGCUUCUCCAAAUCGUCAACACCUAUAGAUCCAAAUUCAAUCUCCUUUCUUCAAUUGGCCUCAAUUUCUUUUCAUCCCGAUAACUUGCAAGUCCAACUUUUUGCUCAGUUCCCACGCCUCUGUCAGUUCCUUCCACAUCAUCUUCUUUCGGUUUUGAAAAUCAGAGUUAGAUAAAUGACUCAUUUGCGGACUUUCCCCAAAAGAUUAUGGUUUCGAAAAUUUAUUCUUACAACUCCUUCCUUUCACUUUAUUUUUAAUCCCAAGUUUCGCAGUUCUUUAUUGCUCCUAGUUCAAAUAGAGAUCUAACUUUCCUUGUUUUAAUUUUAUUGAACCCUACCUAGUCUCAAUCCUUGUGUCCGCCUUACGAUUGAAACUCGAAGUAGAAACAUUUGCUAGAUUCACCCCUUCAUGAUGUUGAACUUCAACACUGUCACCCAUAUUGCAUCCAUCAUCAAGGGAUGGGCUACGAAUAUCAUCAACACCCAAUUCCAGUCCUAUAUCAUCAGCCCGAUUCAAAGGUGUGCGCGGAACACAUUUUGUUAACCCAAUACAAGAAUCCACUUGAACCAAAUAUGUUGUUAAGCCCAUACCCCUUCAUCAUCAUCCACUUGAAUCAUAAGUCCAUCUUCAACAAAAUCUUAAAUUUCCAAAUCCUCGUUGCGUGGGUCUAUUGACUUUAUCAAUACCCAUUUUCCCAAAAACCUCCACUGACUAUGUACCUAUAUUAGAAUGGCCUUGGUCACAUUAUCAUCUACUAUAUUUACAAUGCCAUUAGUGUCCCACUUUGCCCUUUUUUCGAGAACCUCACUGUUUCCAUCACAACUAAUGUUCUUUAUCAUUUCGUCAAUACCAAGAGCCACCCUAUUCGCCGAUAUUCCUAACAUGCCUUCACUGCCAUGCUCGAUUUCCCAACUCAUCUCAUUAAAUGGCAUCAUCAUCAUCCCAUUCUCAAAGUCUUCUUCUUUUAUUUUUCUUCCUGAAACCGGUGACUCAUCACCUUCUUCUAAAGACAGACAAUCAAAUUCAGAGGACUCAUCAGAGAUCGAUGUUAAGGGAAUUUACUGAUAUCCUUUUGCUUUAUCAGACCCUAAGAACAUACCUGACGCCUCAGAGGCUCUAACACGAAAACCAUCUUCCAAAUUGAAGCAACUCAAUCCUCUGUAACAUUUUACUAUAAUCCUCCAUCAUCCUUUUAUUCGAACCCAAAGACACUAACGACCCCCAAGUCUCCGCAAUUCUUUUAUAGUGGCACAUAUGAAUUGGGACACCGUAAACCUCCACCCACACCGUCCUGUUAGUGGUGGUAGAAAACUUAGACCACGAAACAAUGUCGAUGAAGCAUUCACGAAGACAAGGCCAUUGAAGUUCUUCCAAUCUUGCUCUCAAGCCGUUGUCUUGAAUAGAGACCAGGAACUGAUCACCUGAGAUUUAUUGUGCCAAUUAGACAUUUUUCCAACUUAGUAACCUCUUCAUCAUCUACAUGACCCACAAUUUUCUUCAUACAAGUCAAUUCGCCAUCGUCCCUUAAAAUACAAACGUUUUCUCCUUCUGCACGAUUCGAAUUGCAUAUUCCUUGCUAGAAUGCUUGCUUUCUUCAGAAACUUCUUUUUGAGUCUAUUUACCUCCUGAGUACUUAAAGCACUUCCUACUCCCUAUUUGCAUCUUACCAGCCUAUUGCCUUCACCUUUCCCAUCCACUCUUCUCCAAAAUGCUUCUCUCCCAUUAAAUUUGGCAAUAUUGACCCUCAAUCAACAACCCCAAAUCCAUAGACCAUUGAUUCCUCUCACCAGUUUUUUAGCUUCCGUAAAACUAGUCACUUGUACAAAUGUAAAUAUUUGUCCUUUUCUAUGACUUUUCUGAGGCACAGAGAGGUCCUCACCAUAUUUUUUGCACUUUCCACGAUACCAUCGCCAAUUUAUGAAAUCCGGUGAAUUUUCAAUGUGUACGGAAACCAGCAUAUCCUUCUUAUUAAAAUUUGUCUAUUAAUAUAUAAUUACAUGUAUCUUUCUCCAAGAAACAAAAAUAUUGGGAUAUUAUUAGGAAAGAACAAUGAAUUUUUUUAGGCUUAACGUAUAGAUUAUUACCUGAGUUUGAUAAUUUUUUUUAAUGUAGCCUCUGUGUUUUUUUUGUUCAACGUGAUGCAUAUAUUUGAUAAAAAUUACACAUUUUUCUAAAAAUGAUUAUGUAACUUUUUAAUACUUAAUUUAAGUUUAUAGUUGAUUUGCAUCAAAUAAACUCUACACACCGAAUUAAAUUACAUUCAUCAAACUAUAUUUGACAAACUAAAUAUAGAAUCAUGACAACUUCAAACCUAAUAAUAUUAACCAUUAAGUUUCAUCAAAUCAACUUUAAAAUUUAAGUUAAACACUAAAAAAUUAAAAUCGUUAUCUUUAAAUCUCAAAAUAAUUUAACUUUUUUCAAAUCCAAGUCUUAGAUUGGACCGAAAAAUAACAUAAAUAUCACAUUAAAAAAUAUUAAAAUCGAGUAUCAAAUUAUAGAUUAAACCAAAUUUUAUGGCAAAUAUGAGUCCAAAUAUUGGUUAAGUUGCAAAAAUAAAAGAGAAGUUUUAAGGUUUUUAAAAAAUUGAAGAAAACUCGAAUUAAAAAUUUCAAGCCUCUUCAAAUCUCCUCUGAAAAAAAAAUCUCAAGCAAUAAAAUUGAUUUUUUUAAAGUUAAAACUUAUAUUAUUUAGGUUUAAAUAUUUGUUUUGUAAUUUAACUUAAUUUUUGGAGUUUUUUUAUAGUAUUAAGGAAAUUGCUUGCCUUUUAGGCGAUAAGAAGAAAUAACUUCGCCAUGUUGUCAUCCAAUAUCGAUGGCCCCCUAAAUUUUAAUUUUCUAAAUUAUCAACCAGCAUGGUGUUUUUUUUGGUAAAACAAUGAUUAAAAUCUAAGCUAUUUUUUAGGUAAACAAUGAACAAAAGAGAUGAUUUCCCCUUAAUUCACGUUUGAGUAACACAAUACUUAAUAUCAGAACAAUAGUCACAUAAUAUUUUCAUGCAUUUUGAUGAGAUAAACAUAAAAUCCUAUAAGAAACGUUAUCACCCUUACCUUAACCUUACUCAAAAUCUGUAACUCUUUUUUUCUCUCUUUUCAAAUAUGUAUUCUAGCUAACAUCACAAGAAACUUAUGCCAUGGAGUCACUCAUGAAGGAAAUUUGGAAUUUAAAGCUUGGGAUUGUUAGAAAUGAUGGAAAGGACAUAAAUGUAAGAAAAUGAAUAUUUUCUAUGGAUGGAGAAGGAGAGUGGUGUGAGAGGAGACGGAAAUGAUGAUGGAAAGUUUUCUACAUCUUUACACGAAAGUAUCUACUAAAUUUUAUAUUUUAAAAUACUAAUAAAAAAAUAAAAAAAUUCAAGUCAUCGUCAUCCAAACAAGUGGACCACAUUCAAAUUUAAUUUCAUCCACAAACUCAUCUACCCUUUUGGACUAAAUUGCUCUUCAAGUCCUUCAUCUUUUUCUCAUCCAUUGAAUCUAGUAAUUUCUUAUUUAUAAUUUACACUAUUACCUAACACUUCUUUCACUUUUAUAAUUUAGUCCAUACCUUAAAUUAAUUUCCCUUAAUUCAAAAGCCUUUUUAAUUACUUAUGAAAUCCAACUACCUUCUCCAUUAAUACUAAAAAUCUUAUUUUAUCUGCUUCAAAAAUCUUAACACGUGCACAACUCGAAAUGGCACCGUUCCCAUCUUGAGAGGUGUUGGGGAUGUUACAAACUAGCCACCAAAAAAAUACGACAACCCAUUUUUCAUAUACCAUCAUUGGUAGUAGAUUGAGGGCAUGAAAUCCCCCGUACAAGAUUCCAUCAAAGGCUUCCUUUCCAUUCGGGAAUUCCACAUUACAAUCCACUAUCGAUGCUCCAAUGUUCAAUUCUUUGCAUCUUUUCUCUUCUUAUUAAUGCCAUGGACAUUAUCAAAAUUGACUGGAACAUUCGGAACAUCUUGCUUACACCUAAAUUGUUGCAAAACCUAAUCACCAUUGUACCACUCAAUAGUUGAAAAAUUCAAAACAGGUGUGUUAAUGCACCACACGUAUGAAUGGUGGUAAGCCGACUGGAGAAUUUAGUUUGUCUCACCCAAUCCCCAUUGUACCACUUAAUUAGCAUUUUGUGUUAAAAAAUCCAUAAUUUGACUCAAAAUAAAAUGUUGAGGGCCACAUUGCUAAAAAGAAAAUAAUAAGGGUCAUAUAGUCAAAUUUUAUAAACGCCAUUAAACCUAAUGAUAGGUGCUAAAAGUAACAUGUUUUAAUUUCGUUCUUAAUGCAUUUUUGGAUGAUUAUUUGAUGUAAAAUGGUAAAUUUUAUGGUCCUAAUCCUUUAAAUUCAUGUUUUUAUACUUAGGAGAGCAUUUGGGAGUAAAAAGAGCGAAAAUUAGAAAAUCGGAGUAAGUUUCAGGAGUCACGCGGGCUGCCACACAACCAUGUGUCAAACCGUGUUGAAAUCGCGAAUUGCACUCCAAACUUUUGGGAAAAUACGUUUUUUAGGCAUUUUAAGACCUAUAUAAGACAAAAAUAAGAUGGGAGAGAGUCGUCAUAAAAUACUCAAGAAAAAAACUCAAAAAACACCAUUGAAGCCGACUCUAAAGUAGAUUUCUAUCGAGAUUGAAGAUCUCUUUUUGAUUUUUUUGAAGUUUAUUAUGAGUUUCUUUGUUUCUUAUGGUUAUACUAUCUUCUGAAUUUUUUUAUUUGCAAUUAUAAACUAAUUUUCUAAAUACCCAGGGGAGAUGAAUGUUAUGAUGAAUUCUAUCUUUUGAUUUCUAUUUUACACAAUAAAUACUUGAAUCUUUCUCAAUUAUAUGUGCUUAAUUCUUGGUUUAAUAUUUUCGGACUAUUAAUCCAUGUUUGGUGUGCUUAAAUCAAAGGAGGAAAAGUUUUUGUUUAAGAGUAGAUAUAGCAUAAUUAAGUGUUGUAUGCAAUACUAGAAAUAGGACGACAUAAAUCUACCGGAUUAGAGUCAAAUCUAAUAGGGGGAUCAAUGGAUCGAGUUAAUGCGAUAAUAGGGGUUUUAAUUAGAAAGAAAUUUCAAUUAAUCAACCUAGAGUCAGUUGUUUUUACUCUCGAAAGAGAUAUUAGUAUAAUUUAGGGAUUUCUACGGAUCAAGAUACUAAGUAAAGAAAUUGCAUAAUAUAGAUUGAUAAUGACAGAUGAAGUCUAGGUGGAUUCUUUCCUGCAUAUUAUUUCGCUUCUUGGUUGUUAAUCAUUUAUUUUUCUAAUUCAUUCUUUAUCGUGAUCCUUCGUUAAUUAAUUUAGUUAAUUUUAGUUUUAAUCAAUCUAUCCAAUUUGUCGGUUAAAUAAUAGAAAGACAGUAAUUAUUAGUACUUUUAAUCCUCGUGGGAACAAUAUCUUUGCUCACAGUAACUAUAUUAUUAAUUGAUAGAUGCACUUAUUUUAAUCAAAUUUUUAGUUAAUUUACGACUGCAUCACCUAAUUUAAAAAAUUACUAUUUGAAUUACAUUUUACAAACAACAAAUUUAAAAAGUUAGGUUUAAAAUAGUAUAACUUGCAUUACAUUACAUUACAUGUAAAAAGCAACUAAUUAUAUAAUAUCAUAAUCUAUUUCUCGAAAUCCUAAUUGCCUAAAUUCAUUGAGCCUAUAAAUGCUAAAGUGUCCACUUCCAUUUCAACUUGACUUUUGUUGGUCCCUCACUUGUAUGAUCCUUUGAGCCAACCAUGCUUCUAUUGGUCUAGGGACAAACAUAAAACACCAAGAUUAUUUUUGUUGCAUUUAGAUCAUUUAUAUCACUACUAUAUUAACUUACCUCAAAUUGAAAAUUUUUUAUUGAUAUAGAAAACACAACCGUUAAAAAUCUAAUUCAUGUCGACCAAAAAUCAUAAAUACUUAAUAAAAAUAAUAUACCAAAGAGUAAUUGGAAUAAUAUUAUUUGUAAUUCAAGUCACGAAAUUUAAAUGGUAAUUUUAUUAGAAGGAAAUAAAGCUAUUUAAAUACUAUUAAGGACUAUAUUUAAUCUUCCAAAUAUAUAUAAAAAAAUUGACUAAUUAAAUUGAACACAUAAAUUGAUCUUAAAUAAAAAUGGAAUGAUUUUUAAGGGUACCCAAAUUAUAAUUCAAUCCUCAUUAAAGGGUUUUCACCUUAUUAUUACCUGCUUUGUCACCGAAGCAUUUGGGAUUUGUACAAAAUAUGAGUAUGAAUAAAAGAUUAAUUUUUUUUCAUAUAUAAUAGAAGAAUCAUAUCUCAUAUCCAAAUAAGUCUAGAAUGAUUAUUUUAAAUGAAAUAAAAAAUGGAAAAACGUAAAUGUGUAAAAAAUAAAUUAAUAGGACAAGGUGAGAUAAGUAGUUUACACAGUUAAUGCUUCUUCUCCGAGUGGCCCAUUAUAAAAUUGAAAAUUUUUUGCAUCCAUUUUGGUUGCGGCCCUUCUUCCUCCGCUUCCUCGUAGAUAUUACGUUUUGGUUUUGUGUAAGAAAUGCUACCUACUGAUCCAUUGUUGCGAGCAGAGUGUUGGUGGAUGUGUUCAAAUUUUGGAGAAAAUUGAGUGCUAUGGCACUGCAACUCAUUUAUUUCUUCCAAAUCUUUCUUAUACACUAUUCUAAAAGCACACUUCUUCACCUUAACACUGCUUCCACUGAAAGACACGUCAAGCUCAUCAUCGCAUAAAUGAUUGGUUUCACAGUCACCAUAUUCAUCCUCCAAUAAAAAUGGAUAUAAUUUAUCACGCGACCAAUAACGAAGAAAAAGGUGAUCUUUCGUUACGGGCUCGUUAAAUCGUUUACCCAUAUUCAAGCGUUUCCGACUAAUCUCCCAACAAUUGACAGAUGCUGUACAAUUGAGAAGUUCGACCUCCUUUGAAGCAUCAUUAUUAACAAAAAUGCAGCAACAAGCAACUCCAAUCCAUUCUGUUGCGCGGAAGCGUGUGAAAGAGUAAAAAUAUUAUACUGAAAAAUCACACUAAGUUCAAUUCCCAAGAAAAAGAGGUAGAUCACGAAGAUCACUUAAAUACCAAGUCUUUCCUAGCCAAAAUAUCCCUUUAUCGUAAUUUAAUAGCACAAUAAAUCACUACAAUCACAUUCACAAAAUAUGCAAAAUAAAAAAUAAAGAACACCCGAAUUUUAACGAGGUUCAGCAAAUUUUGCCUACGUUCUCGGGCACUACCAAAUAUAUUUCACUCCAAAAAUUACAAGUGAAAUUUACAAAUAGGGAGAGAGAAUAAUGCCUUAAGUAGAGAAUGGCAAUUAUGGGAUGAAGAAAGUAAGAAAUGGUUAGACCUAUUUAUAGUUGAGGUUCAAUGAUCAACUUGCAAUGUCCCUAUACAAUUAGGGACCAAAAUUGUAAUUAUCCCAUGCCAACUUUUAACCCAACUUAUCAACCAAUAUUACUUUCUACUUUCGGUGCCCACCCCAUUUGACUUUUCAAACAAUGGUGGGUUCCAAUACAUUCACUAUCUUUCCGAAGGUUGAUAGGUAGGAAUAUUUUAACAGAAUCAAUUGAAGAGUCGCUUUUUUGUUGGCUAAACCAUUCUGAGAUUCCACUUCCGGGCAUAAUAAUAUCAAACCAUUCUGGGAUUUCACUUCCAGGCAUAGUAAUAUCAAACAUUUUCCUUGAAUUUGCAAAUGCCUGCAAAAUAAAACACAAGUCGUUUGGUAACUAAAACCAUAAAUUCUCAAGUAUGAGAUUUUGUAAGGGAAAAUAAAGAGAUUAAUCGACCUUAAGAUGUGUUUUCUGCAAUGUUAAUGCAUAGAUAUUCUCAGCCAAUUUGAAGCAGUUAAUGGCGUUAACGGCAGCCGAAUCCACUAAAUUGCUUACUUUUGAUGGACUUGCAACUACUUCAAGUGAAGCACAACCAUCUAUCCACACCGUUUUUAUACUUGUUAGAAGUUCAGGCAACAAUUUAAGAUUCAAGCAAUCUGAUAAUGCAAGCAAUUUAAGCUUUGAGAGUCGAGUAAAAGAUACAGGUAUGCUGAUGAAAUUGUUACCACUAAGAUCAAGAUGUAUCAAAGAAGAUAGACCAGAAAUAUCACGUGGAAUAUCUCCUUCACAAAGAUUGCAGUCCCUUAGAUUCAACUCUCUUAAUGAACUCAAACCUGACAGUGAAGGUAACAUCCGAGCCAUGGGAUUCGUCCUUCUGCCUUGGAUUACCUUGAAAAGAGAAGGCAAAUUUGGUCGUAACUUAUGUGAUGGUCCCUUGCGCCCAUUGAAAGACAGAACUUUAAAAUUUUUAAAUUGACAAAUGAAGGAUGGUGGUUCUGUUAUGGCUGUUUCACUCAAGUCGAGCUCUUCCAAAAACUUUGCUUGCUGCAAAUUUUCAGAUAAAUUUUCAACUCUAUAACAACCGGAAGGAUCUAGAGUUUUUAAACGUUCCAUUUUCCCAUCAAUCUCUGGAAACCUUACAAGACUUGAGCAACCCGAAAGAAUUAAUGUUUCAAGAGAUUCCAUUCCAAUUUUGGCCGGAAGACUCCUAAGACUUUUGCAAUCUCUUAAAUUCAAAAGUUUAAGGCUCUUAAGCAUUUCGAUUGAUGGAUGAAAAUCCACUAAUUUGGUACAACCUUUCAUGAUCAAAGCUUCAAGUUUUGGCGCUGUUGUGAAGUCUGGUGUCUUGAUCAGAUUUUGGGACCCUUCAAAGUUCAUCAUUUUCAACUUAUACAAGGGCUGUUGAAGUCCAUAAUAAAUUAGAAACAAAUGAGAAAACAUAAUAAUGCUCAUUUUUAUUUUUUUAUCUUAAUCAAAAUUUAAUCAUUUAUAUUAAAAUAAGCUAAAACACAAGGAUCAUAUGAGUUAAUUCUUACUCUUUUUCCCUUCCAUAGUUGUUUAAUGUUACUAUAAGGUAAAAGAAGUGCGACAAGAUUGUCCGGUUGGAAGCUUGAAGGCAACGAUCUUGAAGGCCAUCCUUUCCAAUCUAAAAGUCGUAGCUCAUUAGAAAGAUAAUUGAGAUCAUCACAAUUUGAUAGGCAAAGUACUUUGAGCAAUCUCAAUUUUUUUCAUUUUUGAGAAGGCAUCGACACUCAAGUUGAGCACCUUGCUCAAUUCCCUAAUAACCAUGAGCAAAACAAAAAUGAGCUUUAGAAUAUACAAAAACAUUCAAUAUCUAAGAACUAUGUUGUAUCAAUAUCGUUUUUUUAUGUACAUGUAUCCUAUACUUUUAUCUAAUGCAUAUCUGAAUAUCGAUAUUAAGAUCCUUUAAGAACUCUUUAAAUACAUAAAAAAAAUCUUCAAAAAAAUUGAACGUACCAAUAUUGAAGAUAUACACAUAUCUAACAAUCACAUAUCUUACGUUAUAUUACCUAAUCCUAAAAAAAUUGAAAUUAAUAUUUUGAUUUAUAUUUGGUCAGCCAACAAUGCAUAAUUCUAUACAAAUUAAUCAACCAAAAACAAUGAUACAUAAUUAAAAAUAAAACCAUUUUCAUUUAAAAAAAAAAACUUUAGAUGACAUGUUACAAUCUAAUUCAUUGAUGUAUACACUAUUAGUGCAUUAAAUAUAUACCAUUAAUAUUUCAGAAAGAUAUACAUAUUUCAAUAUUGAUUCUUUUAAAAGAGUAAUAUGUUGCUAGAUAAAUUUCAUAUGUAAACAUUGAAAAUAUAGAGUGUCAAAGGUUUUGCUAUAGUUUCUUAUCAUAUUUAAAAUAAAUAAAAUCAUUAUUUAUAAUACACAAAGAUAUAAAUUUAUAUGCACCUUCUUACCUUUUAUUAUCGAUGAACAUGCCUUCAAUUAUUUUUGUAGCCUAAAAAAAAUCAAGAAUAGAAAAUAAGAAAACAAAAUAAAUGGUGUAUAAUGUAAAAUUAAGCUUUUAAAAAUUUACAUUUUUAUUGAGCAUUGUAAUGCAAGAAAUAUAAUAAAUAAAGCAUUUUAAACAAUGUAAAACAGUUUCUAAUGAGGGCAAUGCAAUGAAAUUAAAUAUUUGUUUCUAUAAAUUUUUGUUAACAUUUGUAAACAUCAAACAAUAUUUAUGUCGAAAGUACAAAAUAUCACUUUUUAAGGAUGUUGUAUCAACCAAUUAGACUAAGCUUUGAAUUUUUAUCAUAUAUUAUUAGAUAUUCUAUUAAAAAAUAGUAUGUAAUUUUUGUUGAAUGACUUAUAGUGUUUUUGUUAGGAUAUGAUAGACAUCCGUUUCCUUCCACAAUCUGCAACAUUUUCCAAGUUUAUCAAUAGAUUUUUCUCUAACAAUUUUUCUUCUCAUUUCUUGCAACAAGUCAUGCAUCCACAAAUAUUGGUUGUCAUCAUCGACUUUUAUUAAAGAUUUUUUAAUGAGAACGUCAAUUCCAAUAUCGGGGAAAAACUCACAACCAUCUAAUACUUUCAUUACAAAAUCUUUCUUCUCCCCAUUGAAGAAGCAUGCUAUAUCUAGAAAUAUAUUUUUCUCUGUUUCUUCCAAUCCAUCAAAACUAAUUCGAAGUUUAUUAAGAAUUUCUUCAUUAGAAUCUCUUUUAAGUCUUUCAAUCGCACUUCUCCAUUGAGUCACAUCUCUACCGCAUAAAAAGGAACCUAAAACUUUAAGAGCUAAUGGGAGCCCAUCAGCAUAACUUAUAACAUGGUAAGAAAGCUCAAUGAAAUCAUCUUUCAGCACUAUAUCACUAUGGAAAGCUUUCAAAUUGAAAAGUUGAAGCGCAUCUGUGUAAUCCAAUGUUGUGGGUAUAUACACAUCAUCAACUUGGCAAGAUUGAAGCAAAUGUUCAUCUCUUGUUGUUACAAUGAUUCUACUCCCUAAUCCGAACCAAUCAUGCCUUCCAACCAAGCAUUUUAAGUGUUGUAUGUUAUCAACAUCAUCAAGAACAACAAGAACCUUUUUGCGAGACAACAUAUGACUAAUUAUAUCAUUCCCUUCAUGAACAUUGAAAAAUUUGAAGCAUUCAUCAUGAAAAAUUUCCGAAAGAAGUUGUUUCUGUAAAAAAACUAAUUCACAUUUGUCUGAAACUUCUCUAAUAUCAGCAAUAAGCUUUUACUUUCAAAAUGAUGUGACAUUUGAUUAUAAGCAAGUCUUGCGAGUGUUGUUUUACCGAUACCACCCAUUCAGCAAAUCCCUAUAAUGCGGACAUCAUUUUUCCCGAUGUUUAUUUUCAAAUAUAAAUCCUCCAAGCGUUGACUAAUUCCAACCAAGUCACUAUGAGUAACUGGGUGACAUAGUUUUGCUGAUAUCUUCUUAAUAAACUCUCUAAUAAAUUAUGAUUCAUGCCUACAAGGAAAGAAAUUUUAAUUUUUUGAAUAAUUCUUUUUUCAUAUUUUCAAAUGCACUCUCUUUUUCAAUGAAUCAUGAAACAUAAUAUAGUUUGGAAGCAAACAAGAACCAAGACACUUUUCAAUUAAACACAUAGGAUUGGAAAGAAAAAAAAAGUUAUACAUAUAUAUCCGAAAAAAUAGAAAAUAGAGAAGAAAAGAAAAUGUUACCUGUUAUUUAAAUGCCAUCCCUUGAUUCCAGCCACUUGAAUUAAAGCAUUUCGCCACCUUUGGAUCUUCUCACUAUCUUCUUUGUAUCUCUCUUCAUGUCUAGCAAGGGCUUCUUCCACUUUCUCUUUUUGUUUUCUUAAAUCAGAUGGAUCAACAUCGUAAAAAAUUGGAAACACUUUAUGGCCGUCGUUGUUAUGUUGUUUAACAAUCUCAGCAAGCUCCUCCAAGCACCAACUUGAGAAGGCAUAAGUUUGUGAAAAAACGAUUACCGAACACCAUGAUUGCUGAAUUGCUGUAAAGAGUUCUGGCGCGAUCUCUUCGCCGGCCUCCAGCUUUGGAUCAUCCCUGAAAGUGACGAUCCCACUCCUACUUAAAGCAUCGUAGAGAUGAUCGGUAAAGUUGUUGCGGGUAUCUUCACCUCUAAAACUCAAGAAAACAUCAAAUUUCUUUCUAGAAUUGGACGAAGAAGUUGAAGGUAAUGACGGCAUGACGAUGUGCGAGAAAAAAAAAUGUGGAUGUAGUGUUGAAAAUCAGAAAAUUGAUCGCUCAAUAUGUCUGAAAGAAACUAGAAACUAGAAACAGAUCAAAUUUCAAGGGAAGAAUAAAGGUGGUUUCUAAGCAAUUUCUUUAUAACCUUUUCAUUUUCCAAAUGAAUGCGCCUAGUUGUGGAAAUUGGGGGGGUCAUAAAUGAGUGAUUCAUGUGAAUCCAAGAAGGUGGGUGUUGAUAAAAUGGAGCCUACAAUAAUUGCAAGUCUUCUUAAGUUUGUGUUUUACUUGCUUUCUUUUACAUAAUCAUAUCUAGUUUAUAAUAUAUUAUAUGUGUUCUUAAGUUUGAUAGCUUGCAUCUAACUAAUGAUCCGAAUUACUUUGAGCGAAUUCCUUAGGCCAUGGUUUCAAAUGACCACUCCACCAUCAACACCUCUACCACCGACAAUGAAUUCGGCCCGCAACAAAACGUUCCCAUUGAAGGAAAAAGGAAUUGUGUAAUGAAUGAUGUCACCUUCACCAAUUAUUUUUCUUAUCACAAACCCAAAUCAAUUUUCUUCCGCUGAAUAUAAAUAAUUUAUUAUUAAUUUUCUGCCCUCCAAUUUUAGAAAAAAAAAUUAUUUUAGCCUUUCAUUUAAUGUUUUAUUUUUUUAACUCUUCAAUUUAUAUUUUUUGUCAAAUCACUCUAAAAUGGAUAGAUAAUUUAAUAUUUAUUCACUUUACUGAUGUGACAUACACGUGGAUUGCCAUGCGGUUGACAUGUCAGUAUUUAAUUAAUUUUUUAAAUUUUAAAAAAUAUUUUUUUAUAAUUUUUAAUAUUUUAAAUUUUUUAAAAUAUAUUUUUUUUUAUUUUUUAAAAUUUUAAAAAAUUAAUUAAAUGAUGAUAUGUCAUCCAUGUGGCAAUCUACAUAUAUGCUAUAUCAAUAAAGUUAAAAAAACAAGUUGAAAAAUUAAAAACACAAAAAAUUAAAUAAAUAACUAAAAUAAUUUUUUUAUAAAAUUUAAAGGUUAAAUAAAUCAUUCGGCCUGGAGGUCCAGCAAGGAGAGAUCAACCUACAAAAUGGAUGAGGACUAAGCCUUGCAUGGUUUUUUGUUUUUUAUUUAUAUAUUUUUUUCUUUUUAGAUGGCCCCAGCCCCUAAAAUGGAAAUUUUCCUUUUACAGCCCUUAAAAUUUUAAAUUUGUAAUGGUAAAAUUACAUUUUGACUCCCCUAAAAUUGAUAAAAAUUUGAUUUAAUUCUUUAAAAAUUAUAAAUAUAUAAACUAUUAAAAUGGUAAAUUUGUAUUUUUACUAUCAUAAAAAUACAAUUUAAUUUUGACUCCCUCAAAAUUUUCUUGACUUCGCCCCUGCCUAUAUUAGGCCCUGGGGUAGGGAGUUAGAAGAUCAUCUUAUUCAUUUCUUUCUCGAUUUUGCAUGGAUGCAAUGACGAAGCCAUGUAGAGGCCCAGGGGCCAUGGCCCUUCAAAAUUUUUUUUUUUUUAAAUUUAAUCCUUUGUAAAAAUACUAUGACCCUCUCAAAAAUAUAAGUAGGUCCCCUAAGACUUAAGAUUUUUGUAAUUUCCCCCUUUGUAUAUAUAUUAUAACCCUCCUAAAAAUAUAAGUAGGCCCCUCCAAUAUUUUUAUAGUAUUAAAUAUAAUAUUAAAAAAUUUAUUCUUGAUAUCACAGAAAAAGAUUAAUCUAUAUCACUAGUAUAUUAACUUAUCUCAAAUUAAGAAUUUUUUCUUGAUAUCACAGAAAACACAACCGUUGAAAAUCUUGCUCAUUUCAACCAAAAUCAUAUCUCUAAACCCUAGACAUGAACAAAAAAUGAAUUUAUUAAUUUUUUUUUAAUAUUGGAUAUGAAUGAGUCUCUCACACUAAAAAGAUCUUCCAAUGAAUUAAAAGAGCAAACUCUUUAUAUUCAUAUUUGAAUAAGUGUUAAAAAUAAAUGUCUAAACAUAAAUACUUUACAAAAAUAUAUAUAAACUUAGGAAUUGGAGUAAUAUUAUUUGUACUACAAACCAUGAAAUUUAAAUGAUACUUUCUCCGUUUGUUUGCCAGUAAAAUAUUUUUCGGAAAAUGAUUUUUAAAAAAUGAUUUACUUUUCUGGAAAUAAUUUACUUUUCUGGUGUUUAGAUGAAUCUAUGUAAAAUAUUUUCUGUUGUUUGACAGAUUUUCUGAAAAUAUUUUCCGAAAAAACUGUAUUUACAUAUAUUAAUAAAUAUAUAUAUUAAUAAAUUUAUAUUUUAAAUUAUUUUUACAUAUAUUGCAAUGAUUUAUUUAUAAAUAAAUAAAUCAAAUUAAAUAUAUCAAUUAGAUGGUUUAAUUGCUCAAGAUUGGCAAUCAUCCUAUAAGAUUCAUUCACAUCACAUGUAAAUGAUAAAAACUAAUCGUCAUAUUUGUAGUUAAAUAAACAAGUAGCAACAACUCGUCUAGUAACGUAUUGAAGCCAAACAAUAUAUAGAUCAUGCAGAAAAAUAUUUAAUCUGAAAUGAAAAUGCACUUUCAUCCACAUAAAAGUGGAUCAUAAAAAUCCCAAUACAAAAUGAAAGAUAAGGAUGAUGUUUGCAGUUUUAACCGUAUCCUCAGGCAUUCCAGUGCCAUUGUAGAUCCAACAAAUGCCAAAAAGUGAAAAGUUUAGUACAUGAGCCGCUCCUUUCAGAACAAAGAUUUAAGGAUCAAGCAAUACCUACUAAAGGAAUCAUACAAAGAUGGCUCUACCCGCAAAUGACUAACACUUAUCUCUAUCCUCAUUGCUCGUCAUUUCACUUUCCCUUCUUCUUGCCCUUUUCAAAUACCGAAAUUGUUACAAUGGCAGAAAGGAACCGGAGAAAAAAAUUCAUGAUGCAACUAGAUCAGGUGUUUCAGCCUCAAUUGAUAACCAAGCGUCAUGUACUUUGCCCAUCCAAUUAUCCAACAGCUGCAAUGACCAGACUUGUAAACGCCAAAGAAGCCUGCAUGUAUCCAAGUGAUUGGUAUCAACCAGUCCGAAAAUAUAGAAAAUUGAAACACCAAACAUAGUACUUAAUACCAAUGCACAACAGUUGAAUUUCUACGACUGCCUGCCUAUAGAAAGAAUCUAUUUGAUUUGCAGUAACAAGCCAAAGAAAACUGCAAAAAAUAAAAAUUAUCCAACAAAUUGUUCAAAUACCAUAUGCAUCCAACAAACUGCAAAAAACUGAUUAUAACAAUGAAACUAUAAUCAAUAAAUGCAAAAAGAAAUGAUACAUGAGAAAAGUAUAGACUAUCCUAUGUUACUAAGACUCGAACAUGAGUGUAGGAUACGAAUAUGUUUCUAACACGAGUAAGUUCAAUUUUUUCUAAGUUUUUAUGUGUACUUGGAGGGCUCUAAAGAAAAAAUUAAAUAGUGGGAACGACAUACUAUUACCAAGUUACAAUUCCAACAUUAUCAAACAUCAAUUUCAUAUAUACAUAUAUAUAUUUAUAAGCUACAUGCAAACAAGAGAAGCUUAUCAAAUUUUGAAAAUAUCCAUUAAGCAAUAAGAAGCACGCACAUAAAACAUGCCCAAAACCAAGAACUGCCCUUAAACAACCUCAAAAUAAGCACUAAAUAAUCUCAAAACAUUAAAGAACAAUCCGUUUACAGAACAUAUUUAGCACACCUUCCAAGUAAUGAGACUAUCAAUCAAAUAUUCUCUCUCACACAUACGCAGAUAUAUAGCAUAAAAAUUCCACAUACAUAUAUAGUACACAAUAACCUGAAAAGCCUUAAAACCAUACAAGCAAUAAAAGUGAACAGAUAGAAGGCUUGAUCACUCGAACUCAUCUUUUGAGUUGGAAUAAAAACUCAUCCUUUGAGAAGGGAAAAAAAGAAAAAGAAAAAGAAACUACAACAUAAGACUCCCUUUUAAAUCAAUCCAACACAAUAAAAAAUAAGAAUGUAUUCAUGUAAUUGCAAUAGCAUGAAAAGAAAUGCAAAACGAAAAGAGGCUCUUAAUAGCAGGCACUUUUCAGUCAUUAAACCUCCAUAUACAUUAACAUGAGUAUCAUAAACGAGGCCUAUGAACCUUAUCUUUGUGCAAUUAAAAGUAUAUUUUCUUAAUCAAGACUGCAUCGAUCAUCUCCAUAACAAUUGGACCAGCUGCAAUAUAUAGUGAAUUUAAGAAACUUAUAAAUAGGUGCUUACAAUUGGAUGAGCAAGGAGUUCUCCAAAGUUGUAGAUGUUAUCUCCCAAAAGAGCAGAAAUGGACAGAUCAAAUGCCAAAUCCUAUAUCAAAAGAGUUCAAAUAAAAUUAAAUGAAAUGAAGUCACUGGACAAAUAUAUUCCUCGCAAUUUCUUUAGUUCAUUUACUUCCAUCAAUUUUAUGACUGGGUUGUAAGGGGCUGGAAAACAGAAUAUUUAAGCACAUCAGCCAUCAGACUUCGGAGGCACUGCUGUUAGAUGAAUAGGUUGAUAAAACCAUAAGAUUCAAAUGCUUCCAUUCAACUAAUACAAAUAAACUCACCGAUUCUACAGAAUAGCAAGGAACCAUAAGAACAACUCGGAUCAAGAACUUUUGCUCCCGUCAAUCCAAGAACACAGAAUUUAAAAAACUGGAUGAAGGAGGAACCGAAAAAGGUCAUUGACCAAACUAUUUGUGAAUGCAACUAAAGCCCAGUAAGAAUCUCAGAUGUUCCUAUUCAACAGGGAGACAAUUAAAUCCUUAAACAACUUAAAAAAUCAUCAUUUUGACAACAUCGAGCAAAAACAUUAGCACUAACAGAAUUGGUUUCAUGCUUAAGUCCCGUAAAAACCCUUACAAUACUCUCUUCCCAAAUACAGAGGCAUGAAACACACAGAUCAUCAAUCAAAUCCAAGAAAAAGUCGUCACAAUCACAAAAAAACCGAUUUAAAUAUAGUAAGACAUAAGAUUAUUAUAGCACUGAAACAAAACGAGGAUCUUUCAUAACGUUUUACAUUGUGGAACUAACGUAAUUCACAAACCUUAAACCUAUCAAUUCAGGGCGGAAAAAGAAGAAAAAAAAGGAGGUGAAAUUGAGGGAAAAUAUCGCUGAGAGAGCCAGAGAAAAAUGAACAACAAAAGAAUGAUUAGAAUUAGAAAAUGGUGUAGAAAAUAUAAAGAGGGUUUUACCUGGAUGAAGGAGGAACCGGAAAAGGUCCUUGACCAAACUAUUGUCAAUGGCACUGAUUUGCAACCCAAGGGGAAGGGGGAGGGGGAGAAGAAGCUUCAUUUUCAGGAAAAUGUCUUACCGAUUUCAAAAGGGUAAGAUAUUUUCCUAAAAAAACACUUUAUUUUUCCGUGUUUUGUAAAAUAUUUUACGGUAGGAAAUUGUUUUCAGCCAUCCAAAUAUCAAAAAAGCCUGAAAACCUUUUACAUGUUACCAAACAGAAUUAAACCUAUUUAAGUACUAGAAAGGUCUUAUUUUUAAUUUUCUAAAUAGAUAAAAAUAAUUUUGACCGAUUAAAUUGAAUACAUAAAUUAGUCUCAAAUAAAAAUAAAAUAAUUUUUAACUCAGUCCAAAUUAUGAUCUGAUCUUUAUUAAAGGAUUUCACCUUAUUGUUACCUGUUUUGUCACGGAAAUUAUCUAUUUUUCUUUACAUUUCUAUCUCAAGUUGAUUAUAUUUAUUUCAACCUACAAAUAAAAUAUAGAUGUAAGUGUAUAUAUAAUGAAAAUAAAAUUUUAAUAAAAAAUGAAACUACACAUUUCAGUUAUGUAAAAAGGAAUGAAUUAAGCUACUAAAAUUUUAAAUGAUAUAUAUAAACUAUGUUAUCAACAUUUGUGAUAUGUACGGAAUAUGAGCUUCUGUUGAAUAUGAGUAAAAGAUUUAUAACUUUUUGGUAUGUAAGAAGGAUCGUAAAUAAGUCUAGAUUGAUCACAUUAAAUAAAAGAUGUGUAAAAAAGUUCAUAGGACAAGACUGGUUAAGUAGUUUACCACACACUACAGGAAAAUAGAGAUUUAGCGGCGUUUUAUAAAAAAACGCCACAAAAAUUAUACAUUAGCGGCGUUUUUGGCAAAACCCCGCUAAAAACAUAGCAAUAGCGGCUUUUUUUGGCAAAGCGCCGCUAAAAAACAGAGCAAUAGCGGCGUUUUUGACAAAGCGCCGCUAAAAAUAGAGCAAUAGCGGUGUUUUUUGCGAAGCGCCGCUAAAAAACAGAGCAAUAACAGCAUUUUUAGCAAAGCGCUAAAAAAUAGAACAAUAGCGGCGUUUUUGGCAGAGCGCCGCUAAAAGUCAUAUAACCCCUAAAUCCUUAAACACCCAAAAAAACCAUAGACACUAGUCUAUAUAACUCCUAAAACCCUAAACCCAAAAAACCCUAAACACUAAUCUAUAAUUCCUAAAACCCUAAACCCCAAAAACAUCAUAUGGAUGUUGAUAUGUAUAUACAUAGAUAUUAAUGUAAAAGCUUAUGUUCAUAAUAAAUUACGAAAGCAAUACUUAAUAUUGAUUAAAUUUAUUUUUAGGUUUAGAGUUUAAUAUUUAAGAUUUAAGGUCUAUAAUUUAGAGUUUUAUGGUUUAAGGUUUAAUGGCCAUGGGUAAUAUGUUAAUCUCAAGUGAAUCAUAUUCAAUUAAAUCCUAAACCCUAUAAUUAAUAUAUAUUUAGGGGCAUAAGUAGGGGGUUGAAAGGGUCUUUGCCUUUCUAAAAUGAAAAAUUGUCCAUUUCGAUUUUUUUUGAAAUUUUUAAAAGGUAAAAUUACACUUCAUCCCUUUGAAUAAUGGAAAAUUUUUUUAUUUAAUCGUUUCAAAAUUAUAAAAAUAUAUGCUAAACUUUAAUGUUUAAAGUUUAGAUGAUAGGGGGUAAGGGUUAGAGGUUAAAGGGUAAAAGUUUAGGGUUUAUGUUUUAUGACUUAAUGUUAAGGGUUUAGAUUAAUACUUUUAUUUUCAAAAAUAUUUAAUCUAAACUAUUUGAUAUAUUUAAAUAUCAGAUUUUAAAAAAAUAUUGAUAAAUAAAUAAAAACAUUGAUAAUAAAUAAAAAUGAAAUAUAAAAAAUAUAUAUAUAAAAAAUUGAGAUUAAUGGCGUUUUUAUAAAAAAACGACACAAAAGAUAAGCAAUAAUGACGUUUUUAUAAAAAACGCCGCAAACAAUCAUUUUACUUAAAAAAAAAUGGCGCUUUUGUUUCCCAAAUUCCCCCUCCCUUCGAAACCCUAAAUUUUCCCCUAAAAUUGGAAUACUCAAAACCCCUUUUUCACACACACCGUUUUCAUCGGUUUACCUUGGAACCCAUACGAUCCCUUCCCCUUCCCCUUUCCCUUUCCCUUUCCCUUUGGUUUUGAAAAAACCCCAAUUCUUAUAUUCAUUAUUCUGUUCUUAAUUUCGGUUUUGAUUUUUCUAUGUUCUUUCUUCAAAUUUUUAGACUCUCUGCAAAUUUUGAAGGACCUGCCUCUGGGCUCUGUACUUAAAUCCUAGUCUAAAGACAUGCAAGCAAGAAUGCAGAUUUUUGUUCAAACAGAUUCAAACAAUUAAAGAUACAAUGGAUUUGUACUGCAGAAUGCGGAUUCAAGACAUGCAACUUGCAAGCAAGAAUCAAGAGUAUUUUUCAGGUACUUACUUGGAGUUUACGGUCUUUGCCUCUUUGGAGUUUACGGUCUCUAAACUCUAAACCGAAAUAUGAUUGCUUUUAAGUUUCUUUUUUUUUGUAUGAUUUAGAUGGAAUUAUAUAGUGGGGUGAAGUGAAAAACAAAAAAGAUUGGAACUUUGAGAAUGUUGCUUGAAUUGUCCUUUAUUUGCUGUGUUUUUUUUUUGUAAUUACAUAUAUCCUAAACUCGAUCUUGUGAACAUGAAGACUGAUUUCCUUAACCGAAAUGUCAAUGAAGGAUUCAGUGGAGGUGAAAGGAAGCGCAAUGAGAUUUUGCAGCUUGCGGUAAUAUGAUAUAAUGUCUUCUGUAAUUCAUUGUGGAAUUGUUUUGUCCUCAUUUGAUAGUUGCAGUGGAAUAUUCUUGUUUGAACUUAGAAUUGCUGUUCAUGGCUUACAUGCUAUUGCAGGAGCUAUUACUAUACACUAUUUUAAUAUUUCAGCUUUAUUAAUAAUUUUUAGAUAUGGAUGGAUGGCUAGGAUUAUAAGUUUUCCUUAUUUUUCUGGUAAGCAACCAUUUCUCUUUUGUUGUUGAAGAAUUUCAACAUAUAAAAAAAGAAAUUGUAUUAAUUUCAGGCUAAGGAUAAGUUAGAGAAGUCAAUGGUGGCAGAUGAUGUAUCAGGCCAGAGUAUUGAAAGUGAAGUUCGAACCAGCUCCGGCAUGUUUCUUGAGAAAGCUCUGGUAUAUAAAUGAAUUGUCUUUCAUUCCUUUUUUUAGCUUAAAGCUGUGAAAUUACUAGAAUUUAUGUUAAUUUAAGAGAGGAAUGCUGAAUUUAUGAGUCGAAUUGUUGAAUUUAGAAGUAAAAUGAAUUGAUCUAUUAUCCAUAUGAUCUUGUUUUUAUGUAAUUUUAUGCAAUCUUAUUCUUGCUUUGUUUAAGAAAGGAUGAAGCAUCUGGCUGUUUAUAAUUAUGUCAUUGUAUCAGUACUUUCAUGCUUUUUUUCCCUUCUGUGGGAUACUGAUCAUAGCUGUUUGAGAUUGUUCUAUUUUUGAGAACAUGUAUUUGAUAUAGACUGACUAUAUGAACUGAAAUUUGCGUGGUGCUUGUGAGAUUUUAAUCACUUGAAUGGUACAUCAUCUGAUAUUUGGUCUUACGGAGUUAUUCUCUUUGUUCUCAUGGCUGGUUAUUUGCCUUUUGAUGAGCCAAGCCUUAUAGGCUUGUAUAAGAAAGUAAGUACCCUCCAGGUUUGGCCAGUCUUGCUGUCCAUCAUGGUUUUCAUCUGGUGCUAGGAAUUUGAUUAAGCGUAUUCUUGAUCCAAAAACCCUCUUACCGUAAGUUUCAAAUUCAAUUCAUCCUAUGAAAAUUUGUGAUUACAUGCAAUUUUUGAUCACAAUAAGCUUUGGCACAUGCAUUUUGGUUGAAAUUCUGCAUGUUCUUUUUUGCAACGUAUAACUAUUCCUGAAAUUCUACAAGAUGAAUGGUUCAAGAAAGGGUACAAGCCACUAAAAUUUGAGCAAGAUGAGGAUGUAAAUCUUGAUGAUAAUAUCUUAUAUUUUACAUGGUUAUGAUAUCUUUAUAUUUAAUCUAAUUUUUAUUAUUUAUUUUAGUUUUGAUUAUAAAUUUUUAUUUUUAUUUUAAUAUUUUUAGUUAAAAUUUUAAUAGAAAAUUUUAUUCUUCGCUAUAUUUUGAUAAUGAAUUUUAAUUUUUUUAUAUUUUUCAUGAUUUUUAUAAUAUUUUAUUUUUUUCCCAAAAACGCCGCUAAAGGGCAUGGCCUUUAGCGGCGUUUGCGAGGAAAGCCGCCGCUAAAGGUCAUGACCUUGACCUUUAGCGGCGUUUUUUUAAAUAAACGCCACAAACUUUAGUAGCGUCAUCUAUAGCGGCGUUUUUUUGCGGCGCUUGUAAAAACGCCACAAAUAGUUUUAGCGGCACUUAAAAGCGCCGCUAAAGACCUUAAAAAAUGCCGCUAAAAGUCAAUUUUGCUGCAGUGACUGUUAAAGCUUCUUACCUGAUUGGCCCAUUAUAAAAUUGAAAAAUUUUUGCAUCAAUUUUGGUUGCAGCCCUUCUUCUUCCGCUUCCUCGGAGAUAUUACGUUCUUGUUUUAUGUUAGAAGUGCUACCUACUGAUCCAUCGUUGUGAGCAAAGUGUUGGUGGAUGUGUUCAAAAUUUGGUGAAGAUUGAGUGAUAUGGCAUUGCAACUCUUUUAUUUCUUCCAAAUCUUUCUCAUACACUAUUCUAACACCACACUUCUUCACCUUAAGGCUAUGACCAUUGAAAAACACAUGAAGCCCAUCACGUUUAUGAUCUAAUCAAUCUGUUGUCUGUAAAUUAUUGGUUUCACAGCCACCAUAUUUAUCCUUCAAGGAAAAUGGAUAUACUUUAUCACGCGACCAAUAACGAAGAAAAAUGUGAUCUUUCAUUAUGGGCUUGUUGAAUCGUUUACCCACCAACUAGCCUCUCCUCUCAAUGUGUCGAGGAUUUCUACCAUACAUUAACGCUCUGAAGUCGAUAAAGCCCACAUCCUUUGAAGCAUCAUUAUUGACAAAAAUGCAGCAACAAGCAACUCCAAUCCAUUCACUAUCCUCUUGAAGGUUGAUAGGUAAGGGAAUCUUAAUAAAGGAGUCACCUUUUUGUUGGCUAAACCAUUCUGGGAUUUCACUUCCCGGCAUGAUAAUAUCAAACAUUUUUCUUGAAUUUGCAAAUGCCCAAAAUAAAUCACAAGUCGUUUGGUAACUAAAACCAUAAAUUCUCAAGUAUGAGAUUUUAUAAGGGAGAAAAAGAGAGAUUAAUCGACCUUAAGAUGUUUUCUCAGCAGUGUUAAUGCAUUCAUAUUCUCAACCAAUUUGAAGCAGUUAAAGGCUCUAAUAGCAGCCGAAUCCACUAAAUUGCAUACUUUUGAUGGACUUGCAACUACUUCAAGUGAAGAACAACCCUCUAGCCACACAUCUUCUAUACUUGUUGGUAGCUCAGGCAACGAGUUAAGCUUCAUGCAAUUUGAUAAUGCAAUCAAUUUAAGCUUGGAAAGUUGAGUCAGAGCCAAAGGAACGGUGAUGAAAUUGUUAUCGUUAAGAUAAAGCCAUUUCAAAGAGGAUAGACCAUGAAUAUCUGCUUCACCAAGAGUGCACAUGUUGCAAUUUGACAAUAUAAGAACUUCAAGCUUGGAGAGUCGUGUAAGAGAUGCAGGUAUACUGACGAAAUUGUUACCACUAAGAUCAAGUUCUUUCAAAAAGGAUAGACCAGAAAUAUCAGGGGGAAUAUCUCCUUCACAAAGAUUGCAGUCCCUUAGUUUUAGCUCUCUUAAUGAACUCAAACCUGAAAAUGAAGGUAACAUCGGAGCAAUGGAAUUUGUCCUUCCUCUUUUGCAUCCAUUGAAAGACAGAACUUUAAGAUUUUUAAAUUGAAAAAUGAAGGAUGGUGGUUCGGUUAUGGCUGUUUCAGUCAAGUCGAGCUCUUCCAAAAACUUUUCAUGCUGCAAAUUCUCCGAUAAAUUUUCAACUCUAUAACAACCGGAAAGAUCUAGAGUUUUUAGACGUUUCAUUUUUCCAUCAAUCUCCGGAAACCUUACAAGACUUGAGCAACCCGAAAGAAUUAAUGUUUCAAGAUAUUCCAUUCUAAUUAUGGUCGGAAAACUCCUAAGACUUUUGCAAUCUUUUAAAUUCAAAACUUUAAGGCUCUUAAGUACUGCGAUUGAUGGAUGAACAUCUACUAAUUUGGUACAACCUUUCAAUGUUAGAACUUCAAGAUUUGAUGCCGUUGUGAAGUCUGGUGUCUUGAUCAGGUUUUGGAACCCUUCGAGGUCCAUCAUUUUCAACUUACACAGGAGCUGUUGAAGAUCACAAUAAAUUAGAAACAAAUGAGAAAACAUAAUAAUGCUUAUUUUUUUGUUUUUUUACCUUAAUCAAAGUUUAAUCAUUUAUAUUAAAAUAAGCUAAAAUACAAGGAUGAGAUGAAUUAAUUCUUACUCUAUUUCCCUUCCAUAGUUGUUGAAUGCGACUAUAUGGUAAAAGAAGUGCAACAAGGUUGUCCGGUUGGCUUGAAGGCAACGAUCUUAAAGGGCAUCCUUUCUAAUCUAAAAGCCGUAGCUCAUUAGAAAGAAAUUUAAGAUAAUCACAAUUUGAUAGGCAAAGCACUUUGAGCAAUCUCAAUUUUUUCAUUUUUGAGAAAGCAUCGGCUCUCAAAUUGAACAUCUUGCUUGAUUCCCUAAUAAUCAUAAAUAAAACAAAAUGAAAAUGAGCUUCACAAUAUACAGAAACAUUCAUAUCUAAAAGUUAUGUUAUAAUCUAAUUCAUUGAUAUGCUAUUAAUAUUUCAAAAAGACAUACAUUUAUAAAUUUCAGAAUUAAACAUUGAAAUAUUGAGUGUUAAAGAUUUUGUUAUAAUUUUUUUAUCAUAUUUAAAAAUAUAAAAUAAUUAUUUACAAUACACAUAAAUAUAAAUUUAUGUCUUCUUACCUUUUAUUAUCGAUGAUUAUACCUUCAAUCAUUUCUGUACCCUAAAAAAAAUCAAGAAUAGAAAAUAAGAAAAUAAAAUAAAUGGUGUAUAAUGUAGAAUAAAACUUUUAAAAACUUACAUUUUUAUUUAGCAUUAUUAUAUUCUAAAUAUAAUAAAUAAAGCAUUUUAAAUGAAGUAAAACAAUUUCUACAAAUAUUAUGCUCUAAAGAGGGUAAUGCAAUGAAAUUAAAUAUUUAUUUCUACAAAUCUUUUUAAUAUUUGUAAACAAACUACAAAAUGGAGCAAUUUAAAUACUAAAGAAGCAGGCACUGAAUCACACCUAAACACAUUGCAGGCAUCCAAUGGUAUAUUCUCUUAUUAUUCCCUUUUUCAUAAAGUACUUAUUUUUAACAUUAUGUUUGGCUUUCAUAUAUAUAAUCUUCCAAAUAGAUAAAAAAAAAAAAUUAACAGAUUAAAUAGGACACAUAUCACAUUUACUUUACAAGAAAAAAUUGUUUGAGACUGUAAUUCCACAUUAUCUCUAUCUCUUUUUGAUAAAUAAAAAAAAAAUUAGAUUUUUCCUCAUUGGAAGUCACACGCAUGGAUUUGCCUUUUGAUGGACUUGGAGGUGCAACUACUUCAAGCGAAGCACAACCAUCUAUCUUCACAUUCAUUAUGGUUGCUAGAAGCUCAGGCAAUGAUUCAAGCUCCCUACAAUUUGAAAAUCUAAGAAAUAGAAGCUUGGAAAGUCGAGUAAGAGACACAGGUAUGCUAAUGAAAUUGUUACCACUAAGAUCAAGUUCUUUCAAAGAGGAACGACAAGAAAUGUCACUAGGAAUAUCUCCUUCCCUAAUAUUGAAGGAUGGUGGUUCUGUUAUGGUUGUUUCACUCAAGUCAAGCUCUUCCAAAAAUUCUACUUGUUGCAAACUCUGGAAAUUUUUUUAACUUUAUAACAACCAGAAAGAUGAAGAGUUUUUAGACGUUUCAUUUUCCCAUCAAUCUCUGGAAACCUUGCAAGAUUUGAGUAACCCGAAAAAAUUAAUGUUUCAAGAGAUUCCGUUCCAAUUGUUUCUCACUGUUUACAAUUAUUUCUGGCUCAGGUUUGUUCUCUUUUGCAUCGAAAAUUAACCUCUGAUUCUUUUAUAAUUUAAAAUUGUUGACUUCUUUAUGUCAGGUGUUUUGCUCUCAAAUAUGCUGCCUGCCCUGUGAUGUGUGUAGAUCAGGUAAUUUACUAGAGGCAGAAAGUUUGGAAAUGAAAAUCGCACUUAAAUUAGUUUCUGAUGGGAUUAGGUUCUCAUGCAAAGUUGUAUUUGUUGCUUAGGAUCGCAUCUGUAUUUCAUUUUCCCAACAUUUUCUUCCACUUAGCUUGGUAAUGUGGUUAUUUCAAUGUUUGCAUAUUAUCACGGCGAAACUAGAUGGAGGUCCAGGGAGGAGAGAUCAACCUGAAGGAAUGGAUGGCGAAUAAAUCUUGCACAGUAUGAUUGAUUUUGUUGGGGUUUUGACAGUAGCAAAAGAAGAUAACAAGACAGAGAACAAAAGAGGAUUGAUUUUGUUGGGGUUUUGACAGUAGCAAAAGAAGAUAACAAGACAGAGAGCAAAAGAGCAAGAAGCUUGAUAUAGUUUAGUUGCUCACAAACUGCAGUAAGAAAGCAAUCUAUUUUACAAAACUGAUAUGCUUGCUCAUUCAAUAAGAAAAUAAUCCCACUAAUCAGCAUUGGGACAAUUAAAAACAUGGCUUGUAUGUAUGAAUAAGCAGACUUAUCAGCUCAAUCAGCACCUAAGCAUAUCGAUACAUCAACAGCUAAGUUCAUUUUCAACCAAAUUAAAUUACUGUUAGAGUUGGCCUGCAUGCAGCACAAGCAGCACCAAGGUGCAGAGAAGCAAAAAAUUCAAAAAAGUUUAUUUAAAAUACUAUAAUUUACAUUACAUGUAAAAAAAAAAAAGAAAGCUAAUUAAGUAAUAACAUUAUCUAUUUCUCAAAAUCUUAAUUCUCUAAAUUCAUCCGAGCCUAUAAUUGCUGAAGUGUCCGCUUUCAUUCCAACUUGAUGACUUUUGUUGGUCCCUCACUAGCAUGAUUCUUUUAGCAAACUUUCAUACUUCUAUUAGCCUAAGGGACAAACAUAAAACAUCAAGGUUAUUCUCGCUGCAUAGAGAUCGUUGCAUUGAGAUCAUCUAUAUCACUAGGCAUUGUAUAAAACUGUGACUCCACUUUAUUCCUAUCACCUCCUAAUAGGAGAAUAACAAAUCAGAAUUUUUUUUUCCUGAUUUUCAACUUUUUCCUCCUAAAAAAAUUUAAAUUCAACUAAAAAUACUAAAAAAUUGAUUUAUCAUUCUUUUAUUGAAAAGGUAAAAAGAUGACAUAAAAUCACAAUUUUAUAUAAUCUUUUCUCUAUCAUAUAAUCUUUUCUCUAUCACUAGUAUAUUAACUUACCUCAAAUCAAGAAAAUUUUGUUAAUAUCACAGAAAAAAAAAACAACAGUUAAAAAUCUUACUCAUGUCAAUCAAAAAUCAUAUAUUUAUUUCUCUAAACACUAAUAUUAGACAAGAACAAAAAUUGAGUUUAUUGAAUUUAAAAAAAUAUAUACUGAAUAUGAAUAUGUUUCUCACAUUGGAAAAGAUUUUCCAAUUAAUUAAAAGAGUCUACUUUAUAUUCAUAUUUGAGUAAUUCUUAAAAAUAAAUGUAUAAAUAUAAAUACUUUACAACUAUAUAUAUAUAUAUAUAAACUUAAGAGUUGGAGUAAUAUUAUUUGUACUACAAACCAUGAAAUUUAAAUGAUACUUUUAUUAAGAGUAAUUAAACCUAUUUAAAUACUAGAAAGGACUUAUUUUUAAUCUUCUAAAUAUAUAAAAAUAAUUUUGACUGAUUAAAUUGAACACAUAAGUUAGUGUCAAAUAAAAAUAAAUUGGUUUCUAACUCGAUCCAAAUUCUGAUCUGAUCUUUAUUAAAGGAUUUCACCUUAUUGUUAUCUGUUUUGUCACGGAAACUAUCCAUUUUUUUCUACAUUUCUAUCUCAAGUUAAUUAUAUUUAUUUCUAACCUACAAAUAAAAUAUAGAUGUAAGUGUAUAUAUUAUGAAAAUAAAAUUUUAAUAAAAAAUGAAACUAUGAUAUCAACAUUUGUGAUAUGUACGGAAUAUGAGCUCCUGUUGAAUAUGAGUAAAAGAUUUAUAACUUUGUGGUAUGUAAGAAGGAUCGUAAGUAAGUCUAGAUUGAUCACAUUAAAUAAAAGAUGUGAAAAAAAGUUAAUAGGACAAGAUUGGUUAAGUAGUUUACCACAGUUAAUGCUUCUUCCCUGAUUGGCCCAUUAUAAAAUUGAAAAAUUUUUGCAACAGUUUUGGUUGCUGCCCCUCUUCCUCCGCUUCCUCGGAGAUAUUACGUUCUUGUUUAAUGUCAGAAGUGCUACCUACUGAUCCAUCGUUGUGAGCAGAGUGUUGGUGGAUGUGUUCAAAAUUUGGUGAAGAUUGAGGGGUAUGGCACUGCAACUCUUUUAUUUCUUCCAAAUCUUUCUCAUACACUAUUCUAACACCACACUUCUUCACCUUAAGGCUAUGACCAUUGAAAUACACAUGAAGCCCAUCACGUUUAUGAUCUAAGCAAUCUGUUGUCCGUAAAUUAUUGGUUUCACAGCCACCAUAUUUAUCUUUCAAGGAAAAUGGAUAUAAUUUAUCACGCGACCAAUAACGAAGAAAAAUGUGAUCUUUCAGUAUGGGAUAGCUGAAUCGUUUACCCACCAACCAGCCUCUCCUCUCAAUCAGUCGACGAUUUCUACCAUACAUUAACGCUCCACAGUCGAUAAAGCCCACAUCCAUUGAAGCAUCAUUAUUGACAAAAAUGCAGCAACAAGCAACCCCAAUCCAUUCACUAUCCUCUUGAAGGUUAAUAGGUAAGGGAAUCUUAAUAAAGAAGUCACCUUUUUGUUGGCUAAACCAUUCUGGGAUUUCACUUCCUGGCAUGAUAAUAUCAAACAUUUUUCUUGAAUUUGCAAAUGCCUGCAAAAUAAACCACAAGUCGUUUGGUAACUAAACCAUAAAUUCUCAAGUAUGAGAUUUUGUAAGGGAGAAAAAGAGAGAUUAAUCGACCUUAAGAUGUUUUCUCAGCAGUGUUAAUGCAUUGAUAUUCUCAGCCAAUUUGAAGCAGUUAAAGGCUCUAAUAGCAGCCAUAUCCACUAAAUUGCAUACUUUUGAUGGACUUGCAACUACUUCAAGUGAAGAACAACCAUCUAGCCUCACAUCUUCUAUACUUGUUGGUAGCUCAGGCAACGAGUUAAGCUUCAUGCAAUUUGAUAAUUCAAGCAAUUUAAGCUUGGUAAGUUGAGUCAGAGCCAAAGGAACGGUGAUGAAAUUGUUACCUUUAAGAUAAAGCCAUUUCAAAGAGGAUAGACCAUGAAUAUCUGCUUCACCAAGAGUGCAAAUGUUGCAAUUUGACAGUAUAAGAUCUUCAAGCUUGGAGAGUCGUGUAAGAGAUGCAGGUAUACUGGUGAAAUUGUUACCACUAAGAUCAAGUUCUUUCAAAGAGGAUAGACCAGAAAUAUCAGGGGGAAUAUCUCCUUCACAAAGAUUGCGGUCCCUUAGAUUUAGCUUUCCUAAUGAACUCAAACCUGACAAUGAAGGUAACAUCGGAGCGAUGGAAUUUGUCCUUCCUCUUUUGCAUCCAUUGAAAGACAGAACUUUAAGAUUUUUAAAUUGAAAAAUGAAGGGUGGGGGUUCUGUUAUGGCUGUUUCACUAAAGUCGAGCUCUUCCAAAAACUUUGCAUGCUGCAAAUUCUCUGAUAAAUUUUCAACUCUAUAACAACCGGAAAGAUCUAGAGUUUUUAGACGUUUCAUUUUCCUAUCAAUCUCCGGAAACCUUAUAAGACUUGAGCAACCCGAAAGAAUUAAUGUUUCAAGAGAUUCCAUUCCAAUUAUGGUCGGAAGACUCCUAAGACUUUUGCAAUCUCUUAAAUUCAAAACUUUAAGGCUCUUUAGUACUGCGAUUGAUGGAUGGACAUCCACUAAUUUGGUACAACCCUUCAAUGUUAGAACUUCAAGAUUUGAUGCCGUUGUGAAGUCUGGUGUCUUGAUCAAGUUUUGGGACCCUUCAAGGUUCAUCAAUUUCAACUUACACAAGGGCUAUUGAAGAUCACAAUAAAUUAGAAACAAAUGAGAAAACAUAAUAAGCUUAUUUUUCUUUUUCACCUUAAUCAAAGUUUAAUCAUUUAUAUUAAAAUAAGCUAAAAAAACAAGGAUGAGAUGAGUUAAUUCUUACUCUAUUUCCCUUCCAUAGUUGUUGAAUACGACUAUAUGGUAAAAGAAGUGCAAUAAGAUUGUCCGGUUGGAAGCUUGAAGGCAAUGAUUUUAAAGGGCAUCCUUUCCAAUCUAAAAGCCGUAGCUCAUUAGAAAGAAAUUUGAGAUAAUCACAAUUUGACAGGCAAAGUACUUUGAGCAAUCUCAAUUUUUUCAUUUUUGAAAAGGCAUCGACACUCAAGUUGAGCAUCUUGCUCGAUUCCCUAAUAAUCAUGAAUAAAACAAAAUGAAAAUGAGCUUCACAAUAUACAAAACCAUUCAUAUCUAAAAGUUAUGUUAUAAUCUAAUUCAUUGAUAUACUAUUAAUAUUUCAAAAAGACAUACAUUUCUCUAUUGAUUCUUUUGAAAGAGUAAUACGCUACAAGAUAAAUUUCAUAAUUAAACAUUGAAAUGUAAGUGUCAAAGGUUUUGCUAUAAUUUCUUAUUAUAUUUAAAAAUAUAAAAUAAUUAUUUACAAUACACAUAAAUAUAAGUUUAUAUAUCUUCUUACCUUUUAUUAUCGAUGAUUAUACUUUCAAUCAUUUCUGUACCCUAAGAAAAAUCAAGAAUAGAAAAUAAGAAAACAAAAUAAAUGGUGUAUAAUGUAGAAUAAAACUUUUAAAAACUUACAUUUUUAUUUAGCAUUAUUAUAUUCUAAAUAUAAUAAAUAAAGCAUUUUAAAUGAAGUAAAACAAUUUCUACAAAUAUUAUGCUCUAAAGAGGGUAAUACAAUGAAAUCAAAUAUUUAUUUCUACAAAUCUUUUUAAUAUUUGAAAACAUCAAACAUCACUUAUCUCAAAGUUACUAAAUAUCACCUUUUAAGAAUAGUUGUAUCAACCAAUUUGAUUAAGCUUUGGAUAUAUAUCAUAUAUUGAUUUGUUAUUAUAUAACAAAAUAGAAAUAGUAUGUAACUUUUGUUAAAUGACUUACAGUGUUUUUUGUUAGGACAUGAUGGACGUCCAUUUCCUCCCACAAUCUGCAACGUUUUCCAGGUUCAUCAACACAUUUUUCUUUAACAAUUUUUCUUCCCAUUUCUUGCAACAAGUUAUGCAUCCUCAAUUCUUUGUGUUCAUCGACUUUUAUGAGAGAUUUUUUAAUGAGAACAUCAAUGCCAAUAUCUGGGAAAAACUCACAACCAUCCAAUACUUUGAUUACAAAAUCUUUCUUCUCCCCAUUGAAGAAGCAUGCUAUAUCUAGAAAUAUAUUCUUCUCCGUUUCUUCCAGGCCAUCAAAACUAAUUCGAAGUUUAUCGAGAAUUUCUUUAUUAGAAUCUCUUUUAAGUCUUUCAAUUGCACUUCUCCAUACAGUAGCAUCUCUACCGCACAAAAAGCAACCCAAAAUUUCAAGAGCUAAAGGGAGACCAUCAGCAUAUUUUACAACAUGGAAAGAAAGCCCAAUGAAAUCUUCCGGUACUGUAGCACUAUGGAAAGCUUUCCGGUUGAAAAGUUGCAGCGCAUCUUUGGUAUUCAAUGUUGUGGAGAUAUACACGUCAUCAACUUGGCAACAUCGAAGCAAAUGUUCGUCUCUUGUUGUUACAAUGAUUCUACUCCCUAAUCUGAACCAAUCAUGCCUUCCAGCCAAGUAUUUUAAGUGUUGUAUGUUAUCAACAUCAUCAAGAACAACAAGAACCUUUUUGCGAGGCAACAUAUGUCUAAUUAUAUUAUUCCCUUCAUCAACAUUGGAAAUUCUGGAGUAGUCAUCGUAAAAGAUAUCUGAAAGAAGACGUUUCUGUAAAGAAACUAGUCCAUAUUUUUCUGAAUCUUCUCGAAUAUUAGCAAUAAAGCUUUUAGCUUCAAAAUGAGGUGAAAAUUCAUUAUAAGCACGGUUUGCGAGUGUUGUUUUACCGAUACCACCCAUUCCACAAAUCCCUAUAAUGCGGACAUCAUUUUCCCCGAUGUUUAUUUUCAAAUAUAAACCCUCCAAGCGUUCAGGAAUUCCAACCAAGCCACUAUCAUGAGUAACUGGAUAUGCCUGACAAAGUUUUGUUGAUAUCUCCUGAACAAUCUCCCUAAUAAAGUCUGAUUCAUGCCUAAAAAAAAAAGAAAUUUUAAUUUUUUUUGUAUAAAUUAAAAUUUUGUUGAUGUCUUUCAAAUGCACUUUCUUUUUCAAUGAAUUAUGAAACAUAAUAUAAUUUGGAAGCAAGAAUUAAAAAGCAAGAUCUGUUGCGGGACCAGAACACAAAAUUUGCUCUUUUAUUGAAAUAUGACACUUUUCAAUUAAACACAUAGGAUUGGACUUGUUAUUUAAAUAGAAAAGAAAGAAUUACCUGUUAUUUAAAUGCCAUCCCCUGACUCCAGCCACUAGAAUUAAAGCAUUUCGCCACCUUUGGAUCUUCUCACUUUCUUCUUUGUAUCUCUCUUCAUGUCUGGCAAAGGCUUCUUUCACUUUCCCUUUUUGAUUUCUUAAAUCAGAUGGAUCAACAUCGUAAAAAAUUGGAAACACUUUAUGGCCGUCGUUUUUAUGUUGUUUAACAAUCUCAGCAAGCUCCUCCAAGCACCAACUUGAAAAGGCAUAAGUUUCUGAAAAAACGAUUACCGAGCACCAUGAUUCCUGAAUUGCUUUCAAGAGUUCUGGCGCGAUCUCUUCGCCGGCCUCCAGCUUUUGAUCAUCCCUGAAAGUGACGAUCCAUCUCCUCUUUAAAGCAGCAUAGAGAUGAUCGGUGAAGUUUCUGCGAGUAUCUUCACCUCUAAAACUCAAGAAAACAUCAUAUUUCUUUCUAGAAUUGGAUGAGGAAGUUGAAGGUAAUGACAACAUGACGAUGUUUGAGAAGAAAAAUAUAUCUCGAUGUAGUGUUUAAAAUCAGAAAACCGAUCGUUCAAUACGUCUGAAAGAAACUAGAAACAAUAAGAAUAUGAGAAUGAAGAAGGAAAACAGAUCAAAAUUCCAGGGAAGAGUAAAGGUGGUUUCUAAGCAAAUUUUAACCUUUUCGUUUUCCAAAUGAAUGCGCGUAGGUGUGGAAAUUGGGGGGUCAUAAAUGAGUGAUGCAUGUGAAUCCAAGAAGGUGGGUGUUGAUAAAAUGGAGCCUACAAUAAUUGCAAGUCUUCUUUAAGUUUGUGUUUUACUUGCUUUCUCUGUUAACUUUUGAAUUUUUUUUGGUUAAAUCACUCUAAAAUGUAUAGAAAAAAUAAUAUUUAUUCACUUUAUUGAUGUGGCAUACGUGUGAAUUACCAUGCAGAUGACAUAUCAGUAUUUAAUUAAUUUUUAAAAUUUUUAAAAAUAUUUUUAUAAUUUUUAAUAUUUUUAAAUUUUAAAAAUAUUUUUUAUUUUUUAAUUUAAAAAAAAUUAAUUAAAUGAUGUUAUUCAUGUGCAUGUAUGCUAUAUCAAUAAACACAAGUUAAAAACCUAAAACACAAAAGAAUUAAAUAAAUAACUAAAAUAUUUUUUUUUAUAAAAUUUGACGGUAAAAUAAAUCCUUCAACCUGGAAAUCAAGCAAGGAGAGAUCAACCUACAGGAUGGAUGAGGACUAAGCCUUGCAUGGUUUUUUGUUUUUUAUUUUUUAUUUAUAUUUUAUUUUCUUUUUAGAUGGCACUGACUUUUUAAAAUGACAUUUUCUUUUUAGUGCCCUUAAAAUUUUAAAUUUGUAAUGAUAAAAUUACACUUUGACUCCCUUAAAAAUGAUAAAAAUUAAAUUUAAUCCUUUAAAAAUUAUAAAUAUAUAAACCAAUAAAAUGAAAAAAAAUAUAUUUUUACUAUUAUAAAAAAUACAAUUUAAUUUCAACCAAAAAAUUUCCUUUCUUUGCCCUGCCUAUAUUAGGGCUUGGGGUAGGGAGUUAGAAAAUCAUCUUAUUCAUUUCUUUCUCAAUUUUGCAUGGAUGCAACAAUAGAGCCAUGUAGAGGCCCAUGGGCCAUGGGUCUCCAAAAUUUAAUUUAAUUUUUUCAAAUUUAAUCCUUUAUAAAUAUAGUAUGACCCUUCUAGAAAUAUAAGUAGGUCUUCUGAGGCUUAAGAUUUUUGUAAUUUCUCCCUUUAUAGUAUUAAAAAUAUAAGUAAGCCCCUCCAAUAUUUUUAUAGUAUUAAAAAUAAUAUUAAAAAAAUUAUUCUUGAUAUCACAAAAAAAGAUUGAUCUAUAUCAUUGAUUUAUUAACUUAUCUCAAAUUGAGAAAUUUUUCCUAAUAUCACAGAAAACACGACCAUUGAAAAUCUUGCUCACCUCAACCGAAAUCAUAUCUCUAAACCCUAAUUUUAGACAUGAACAAAAAAUAAAUCUAUUAAUUUUUUAAAAAAAUAUUGGAUAUGAAUGUGUCUCUCACAUGAAAAUGACCUUCCAAUUAAUUAAAGGGUAAACUGCAAAAAUAGUCACUUUUGUUUGUCUCAGGUUACAUUUUAGUCACUUAUGUUUGAAAUGUUACGUUUUAGUCCCUUAUGUUAUAAUUUUGUUACGAAAUGGUCACUCUUCCGUUAAGUUUCGUUAUCUCUCUAACUAUAAUCCUACGUGGCAGUCCAACUAGAUUUUAAGUGCCAACUUGGAUUUCCUAAUGGGAUGAGAAUAGAUUUUUUAUUAAAUAAAUUUAAUUAAUUACAAAUUUUAAACCCUAAAUCUGAGUUAAAAAAUCAUUCAUCUCCCCCUUUUUUUAGUUUUCUUUUUCAAUUAACUAAAAAAGCUAUUAUCAUCAAAAAAAAAUUAUUCACGUGCAAAAACAAAAGAGGAUUCAAUGGAGGGUCCAGCAACAAUUUUAUGUUCUAAAACUUAAAAUGGAGUGGUUGUCGACAAAUAAGAAGAUGGUAAUCAUUAUUGUCCCUAAUCAUUGUAUUUUCCAAUUCUUCACAUUCUUGAAUAAUUAGUUUUUCAAUCUGAUUUUUUCUGAUCUGAAUCAACUUAUUUGUUCACAAUCCCUUUGUGGGUAUCCCUUUUUUCUAAUCUGAAAUUCUUUUAGUUGUUAAUAUUUAUAUCAAGAAUUUUAAUUUAGGGUUUUGAUUAAACAAUAAAAUAUCCAAUCUUUUGUUUUUCAGUAUUGAAUAAAAGAGAUAGAAAAGAAUGUAAAGAAGAAAUACCUGAACCCUCCAUUGAAUCCAUCUUUAUGAAGCAGUCAAUUUGAUUUCAACUAUUUUGAUAUUAAUAAUAGUUUUUCCGGUCAAAUGAAAAAAAACCAUUGAAAAAAGAAGAGACUGAAGAAAAAUUAAAAAGAAAAAACGAACAGUUUUUUUAGUUAAGGUUUAAGUUUAAAAAUUUUAAUUAAUUACAUUCUUUAAUUAAAAAUCUAUUUUCAUCCCAUUUAGAAAUCCAAGUUGGCAUCUAAAAUCUAGUUGAACUGCCACAUAAGAUUACCGUUAGAGAGAUAACAAAACUUAACGGUAGAGUGAUCACUUCGUAACAAAAUAGUAACAUAAGUGACUAAAACGUAACAUUUUAAACAUAAGUGACUAAAAUGUAACCUGAGGCAAAUAAAAGUGACUAUUUUUAUAGAUUACCCUUAAUUAAAAGAGCAUACUCUUUAUAUUCAUAUUUGAAUAAGUGUUAAAAAUAAAUGUCUAAACAUAAAUACUUUUAAAAGGUAUAAACGGAAGAGUUGAAAUAAUAUUAUUUGUACUUCAAGCCAUAAAAUUUAAAUGGUACUUUUAUUAGAAGAAAUUAAACCUAUUUGAGUAUUGUAAAGGACUUAUAUUUAAUAUUCUAAAUAUAUAAAAACAAUUUUAAUUGAUUAAACUAAACACAUAAGUUGGUCUCAAAAAAAAUGAAACAAUUAACUUAGCCCAAAUUAUGAUCUUAUCCUUGUUAAAGGAUUUUUCACUUUAUUAUUACCUGUUUUGUCACGAAACUAUCCAUUUUUCUUCACAUUUCUAUCUCAAUUUGAUUAUAUUUACUUCAACCUACAAAUAAAAUAUAAAUGUAACUGAAUAUAUAUAAUGAAAAUAAAAUUUAAUAAAUAAAUAAAACCAAUUAAAAUGUACACAUUUUAAUUAUGUAAAAAGGAAUGAAUUGAACGACUAAAAUUUUAAAUAGUAAAAAAAUAUAAAUUAAGUGAUUAAAAUUUUAAAUGGUAUAAAAAACUAUAUUAUUAACAGUUGAGAUAUGUACAUAUUCAAUACGAUUGCAUGGCUAAAAAUUUUAAAUUUUUUUAAUAUAUAUUAAAAAAAAUCAUAUCUUAUACGCAAAUAAAUUUAAAAUGAUUAUUUUAAGUGAAAUAGAAGUACUAGUACAUGGUUGGUUAAGUACUUUGCCACAAUUAAUGCUUCUUCCCCGAUUGGCCCAUCAUAAAAUUGAAAAUUUUUUGCAUCCAUUUUGGUUGCGGCCAUUCUUCCUCUGCUUCCUCGUCGAUCUUACAUUUUCGGUUUGAUGUGAGAAGUGCUACCUACUGAUCUAUGGUUGUGAGCAGAGUGUUGGUGGAUGUGUUCAAAAUUUGGAGAAGAUUGAGUGGUAUGGCACUACAACUCUUUUAUUUCUUCCAAAUCUUUCUCAUACAUUAUUCUAGCACCACAGUUCUUCACCUUAGCAUUGGGUUUACAUGUAUGUAAGAAAGACACAUCAAGCUCACAGUCACCAUAUUUAUCCUCCAAUGAAAAUGGAAAUAAUUUAUCACGCGACCAAUAACGAAGAAAAAGGUGAUCUUUCGUUAUGGGCUGAUUCCUACCUGUCAACAAAAUAUAGCCCCACCAAUCAACCUGUCGACGAUUUCUACCUCGAAAAAUAGAUCCAUUAAGACUGGCUUGUUCAGAAUUUCCACAAUAUAUAAAUGCUCCACAACGGAUUUUCUCGUCAUAGCAUGAAGCAUCAUUAUUGACAAAAAUGCAGCAAGAAGGAACUCCAAUCCAUUCACUAUCUUUCCGAAGGUUGAUAGGUAGCAGUAUCUUAAUCGAAGAGUCACUUUUUUUAUCCUGCAGGGAAUUCUCGAGCUUUGAUAACUGACCAAAAAGAAAACUUCUACAACGACCUAAUUGUGUUUUUUUAAUGAUUUUUAAGUGCUUAUUUUCAUCUUAUUAAAUUAUUGUAUUAAUUAAACUAUGAAAUUAUAUUAUUAUAAAAUGUGUGGUAUUUAUAUCAGGGAUUUUAUAUAACUUCCAAAUGACAUUCAAGUAUUCGACUUUUAUUUUCAAAAUACAUUUUGCUUGGUCAUGAACCAUAAGAGAGCUAGGCAAAUUUAGACAUCUCUACGUCAAUUUCUGUUGAGAUAAAAGUUUAUAUGAAAAAUUAAAUAAAUUUUUAGUUGAAAUGGUAAACUUAAAUGUUAAAAUUUUAUUGUGUGUUGAGUUAAGUUUUUAUUAAUUUUUGUACAAAAUAUGAAAAGAUAAAAAUAAUUAAUAAUAUAACGUACUUUGUAUAUUUGUCACACCAACUUAGAUAAUAAUUUAAAUAUAUAUAAAUAAAAAUAUUUUUAAAAGAUACAAAAAUGUGACAAUCUGUACCAUUUUUAUUUUUUAUAUAAUAUUCUGAAUAUUAUUACCAUAUGAAAAACAACAUAAAUAUAAAUUUAAAUAUUUUUAAUAUAUAUAUAUUAGAGGUAAAGAAUUGUCAACGAAAUUUAGAGUGUUUCAUUAUCAGAUGAUAACAUCACGUUUACCAAAUAAUUUCAUCUUAUCAUCUUAAAAGGCAAGCAAUUUCCUUUCCACUGACCGGUAAAACCCCGGAAAUUUCUUUGAGGCCUUAAUGAAGUCGAUUAAGACAAUGGUAUUUUGGUUUUUUUUUUUUUUUGUAUUUAUAUUGGACUAAUGGUGCAGAAUAACUUGUGUACCCAACAAAACUGACUAGAUCCCUCAAUCUCUAUUGUUUUUUUUUUUUUUUGUGUGUGUAAUGAUGUCUUGCUUGAUCAUGCUUGUGUUGCUUUUCCUCCUGAACCUUGCAUCUUCAGAUAUCAAUCAGGGUCAGUUCAGUUUCAAUGGUUACUUGAAUGUUGAUGGAGUUGCAGGCGUAGAUUCAAGUGGGCUCUUUAAACUGACUAAUUCUACAAUCCAAUCAACAGGUCACAUCUUCUACAAGAAUCCAAUCCAAUUCAAGAACUCCACAAAUGGUAGUGUUUUCUCUUUUUCGACCACAUUCUUUUUUGCAAUUGUACCGGAGGAAUACCCUACUUUGUCUGGCCAUGGAUUAGCCUUUUUAAUCUCGCCUAAUAAUAGAACUCCUGGAGCUCUUCCCAGCCAGUAUCUUGGUCUUUUCAAUCAAUCAAACAACGGUGACAGCUCAAAUCAUAUUGUUGCGGUUGAGCUGGACACAAUUAUGAGCAGCGAAUUCGAUGACAUAAACAAUAACCAUGUUGGCAUCGAUAUCAAUGGCCUAAACUCAAUGGUAUCUGCUCCUGCAGGGUAUUUCACUGAUGAAGGCAAGUUCAUAAAUGUCGCCCUUAUAAGCGGAGAUCCACUGCAGAUUUGGGUUGAAUACAAUGGGAUGAAAAAACAACUCAAUGUUACGUUGUAUCCAAUCAAUAUAUCAAAGCCAAAAACCCCACUUUUAUCCUUCAAACGGGAUUUGUCUCCGUAUAUUUAUGACUAUGUAUGUAGGUUUCUCAUCCUCCGCAGGUUCGAUUCUAUCAUCACACUACAUAUUGGCAUGGAGUUUCAAGAUGAAUGGCUCAGCUGAGGAGCUAGAUUUGUCUCACCUUCCAAAAAUUCCACGAUAUGAUAAUGAUAAUAAUCGAGGAAUCAAGCAAUUGAAGAGGAUUUUGGCUUUCACCCUUUCUUUCACAGGUCUCACUUUAGUCCUCGUAUUGGUUUUCGGGUUUGUGUUGAUCUCAAGGAAGAAGAGAUUCAUGGAGAUUCUGGAGGAUUGGGAGGUUCAGUACGGGCCUCAUAGAUUCUCUUAUAAAGAUCUAUUCAAAGCUACAAAGGGGUUUAAAGAAAAGGAAGUUCUAGGGAGAGGUGGAUUUGGUAGGGUGUAUAAGGGUGUUUUACCCUCUUCCAACAUACAAAUUGCCGUCAAAAGGAUCUCUCAUGAUUCAAGGCAAGGUAUGAGGGAAUUCGUGGCUGAGAUUGCAACCAUCGGUCGCCUCAGGCAUCCGAAUUUGGUUCGACUUCUCGGUUAUUGCAGGCGCAAGAACGAGUUGCUUUUGGUUUAUGACUACAUGCCUAAUGGAAGCCUUGACAAGUUUCUUUAUCACCAACCUAAUAGCAGUCUUAAUUGGACACAAAGGUUUAAGAUCAUCAAGGACGUAGCGUCCGCGUUGUUCUAUCUCCACCAGCAAUGGAUGCAAGUCAUCAUUCACAGAGAUAUCAAGCCUACCAAUGUGCUGAUAGACGGUGACAUGAACGCC
rnacentral:lncRNA from 1 species